UCCAACACACACUUUUGAUAUUCAUUCUUGUGAUGCUUGGAUCCGAAGUUUAUCAAAUGGCAGUGGCGGACAACAAUAUGUGCGAAUACAUUUGCAACCAGGACCAUAAAGUGUUUGACACCAUAUGUCUGCGCUACAAGGAAAAUGCUCAAUGCGACCCCACGCAUAUGAUUCUUUACACAUAUCUGUAUUCACAUAAAUAAUACAUGAACAAAAUUCAUAUUAUACAUUGCAAGUAAAUUUGGAUGAAUAAUUAGAGUAUAGUGAAAAUAAUAUAGGAUAUAGAAUUGGAUCCAUACAUUUGAACAAGAGACACGAUUAGGGUCGCGUAAAACAAAAUUUCUAACCUGUUGCAAAGAUGAAAACCAAUACAAAAGCCAGUUUAAUAAUUGACAUCCUCAUACUUAAGUAAUUGUCCACACUUGAAACUUGAUCAAAUAAGAACUUUUGAAUGGAUGUCUCAAAUCAUUGUGAGCCCCUCGAGAGUAUUACAACUUCCAAAAGAUGAAUUAGGUCCUUCAAUAGCUUAUAUUUUCAAUAUGCGUAUAAUAUCUAUGUAUUGUUAGUGUAAAGAUUUAUAUAAAUCACUACAUUAUCCACAAUUCAUUUGAGUUACAUUCUUUGAAGAGUCAAUGAUGAUUAAAUAUGAAUAGUGGAUGACGAAAUGACAGUGACAAUAUAUAAAACGCAUACACUAUUAGUCUAUACAUAUUUUUCUCUUUCAAUAUUAGAAAAAUUACAUCUCAUUUAUUCUAGAAUAAAUGCAUUGCUUUGAAUAGUCAAAGACUAAUUAUUACAAGAAGUUAAGAUAUUGAUGUAAUAUUUCAAUUGAUCCUUGUGUAUCGUACAAUAUGAAAUUCUUAUGUUUAAUAUUUAGGGUCCGUCGUGACAUUUUAUAGGCCAUUCACAUAGUAAAAUAAUAGACAUUAUUUAUCAUAAGAAAAUAUGUUAAAUUUAAAUGUCGGAAUUUAAAGGAAAAUGAGAGUUCAAAAUAAGUCACGAUGACAACAAAAACAACUAUUCAUUCAUCAUAAAAAGAAUUUAAUUAUGUAAAAUAAUUUGCAAUAAUAUUUCAACUAAAAAAGUCUCAUGAAAAUCAUGAGAAAAUGUAAUACAUUUUUUCUUGCUCAUUUAAUAUUUGUUAUUUGUUGCAAACUUGAGUAUAAUAUUUUAUGUUUAUUUUUUAGUUACAUUCUUAAUAAAUCUAAUAUUUUGUAUGAUCUUUUAUUUUUAGUCACAUUUCACAUGGAAAUUAUUUAGCACAAUAUGUUUUUAAACUAUUACUCACAUUCAUAAUAAAUUCAUACUUCGUAAGGCAAUAAUUCAAAAUAAUUAAUAAAGGUAAUAGUACACAUGUUCUUUAGUAGUGAGAUUUUUUGUGUAAAAAGAAUAAUUAUCUAUUUAGGUAAAAUAAUUGGUCCCGUUAUUUAUGCGUCAUGUAUGACACAUUUGUCACACAUGCAUAGGUAGACAUAUGAAUACUUAUAAACAACUCUUAUUUGAAGGGAUAAUUACUUAUUCCAAAAGAUAUUAUUACAUUUUUUUUGGGUAGAUUAAAUUUUCAUUAAUAUAAAACGUCUUCUACGAAUUUUGGACAUAAUACAAAAAUAUUAUUAUAAGUAAACAAAAAAUAAAAAAUAAUGACAAAACCACAAUAAAAAUACUUACAUUUAAUGUUGUAGUAUCAUAUAUGAUAGUUCAACUUUUUCAGACAAGGAAUUUGUAAAUUGUGUAUUGCUGGUGAGUAUAUGAAUUGAUUUUGACGUUGAAAAAUAUUUUUUUUUUAGUUUAUUACAUGCAUAGUUUUAUUUAUUGUCAAUUAAUUUUAUUUAAUUACCCAUCCUUUAUAUUCUUGUGCAAAGUAUAGGCAGUCACACUAAAUUCAACCAAUAGCUUACAUUUUCAUCACAUGGAAAUUUAAUUUCCUAUCUCACUUAUUCUAUGAUAAAUGUCUUGCUUUAAAUAGUCAAAAAUUAAUUAUAAUAAGAAGUUGAUAUAAUUACGUAAGAUCUCACAGAAUAUCUAUUUAUUUAUCUAUAUAUAUAAUGCACUAUCAAAUAUUAGUGUUGAAUACUUAGGGCUAGUCUUGAUAUUUUAUAGGCCAUCCACAAAGAAAAAGUGGGAGACUUCCUUUAUUAUAAAAAAAUAUGUGAAACUUAUAUGUCAAAGCUUAAACGAAAAUAAGAUAUUAAAGCAAAUCAUGUUCAAAAAAUAAGUACAUAAAAUGAGAACAUAUAAUAUAUUUCAACAAUGAAAAUUCACCUAUGAAAAUUGUCAUAAAAUGAGAACAUAUAAUAUAUUUUCUUUUUCUAAUAAGAUGUGGCUUCAACAUCAAGGUCUAAGGAGGGUGGUUGAGUCUCACUGGUCUAACACUGUAGUGGGAUGUCCUAUGUAUGUUCUUUCUAAUAAGCUCAAGGGUCUUAAGACUAUUUUGAAAACCUGGAAUAAAGAGGUCUUUGGCAACAUUCAUUUAAGGGUUAAGAAUACUUUAACUUCUGUUGAGUUUAUCCAGAAGAAGCUCUCAGGUGAGGGCCAAUCUGAUCUCCUUUUGGCUCAAGAGGAGCAGGCUCAAAAGGACUUGUUGGUGGCCUUGAAUUCUAAAGAGGAGUUUUGGAAAGAGAAGUCUAGAUUGAAUUGGAAGAUCAGUGGGGAUAGGAACACUAGCUACUUUCAUAAAAUUGCCAAAAUCAGGUUUGCUACUAAGUCUAUGUCAAUGCUUAGAUAGGAGGAUACCACUCUGCUUGAUCAACAUGAAAUUGAGGAGCAUGUGUUAGAUUACUUCACCAAAUUGUAUGCCUCUAACAAUGAUAUUCUCCCCAGUAGUCUCAUUAACCAGGUUAUUCCUCAGCUGGUUUAUGAUGAUGACAACAUUAUGCUAUCCUCAAUCCCUCUGAAUGAUGAGAUCAGAUCUGCUGUAUUUGCCAUGAAUGGUGAGGGGGCACCUGGCCCUGAUGGGUUUGGUGGGUGUUUUUUCCAGGAAUUUUGGGAUAUCAUUGGUCAUGAUGUGUGUCAAUAUGUUAUUCAGUUUUUCACUCAGGGAUGGAUCCUUCCCAAUCUUAACUCUAACAAUAUUGUCCUAAUCCCUAAGUUCUCUGGUGCUGACAGAAUUGAGGACUUUAGGCCAAUUUCCUUAGCAAACUUCCAAUUCAAGAUCAUUACUAAAGUCUUGGUUGAUAGGUUGGCUCUUAUUGCUCCAAAAAUUAUCUCCAACCAGUAGAGGAGCUUCAUCAAAGAUAGACAUAUCCAGGACUGCAUUUGUAUUGCCUCUGAAGCAAUUAAUCUCCUUGACCACAAGACCUUUGGUGGUAAUCUUGCUUUAAAGUUGGAUAUCAAGAAGGCUUUUGAUACUAUUGAUUGGAGGUUUCUAUUGGACACUUCAAGGCCUUUGGUUUUUCGAAUUCCUUCACCAAUUGGGUAGGGGUCAUCCUGAAGUCUACUAAGUUAUCCAUCUAUGUUAAUGGUCAUCUGGUGGGCUUUUUUAGUUGCAAGAGAGGGGUUAGGCAAGGUGAUCCUUUGUCCCCCCUUCUGUUUUGUUUGGCUGAGGAUGUGAUCAGCAGAGGCUUAACUAAGCUGCUGGAAAGUGGGAAAAUUAGCUCAAUCUCUGGCCCAAGGAUUGUCACCCCUAGUCAUGUUCUUUAUGCUGAUGACAUCCUGAUUUUAUGUAAAGGGAUCAAAAGGGAGUUAUCUGCAAUCAAGGAUUUGUUCAUUGACUAUGCUAAUGUUUCUGGUCAAUGUCUAAACCUUAGCAAGUGCAAGUUCUAUUCCAUUCAAGCCAAUGCUAGGAAAAUUACCAAUCUCACCAACUGGUUGGGUUUUGGAGCUGGCCAAUUGCCCUUCAACUAUCUUGGUGUCCCCUUAUUCAAGGGUAAGCCAAAAGCUAUUCAUUUGCAACCAAUUGCUGAUAGGAUUGUUAACAAGUUGCCCAAUUGGAAGGGAUCUUGCCUCUCAAUUAUGGGUAGAGUUGAGCUUGUUAAAUCCAUCAUUCAUAGCAUGUUAGUUUAUAGCUUUCAUGUUUAUAAUUGGCCUGUCAAUUUACUCAAAAAGAUGGAUAAUUGCAUAAGGAAUUUCAUCUGGUCUGGGGACACUCAUGUUAAAAAGCUUGUUACUGUUGCCUGACAUAAGGUUUGUUGCCCUGUCACAGAGGGUGGUCUUGGCAUAAGAUCUAUUUCAGCCAUGAAUCAAGCUGCAAUUCUCAAACUUGCUUGGGACAUGAGAUCCUCCUCUAAGGAAUGGGCAACCUUUUAUAGGAAGAGAUACUCUAAAAGGACCACUUACACAAAGUCCUCUGUUUGGCCUGGUAUCAAAAAACAUUGGCAAUUGAUCAAGGACAAUUCAAUCUGGUUAUUGGGAAAUGGAAAUAGCAUCAACUAUUGGUUGGACAAUUGCUGGGUUCCCCUCUAGCUGAUCUCCUUGCAAUUCCUGAUCCAUUCUCCUUUGUUCUCCAAGCCAGAGUUGCUGAUUUCAUGCAGGAUUCAUCUUGGAUCAUUCCUGCUUGGUUGGCUAGGCUUCACCCUGCAGUGUGUCAGCAAAUUGUGAACACUACUAUUCCUAAUGCCUCUACGGAUGACAAACUGGCUUGGUUACAUUCCACAGAUGGAUCUCUUAGUAUGAAAGAGGCUUAUCUUUUCACCAAACUUGCCCAACCUCAGCACAAUUGGUGCAAGCAGGUUUGGUCAAUAUCAAUUCCUCCCUCAAAAUCCUUCCUUACUUGGAGGCUUUACAAUAACAGAUUGCCUACUGAUGAGAAUUUGCAAGCUAGAGGCAUGACUAUGGGAUCCAUUUGCAAUUUGUGUUGGUCUAGUGAAGAGACAUCUAAUCAUUUGUUCUUUCAGUGCAGUUUUGCAAUUGAUAUCUGGAACUAGUUGAGUAGCCAACUUGGCUUUAGAUUAGAUAAUGGUUCCAUUCAAAGCUUGAUGAACAUCUCUAAAAGGUGGAGCCCUCAAGUGAAUCUGGUCAUGAGGGCUAGCAUUAUUAACUCAAUCUCUGUCAUCUGGUAUUGCAGGAAUAAAGCCAGAUUUGAGAAUUUAUCAACCUCCAUUGCCCAGGCAACGACAAAAAUAAAAAAUGACACUUCCUUUACAGGGAAGUUCUCUAAGCUUUGUGUUAGGUCGUCCAUGCCUGAGUUCUCAAUCCUGAAGGCUUUCAAUGUGACUUGUCAUUACAACAAGGCUCCUACAAUCUUUGAAGUUAACUGGAACCUCCCUUCUCCUGGUUGGGUAAUAAUUAACUCCGAUGGGGCUGCUAAGGGCUUUCCUGGGCACGCUGGGGGAGGUGCUAUUUUUAGAGACAACAGUGGUAGUUUCUUGGGUUGCUUUGCCUCUUACUUCAGUAUUCAAGACUCUCUUUAUGCUGAAGUCCUUGCUGCAAUCUUGGCUAUCCAAAUUGCCUUCUCUAACGGUUGGUUUCUCGUGUGGCUUGAGUGUGACUCAACUUGGGUGGUGGAGAUCUUCAGGGGUAACAUGGCUGUUCCUUGGAAGCUAAGUAACCUAAUGCUAAAGUGUAGGAGAACUAUGUUGUCUAUGCAAAUCAAAAUAUCUCAUAUAUAUCAGGAAGGUAAUGUUUAUGCUGAUAAGUUAGCCAAUUAUAAUGUCAUUUCUAGGUGUGAUUCUUGGUGGACUGCUCCACCUAAUUUUAUUUUGCCUGAUUUUCAUAGAAACAAGUUGCUCCUUCCUAACUAUAGGUUUGAGGAUUUAUAAUGGCUCUUUGUAAUCCGGUUUUCUAAUAUAUUUCUGGGUGUGUUUCACCCUUGCAUAAAAAAAACAAAAUAUAUUUUCUUUUUCUUACUUAUUUGUUAUUGUUACUGUUGUCAGACAUGAGCCUACUAUAUAUUUUUAAUUAUUAGGCACAUUCUCAAUGGAUCUCAUAUUUUUUACACUAAGGGCAGACCUAAUUUUAAUUCUACCUCUCAAAUAUGAUAGCAUAAUAAUAUAAGGAUUACUACAAUUAAUUAAAUAUAAUAUAUGUAAUUUAAUAAUUAAUAAAAGGAAGAAUUCUUCACAUGUUCUGCAGUAUUGAUAUUUUUGUGUAAAAUAAAAAACAUGAAAGUACAAAAUAUAUGUGAAGGUAAAAAAAUUGUCCCAUGUUAAUAUUUUUACUCAUUCUGAAUGAUAUUAGUAUUGAUAUUUUUACUCACUUUGAACUAUAUUAGUUUCUUAUCUAUAAGAUGAUGUAAUACCUUAUUUAAAAAAAAAAGAUACAUUCUAUAAUAGAAACAAAAGAUGAAUUUAUAUUAAUUAAUACUUUAUAUUUUCAACAAAUUAAAAUUUAUUUUUUAUCUUUAAAAUUUGUCAUCUAACUCAUCUAAAAAUAAAUAUGGUGCUGUUAAUAGUCAAAUAUUUAUUCUAAAAUAAUAGCCAUCAAAUAAAUAAAUAUAUAUAUAUAUAUAUAUAUAUAAUAUUGCUUGGUUUUGAAGCUGUAGUACUCUUCCAAUAAUGUUAAACUUUUUAUUUGAAUUUUUGACUUAAUGUUAAAUAUUAUUAUGAGUAAAUAAAAAACAAUAAAUAAUUAUCAAGGACCAUAAAAAAUAAUAAAAAUUACUUACAUUUAAUGCCUUGAAACAUGUAUGGAAAUCUAAUUUUUUACACAAACAAUUUGUAAUUUUUUUUUUAAGGCUGGGUGAAAUACAUAACUAUGAAUGAGUACAUAAAUUGAUUAUGACUUUCAAAAAUAUUUUGUAUAGAUUUCUAAAUUUUUCAUUUUGUUUGUUUAUGGUCAAUUGAUAUUAUCUGUUUACAUACAUGUCCUUUAGAUUCUACUACAAAAUAUUUGGCCAAUAAACNNNNNNNNNNNNNNNNNNNNNNNNNNNNNNNNNNNNNNNNNNNNNNNNNNNNNNNNNNNNNNNNNNNNNNNNNNNNNNNNNNNNNNNNNNNNNNNNNNNNUAAUUCUAUACCUUUGGUACUCUAUUAAUAAAAUUUGUUUUUAGUCUUAUCUUUUUAGAUUUGAAUAAUAUGUUUUCUUUAUUGGUUUAUCUUCUAACAUAACUAAACAUGAAAAUGAGUAAUGAAUUUGAAUGUGAAGCUUCUGGACCAUUACUGAAGAGUUUGAUGUGAAUAGUAAAAUGUGUAUAACUAUGCUUGAUAUUGUUUGUUACUAAGAAGGCAUGAGAAUGAAAGUUGAGUGAUUAUGAAAAAUAUACACUAUCUAUAUGAACUUGUAUUAUAUUAGCACUGUUGAAUUUGUUUGAAUCAUAUUUUACUAAGUGAUUGUGAUACAUGGANNNNNNNNNNNNNNNNNNNNNNNNNNNNNNNNNNNNNNNNNNNNNNNNNNNNNNNNNNNNNNNNNNNNNNNNNNNNNNNNNNNNNNNNNNNNNNNNNNNNGGAUAACAGAGUUAAGUGUUACAUUGAGUUAAAUUCUAAGUUGGGGAGAGGAAAAUGUAUCUAUGAAAAAAGUGGGAAAUAAGUAUUGUAGUACACCAUUCAUCCCAUGAAAAACAAGAAAAGAAAUACUCCACAAAAAGGGGAGGGAAAAAAAAUCAAAGGAUGAAUGGUGGCAAAAUGAAAUGAAAAGAAGAAAAGAGAAAUACAAAUAAAUGAUUUGUACUACAAGUAGAUCUUUCGCUUAUGCUUUUAUCGCUUCGGCUUAUGAUUCCAUCAUUCCAAGAUUCAACAAUGAAUUAUCAUAAUCCAAUUCCAUUUUUCUUCAUCAGCCAUUAGCAUGAGACGAGCAUAGAUAUCAAUGGUGACAAGAAAGGAACAUCUGAAUCUUUAGCAUGAGAGGAGCAUAUUAAGAAUGCAGCUAUGAUUGCUAAAGAAAUAAGAGUUUCUGACAUAAUCAGUGGCGGAAUACACCUAGAAGGGGGGUUGAAUAGGUGUGGCGGAACUCAAUUUCAAUUUUCUGGUUUUUACACACUUGCUGAAAAAAAUGCCUAGUUAAUCGAUUAACAACUAGACGUAAUCGAUUAACGAGUAAUAGAAACAGAAUGAUCAAAACAACAACUAGCACGAUUAUUAACAAACACACAAACAAAUAUGCAGCAGAUAUUUUUGUGCAAGAUUAACAAGGACAUAGCAAGGAAAAAGUAUGCAAAAUAUUAGCUCCAAACACGCAUUAAAACAUCUUCAAAUAUAAAAGAGAAAAGGAUAGAAAAGAUUGCGCAGGGAUUUUAUCCUGGUUCGUUUUGUGUUCCACUGCAAAACUACAUCCAGUCCUCCCCUCUGAUUUUGGAGAUUUUCCUUCUUCACUAUGAAACACAAUGUACGUUACAUACACACUUCCAAAUACAAAACUUGAAUGCUCCCUUCUUGGAAUCCAAAGAACUACGUUACCCUUGGUUUCACCUUUCCCAAAACUGCCUCCCAAGAAAACCUUUCUUAUGCGAUUCGGUCCCAGCCAAGGUAUCGCUCUUUAUCCCAAGACCUCCAAGUCUUUGUGUGAAGAACACCAUACCUAACCGCAACUAGGAUUUUCCCAAUCCUUUAAUAACAAUGCUUUGAGUUAUGAAAGAGUACUUAAUACUCGGAUAUUACAAUGAAAACCAAAGCCUAAAAACCUCAGCAAGAACUCAGAAGACUUCCAAGUCUAAUGUGAAUGCACAUGCAUGAGGUUUCUGAAAAUAUGCAAUCUUUAAAGAACUAUCUUUCUCUUUUCAAGAAACAAAAGAAUAAUGCAAGAAAGCUUUUGAAAGAAACAUGCAAGAUGAAUGUGAAAGCUAAAGCCUUAGCAUGAUCUAAUCUUUCUCCUAAUUCAACACUUUCUAAUAGAUUCUAAUAAUGAAGAUCUAUAUCUAUUCUCUUGUGUUUUUCACUCUUCUUUUUCCUCUUCUUCUUAGUUUGCCGUUUAUGCAAUUAAGCCAGUAUUUAUAGAAAACAGAUUUUGGCUCUUGAAAACGGUUUUUCAGUUAUGCUGUUGAAACAGCAUAAAAACAUACACGUUAAUCGAUUAAGCCAUGAGGUUAAUCGAUUAACCAAUGUAUUUUUAAUACAUGAUUAAAUGGUAAACUACUUAUAUGUUAUAUGCUCAUGCAAUACAUGAUUUCCAAAAUAUAAUACCUUUAAUGCAUAAAAUCAAUGUAUAUAAAUGCAUGAACCUAAUUAUCAUAUAUUUCUUGAUGAUGUCUCAUUUUAGUUGAUUAAUUACUUUAUUAAGUCUAGUGAGACUCACGCUUAGGUUUACCUAACCUAGACUCAAUAUCUAUGGCAAGCAUCUUAGACUUCUAAAAAGAUAAUAAAGAAUAAUAGCAUAAGUCUAAUAAGACACCACUUGAGCCUUCGACAUGUUGAUUGUUGAGCCAUCUUCAAGCUUUAACGAAUUCCUUGUCUUCAUCGAAUUCCUUGUCUUCAUCAAAACAUAGGCAAACGUUGCUAAUGCAAUCCUUGACGCUUUGCACUCUUAGAAAUACUCCACAAAAAGGGGAGUGAAAAAAAAUCAAAGGAUGAAUGGUGGAAAAAUGAAAUGAAAAGAAGAAAAGAGAAAUACAAAUAAAUGAUUUAUACUACUAGUAGAUCUUUCGCUUAUGCUUUUUCAUAUGAUACAUAUGUGACAGCAAACCAGAGAUUACAUACAAUGUGGGACUAAUUAGUAGAUUCAUGAGUGAUCCAAGGUACUCACACUUACUAGCAACUAAGAGGAUCAUGAGAUACCUCAAGGGAACAUGUGGAUAUGGAAUCUUGUUCUCAACUCAUCAAGGAAAUAGUGACAACAAUCUCAAACUUGUAGCAUACUCAGAUUCAGAUUGAUAUGGAGUCUUAGUUGAUAGAAAAAGUACAAUGAGACAUAUAUUCCUACUAUCAGGCACACCUAUAACUUGGAGCUCAAAGAAGCAGUCAGUUGUGGCCCUAUCAACUUGUGAAGUAGAAUAUAUUGCAACAUCCUCAACUGCUUGCCAAGCAUUUUGGCUAUCAUCUUUGCUUUGUGAAAUGAAUAUACUUAAUGUAGAGAACAUGGAAUUGCUGGUUGAUAGUAAAUCAACAAUAGACUUGGCCAAAAAUCUAGAAUCCUAUGCUAGGAGUAAACAUAUUGAUACUAAGUAUCAUUUCCUUAGAGACCAAGUAAGCAAGGUUGAGAUUGAUAAAAAGUUUCAUUAACUUAGAUUCAACUAAAGCAUUGCAACACUGAUUUUUAGGUGGCUGACAUUUUAACUAAGCCGCUAAAGGUUGACAGAUUCAAGAGAUUGAGAGACUUGUUGAAUGUGACUUGUUUGUAAUGGGUUUUGAAUCAAGGAAGGGUGUUAGAAAUGAUUCAAAACUUGGAGAGAUAGUUAGUCAGUUUUAGAGUUUUCUGUUUUUAGAACUCUAGUUGUAAUACUUGCUAUAAAUAGAUAUUUUACUCCUUAGUUGAAUCAUUGAGAAAUAUACAACACACAUUAUUUAGUAUAUACAAUUCUACUCUCUGAUAUACUCUUCUAUACACUAUCUGUAUUUUCUUUCUCUUUUUCUUCUUGUCUCUACACACGAUUUCACUCUGCAAAUUUUCUUUCUCUAGUUUCUUUCAACAUUCUUCAUUCUUCCAACAUGUUCAUGUACUGGUUCAGUAGGGUAUCAGAAGGAAAAGCUUGUCAUUGGUGCAAGGUUUGAAGAUAGAGUUCACCUAUACCAUGAUUCUUAAGGACCUCAAGAAUGAGUUUUGUUGUUCCAUCUCACACCAACAAGAAACCUCUUGAUCGAACAAGGUAGACAGACAACCUCAUAAACCAAACAAGAAGCGUAGUCUAUAAGCCCUAUUAGGCUAGAGACCAAAAAGACCGAGCAACAAAAAGAAGUGUUCUAUCAAUGAAAAGACAACAUGGGGCCCACCCUACUACCCCUAUGUUGUGCCACAUGCAUAAAACUGUCACCUCUGAUUGAAUAGCCUAGACCUUUGUUACAUGUUGCAUGCUACCUAUGCCCUACUGUUCCUAUCAACAACAAUUCACUAUGCCAUAGCUGAUAAAUGUAAGGCAUAAGAGAAAUAACAGUGCUUAUUGAAGCAAGUGACGUUAAAGAUGUUAUCUUUAACAACGCUUAUUUAAGAAAACGCUGUUAAAGGUCAUACUUCAUAUAUUUAACAANNNNNNNNNNNNNNNNNNNNNNNNNNNNNNNNNNNNNNNNNNNNNNNNNNNNNNNNNNNNNNNNNNNNNNNNNNNNNNNNNNNNNNNNNNNNNNNNNNNNGGAGGAGAAAGAAUGAAUAAAAUUUGCGUAAGAUCUCAUUACUCAUAUGUUAUUUUAUAAUAUUGGAAUCUGACAAGGUUGAAUGUAGCUGAAGUCGUUGGUGAUUUAAUAAAUCUGUUGUAAACGUGGUGGAGUUGGACAUGCUUGUCAUGUAUUGGAUAGAAUGUUUGGAAGAUAUAUUGUCUUAUUUAGAAAGUAGACAUUUAACAACGCUUGCUUCAGUGAGCGCUACUAAAUGUCUACUUUCUACAACGCUUCAAAAAAUAAUGUUAAAUAUAACUUUAUGUACUAUUGCGCUCACAUAGAAAGCGUCUAAAAAAUGUUGUUAAAUGACAAUUUUAAGUGUUGUAGUUUUUCUAUUCUGGCGUAGUGAUUGUAUCUCUCAAAAUCAGACAAGAUAGACUAAUAACAUAGUGAUACAUGCCAAUACGAGCAAAAGACAACCGUCCACCAAGUAUAUAUCUUCCAAAGCUACCUGACAUGGGAAAAUCAAUCUUCGUUUGUCCAGGAUAGACCCAACAUACCUUUUUAUCGAUCAAACCAACCUCAUCUACAAUGGAACUCAAAUUGUAGCCGAAACCUUCCCUAAGCAGGUUGCGGGUUGUGGCGUGCGGGCCGGAUAAUACUAGAAAAUAUUUAUUUAAAUUUUAACAUAUUUAAUCUAUUUAAUAUAUAUAUAUAUAUAUCAUUUGAUAUUAAUGUAUAACUUUUCUAACACACUUGUUAUGCCCAAUGCAAUCAAACUUAAUCUAAUGUCUUGUGUUUGAGUUAAGACGUGAUGUCAAGUCCACAUAUAUGAUUUUUAACAUAACNNNNNNNNNNNNNNNNNNNNNNNNNNNNNNNNNNNNNNNNNNNNNNNNNNNNNNNNNNNNNNNNNNNNNNNNNNNNNNNNNNNNNNNNNNNNNNNNNNNNAGAGAUGCCAUUUUUUAUUUGUAUUUGCUGCUUGCAAUAAUCAUUGAGGGACACAUGAACACUCAGUAAGGACUUGCACAUUGGAGGAGAAAGAAUGAACAAUUUGCGUAAGAUCUCAUUACUCAUAUGUUAUUUUAUAAUAUUGGAAUCUGACAAGGUUGAAUGUAGCUGAAGUCGUUGGUGAUAUAAUAAAUCUGUUGUAAAUGUGGUGGAGUUGGACAUGCUUGUCAUGUAUUGGAUAGAAUGUUUGGAAGAUAUACUGUCUUAUUUAGAAAGUAGACAUUUAACAAUGCUUGCUUCAGUGAGCGCUGCUAAAUGUCUACUUUCUACAACGCUUCAAAAAAUAAUGUUAAAUAUAACCUUAUGUAUUAUUGUGCUCACAUAGAAAGUGUCUCAAAAACGUUGUUAAAUGAAAAUUUUAAGUGUUGUAGUUUUUCUAUUGUAGCGUAGUGAUUGUAUCUCUCAAAAUCAGAGAAGAUAGACUAAUGACAUAGAUCUUCCAAAGCUACCUGACAUGGGAAAAGCAAUCUUCGUUUGUCCAGGAUAGACCCAACAUCUCAUUGGAUCGAUCAAACCAACCUCAUCUACAAUGGAACUCACUUGAUAUACACAUACUUAUUAACUCUUUCACUUUAUCUCUUACUUAUUAUUCUUUGAUAUUCUAUAUAUCUCUUACUUAUUGGCUUGAUCGUAGGAGAACCUUUCCACGUGCUUACCCCAAUGGGUUCAAGCACUUCUCAGGUUAUACUAGAUGAUUCUGAUCAAGUUACCACAAUCCGAAUCCAUCCUUUAAAGACCAAAAAACAUAUGCGGUAUGUGGAGGUGUCAAAAUAGACUACCCGAACGGGUUCAACCUAGCUCACAUUAGGUUCAGGCUAAAAAGCUCGGAUACAAUUUAUCCAUAUCAAAUUGUAGCCGAAACCUUCCCUAAGCGGGUUGGGGUUUGUCGUUUGUGGGCCUGGAUAAUACUAAAAAAUAUUUAUUUAAAUUUUAACAUAUUUAAUCUAUCUAAUAUAUAUAUAUAUAUAUAUAUAUAUCAUUUGAUAUUAAUGUAUAACUUUUCUAACACACUUGUUAUGCCCAAUGCAAUCAAACUUAAUCUAAUGUCUUGUGUUUGAGUUAAGACGUGAUGUCAAGUCCACAUAUAUGAUUUUUAACAUAACACAUACUAAAUCUCUCAUUUCUAUUGGACUAUGACUCCCUAACACAAUAUAAUUUGUAACUUCACUUUAAUAUAUAUACAUUUGGAUACUAUCAAAAUAUUAUCGCUUCGGUUUAUAGUAAUGGUAAUAUAGACACAAGUUUAGAAUGAACUUUAUUUGUCAAAAUAUAAUAACCAUCGCUUUAUUUGAUCGUUAUUCUUUAAUUUCUAUAGGAUGAUCAUUGUAUGUUAUUUAUUAAUACUUUUAUUGUGAACUAUUAUGUUAAAUUUGCUUGUGUGGAGUUCUCAAUGGUAAACAAUUAUGUUGUCUUUUAGUUUAGUUGUAAAAAAACUAUUUUCUUUAUUAUAUUUUUGUUGUAGAAGUUAAAUCUAAUUAAAUACAUAAUUAAGAAAUGAAAAGUGAAAUCUACAUGGUUUAAUGUCUUAUUAAUUUAUUUGAUAUACUAUUUUGUAUUACCUUUCAUUUUUAGUCACAUUUCAUAUGGAAAUCCUUUAGGGCAAUCUGUUUUUAAACUAUUACUCACAUUCUUAAUAAAUUAAUACUUUGAAAUGCAAUAAUUCAUAACAAUUAAUAAAGGUAAUAGUGCACAAGUUCUUUAGUAGUGAGAUAUUUUGUAUAAAAAAGAAUAAUUAUCUGUUUAGGUAAAACAAUUGGUCGCCGUUAUUUAUGCGUCAUGUAUGAUACAUUUGCCACACAUGCAUAGGUCUAGACAUAUUAAUACUUAUAAACAACUCUUGUUUGAAGGAAUAAUCACUUAUUGCAAAAGAUAUUAUUACAUUUUUGAAAGUCAAAAUCAAUUCAUAUACUCAUCAGCAAUACACAAUUUACAAAUUCCUUGUUCACAAUUUACAACUCUUGUUAGUGUUACUCUCGUAAGACAUGAGCCUAUAUAUUUUUUUAAUUAUUAGGCACAUUCUCAAUGGAUCUCAUAUUUUAAGGGCAGACCUAAUUUUAAUUCUACCUCUCAAAUAUGAUAGCAUAAUAUAAGGAUUACUACAAUUAAUUAAAUAUAAUAUAUGCAAUUUAAUAAUUAAUAAAAGGAAGAAUUCACAUGUUCUGCAGUAUUGAUAUUUUUUUGUAAAAUAAAAACAUGAAAGUACAAUAAAUUUGUGAAGGUAAAAAAAUUCUCCAAUGUUAAUAUUUUUACUCAUUCUUAACGAUAUUAGUAUUGAUAUUUUGACCCACUUUGAACUAUAUUAGUUUCUUAUGUACAACAUGAUGUAAUAUCUUAUUUAACAUAAAAGAUACAUUCUAUAAUAGAAACAAAAGAUGAAUUUAUAUUAAUUAAUACUUUAUAUUUUCAACAAAUUAAAAUUUGUUUUUUAUCUUUAAAAUUUGUCAUCUAACUCAUCUAAAAAUAAAUAUGGUGCUGUUAAUAGUCAAAUAUUUAUUCUAAAAUAAUAGCCAUCAAAUAAAUAAAUAUAUAUAUAUAUAUAUAUAUAUAAUAUUGCUUGGUUUUGAAGCUGUAGUACUCUUCCAAUAAUGUUAAACUUUUUAUUUGAAUUUUUGACUUAAUGUUAAAUAUUAUUAUGAGUAAAUAAAAAACAAUAAAUAAUUAUCAUGGACCAUAAAAAAUAAUAAAAAUUACUUACAUUUAAUGCGGUGAAUCAUAUAUGGAAGUCUAAUUUUUUACACAAACAAUUUGUAAAUUGAAACUAUGAAUGAGUACAUAAAUUGAUUUUGACUUUCAAAAAUAUUUUGUAUAGAUUUCUAAAUUUUUAAUUUUAUUAGUUUAUGGUCAAUUAAUAUUAUCUGUUUACCUACAUGUCCUUUAGAUUCUACUACAAAAUAUUUGGCCAAUAAACAAUUAUAUCAAAAAUUGAUUCAAGUGACUAGUAGAAGAAUUGUGCCCAUUAUAAAUAUAUUUGUGUAUUUAUUUAUUAUUUAUUUUAAAUCGCUUUAAUGAAUGCCAUUUGGAGUCAAGACACUCAUCAUGAAAUUAAAUAACUGAUAAUUUAUAUGGGAACGUGCGGGAUUAAAUAUAAUAUUUAUAUUAAAUGCACGUCUUAGUAACAAAUUUUUACUUUUGAAUAUUUACUUAGUUCUAUAAAGAUAUUUUGCACAUUUGUGUUAUAUUUUAUUUUGGUAAAUAAAACAAGUAUUGCCCAUGAAUGCAAUAUUCUUUGUAUUUGAGGUGACUACGACAAGCGAUGAUAACUCCAUACAAAAUACAUUCAAUGUUGAUAUAUUUAUAGGAAGUCUCUGAUUUGGAUUAAUGGUAGAAGUAGCUAGUCUGUAAUGAUUGUUAGGUAUCAGUGGCGGAAUACAUCUAGAAUGGGAGUUGAAUAGGUGUGACAUAACUAAAUUUCCACUUUUCUGGUUUUUACGCACUUGCUGAAAAAUGCCCAGUUAAUCGAUUAACAACUGGUCUUAAUCGAUUAACUAAUAACUGAAACAGAAUGAUCAAAACAACAACUUGCACGGUUAUUAACAAACACACAAACAGAUAUAGAACAGAUACUUUUGUGCAAGAUUAGCAAGAACAUAGCAAGGAACACGUAUGCAAAAUAUUAGUUGCAGAUUCGCAUUAAAACAUAUUGAAACAUAAAAGAGAAAAGGAUAGAAAAGAUUGCGCAUGGAUUUUAUCCUGGUUCGUUUUGCUAUCCACUGCAAAACUACAUCCAGUCCUCCCCUCUAAUUUGGNNNNNNNNNNNNNNNNNNNNNNNNNNNNNNNNNNNNNNNNNNNNNNNNNNNNNNNNNNNNNNNNNNNNNNNNNNNNNNNNNNNNNNNNNNNNNNNNNNNNCCAAGGUAUCGCUCUUUAUCCCAAGACCUCCAAGUCUUUGUGUGAAGAACACCUUACCUAACCGCAGCUAGGAUUUUCCCAAUCCUCUAACAAUGCUUUGAGUUAUGAAAGAGUACUUAUACUCAGAUAUUACAAUAAGAAUCAAAGCCAACAACCUAAGCAAGAACUCACAAGACGUCCUAGUCUAAUAUGAAUGUCCAUGCAUGAGGGUUAUGAAAAUACGCAAUCUUGAAAGAACUAUCUUUUCCUUUUCAAGAAACACAAGAAUAAUGCAAGAAAGCUUUUGAAAGAAUCAUGCAAUAUGAAUAUGAAAACUAAAGCUUUAGCAUGAUCUAAUCUUUCUCUUAAUUCAACAUUUUCUAAUAGAUUCUAAUAAUGAAGAUCUAUAUCUAUUCUCUUGUGUUUUUCACUCUUCUUUUUCUUAGUUUGUCGUUUAUGCAAUUAGCCAGUAUUUAUACAAAACAGNNNNNNNNNNNNNNNNNNNNNNNNNNNNNNNNNNNNNNNNNNNNNNNNNNNNNNNNNNNNNNNNNNNNNNNNNNNNNNNNNNNNNNNNNNNNNNNNNNNNUGAUUAAUUAAUUUAUUAAGUCUUGUGAGACUCACACCUAGGUUUACCUAACCUAGACUCAAUAUCUAUGGCAAGCAUCUUAGACUUCUAAAAAGAUAAUAUAGAAUAAUAGCAUAGGUCUAAUAAGAUACCACUUGAGCCUUCGACAUGUUGAUUGCUGAGCCAUCUUCAUGCUUUAACGAAUUCCUUGUCUUCAUCGAAUUCCUUGUCUUCGUCAAAACAUAGGCAAACAUGGCUAAUGCAAUCCUUGACGCUUUGCACUCUCAAUGAUAUAUUCUAACAUGGUUUCAAAUCCUCGUGAUUGUCUUAUAAAGUUGUUUUAAACCACUUAAUUUUCUUCAACAACCAUGUUUUUUUUUGAAUUUUAGUCUUCUAAAUUCUUGUAAUUAUAUACUUUGGUACUCUAUUAUUAAAUAUUGUUUUUAGCAAUGAAUUAUAUUCAUCCAAUUCCAUUUUUCUUCAUCAGCCUUUAGCAUGAGAGGAGCAUAGAUAUCAAUGGUGACAAGAAAGGAACAUCUAAAUCUUUAGCAUGAGAGGAGCAUAUUAAGAAUGCAGCUAUGAGUGCUAAAGCAAUAAGAGUUUCUGAUAUAAUCAGUGGCGGAAUACACCUAGAAGGGGGGUUGAAUAGGUGUGGCGGAACUCAAUUUCCACUUUUCUGGUUUUUACACACUUGCUGAAAAAUGCCCAAUUAAUCGAUUAACAACUAAUCUUAAUCGAUUAACCAGUAACAGAAACAGAAUGAUCAAAACAACAACUUGCACGGUUAUUAACAAACACACAAACAAAUAUACAGCAGAUACUUUUGUGCAAGAUUAACAAGGACAUAGCAAGGAAAAAGUAUGCAAAAUAUUAGCUCCAAACACGCAUUAAAACAUCUUCAAAUAUAAAAGAGAAAUACAAAUAAAUGACUUGUACUACAAUUAGAUCUUUCCCUUAUGCUUUUAUCGCUUCGGCUUAUGAUUCCAUCAUUCCAAGAUUCAACAAUGAAUUAUCAUCAUUCAAUUCCAUUUUUUCAUCAUCAACCUUUAGCAUGAGAGGAGCAUAGAUAUCAAUGGUGACAAAAAAGGAACAUCUGAAUCUUUAGCAUGAGAGGAGCAUAGUAAGAAUGCAGCUAUGAGUGCUAUAGCGAUAAGAGUUUUGGACAUAAAAUCUGCCAUUGGAGAGAGGAAGAAUCAAUGGAGAAUUAGAGAGAGUUAGUGAAAUUGUGAUUGUUGUCACAGAGAUAGACAAUUACAAUAAAGCUUGAAGAAUUGCACUGCCAACUUCUUGUUAUUGAAAACCUCAUACAAUAAUACACAUAUCACUUAGUUUAUGAUUUCUCUUACUUUUCUUCUUCUCCAUGAGUUACAUUUUUUCCUAUUUUGUUUUUAGUUUCUCUCUUCAAGCAAGUUAUCGGUUUUUGGUUUUUCUCUUCCAGCCUAAGGUAAAUCGCUAUCUUUUUUACCUCAUUUAUUUCUUUUUGAUUUAGUCUUGAUGCUUGCAUAUACACCAUAAAUAAAAAGUCUUCGAUGCAUUUGAAUCGUUAUAUGUUUAAAUAAUUAGUUUAUUUGUGAUCAAUUUGGUAGAAACAUUUCCCUCUUAGGGUGAUAUUUAUUUGUUGUAAAGUUAUGCAACUAUGGUGUUCUAGGUUUUUUGUUGUAGUUCACUAGUUUAGAACACAUAGUUUGAGUAUAAUGGUAAAUGUUCUUUCUCAAUUGCUGCUAAUUCUUUAUUUUUUAUAGCUUUUACAAUUUGUUUAGAGAUGCCAUUUUUUAUUUGUAUUUGCUGCUUGCAAUAAUCAUUGAGGUACACAUGAACACUCAGUAAGGACUUGCACAUUGGAGGAGAAAGAAUGAACAAUUUGCGUAAGAUCUCAUUACUCAUAUGUUAUUUUAUAAUAUUGGAAUCUGACAAGGUUGAAUGUAGCUGAAGUCGUUGGUGAUAUAAUAAAUCUGUUGUAAAUGUGGUGGAGUUGGACAUGCUUGUCAUGUAUUGGAUAGAAUGUUUGGAAGAUAUAUUGUCUUAUUUAGAAAGUAGACAUUUAACAAUGCUUGCUUCAGUGAGCGCUGCUAAAUGUCUACUUUCUACAACGCUUCAAAAAAUAAUGUUAAAUAUAACCUUAUGUACUAUUGCGCUCACAUAGAAAGCGUCUAAGAAACGUUAUUAAAUGACAAUUUUAAGUGUUGUAGUUUUUCUAUUCUGGCGUAGUGAUUGUAUCUCUCAAAAUCAGAGAAGAUAGACUAAUGACAUAGAUCUUCCAAAGCUACCUGACAUGGGAAAAGCAAUCUUCGUUUGUCCAGGAUAGACCCAACAUCUCAUUGGAUAGAUCAAACCAACCUCAUCUACAAUGGAACUCAAAUUGUAGCCGAAACCUUCCCUAAGCAGGUUGCGGGUUGUGGCGUGCGGGCCGGAUAAUACUAGAAAAUAUUUAUUUAAUAUUAAUGUAUAACUUUUCUAACACACUUGUUAUCCCCAAUGCAAUCAAACUUAAUCUAAUGUCUUGUGUUUGAGUUAAGACGUGAUGUCAAGUCUACAUAUAUGAUUUUUAACAUAACACAUACUAAAUCUCUCAUUUCUAUUGGACUAUGACUCCCUAACACAAUAUAAUUUGUAACUUCACUUUAAUAUAUAUACAUUUGGAUACUAUCAAAAUAUUAUCGCUUCGGUUUAUAGUAAUGGUAAUAUAGACACAAGUUUAGAAUGAACUAUUUAAUAUAUAUAUAUAUAUAUAUAUAUAUCAUUUGAUAUUAAUGUAUAACUUUUCUAACACACUUGUUAUGCCCAAUGCAAUCAAACUUAAUCUAAUGUCUUGUGUUUGAGUUAAGACGUGAUGUCAAGUCCACAUAUAUGAUUUUUAACAUUACACAUACUAAAUCUCUCAUUUCUAUUGGACUCUGACUCCCUAACACAAUAUAAUUUGUAACUUCACUUUAAUAUAUAUACAUUUGGAUACUGUCAAAAUAUUAUCGCUUCGGUAUAUAGUAAUGGUAAUAUAGACACAAGUUUAGAAUGAACUUUAUAUGUCAAAGUAUAAUAACCAUCGUAAUAUAUGAUCGUUAUUCUUUAAUUUCUAUAUGAUGAUCUUUUGUAUGCUAUUUAUCAAUACUUUUGUUGUGAACUAUUAUGUUAAAUUUGCUUGUGUGGAGUUCUCAAUGGUAAAAAAUUAUGUUGUAUUUUAGUUUAGUUGUAAAAAAACUAUUUUCUUUAUUAUAUUUUUGUUGUAGAAGUUAAAUAUAAUUAAAUACACAAUUAAGAAAUGAAAAGUGGAAUCUACAUGGUUUAAUGUCUUCUCAAUUGAUUUGAUAUACUAUUUUGUUAUUGUGGUUACAAAAGAUAUUAUGGAAUAUAGGAAAAAUAAUAUAAUACUUAACUUUAAAAACAUUAUUGUAAUUUAUAAAUAUUUAUAUUAUAGACAUCACUCUAUUUUCUAUUCAAAGUUCAUAACACAAUAUUUAUCAUAACACAUGUCAUUUCAAUCAACUUUUGUUAUAUCAACUCCCCUUUUGAUAUAUAUGAUGAUAUCUUUGUUUCAAAUAUACCAACCUAUUAAUGCAUAUAUUCUUAUAUACUUUAAUCGAUACAUAUAUGUUUUUUAAAUUUACUUUAGACAUUAUUGAUCUUAAGCAUGCGUAAGAGGGAACUGCACCAUGCGAAUGUACGGGUAACUUACUAGUUUAUUAUAUAUUUUUUAUUAUAAGUUAUUUUAUAAUAUAAAUUUAUGAGUUUUUGGUGGGCUGGCUGGACUAGCCAUGCCCAUUUUGACACCUCUAACUGUAUUGAUACUAUUAUUCAAGACCCAAAGUUGGGCCAAGUCAUACAACUUUUGGGAGAUCAAAAAUAGUUUAGUUUCGUAUUUGACAUAUAGCUGCACAAUAUCCUGAUAGCAGUACCUUCUUGGCUUGCACAACAAUAAUAUGUUGGAAGCUAGUUUGGAGGCAAUUUUAAUUUUUGUCAACCUAUUUUGGUUUCUCUUUAAUAAUUAAAAAAGUAAUAAUUUCAAUAUAUUUACUUAGAUCUUAGUAUUAAGUUGCACAUAUUAAUUUUAAUUUCAAUUGAUUUUACAUGUCAAAUAUUAACCAUGUAUAUUAUGUUUGGUAUGGUCAAUGGAAAUUAUUAUUUGUAGUCAAAAACGUUUUGUAAUUACAUUUGAGAUUAACAUUUUUCACAAAGAUAUAAUGUGUUACUUACUCGUAUCUAUGGUAAUAACUUUUUAAGAAAUAAAUUUGAAUCUUAGAUAAGGAAUGUGUUUUUACUCUUUUCGAAUAGUAAAUAUUUCUCAAAUUCAACAUAAAUCUACCUGAUUCAAAAGGGAAGAACUUGCCUCUGUCUCAAUUUGAAUUAGACUGCGUACCAUCACAUAUCAUCUAAACUAUGAUAAUAUGUAAUCUUAUGUAUAUAAGAUCAUGAUUAUGGAAAAUGUUUAAAUCUUAAGUUUUAUUUAACAUGACUUUAUAAGCUUUGAUAUUACAUGAUAAUAAGAUAUAAUCAAUCCUUAUCAACAUUUUAUUAUUCCAACACACACUUUUGAUACUCAUUCUUGUGAUGCUUGGAUCCGAAGUUUAUCAAAUGGCGGUGGUGGACAACAAUAUGUGUAAAUACAUUUGCAACCAGGACCAUAAAGUUUUUGACACUGUAUGUCUGCGCUACAUGGAAUAUGCUCAAUGCGACCCGCAUACGANNNNNNNNNNNNNNNNNNNNNNNNNNNNNNNNNNNNNNNNNNNNNNNNNNNNNNNNNNNNNNNNNNNNNNNNNNNNNNNNNNNNNNNNNNNNNNNNNNNNUUUAAUUAUGUAAAAUAAUUUGCAAUAAUAUUUCAACUAAAAAAGUCUAAUGAAAAUCAUUUGAAAAUGUAAUACAUUUUUUUCUUGCUCAUUUAAUAUUGUUAUUUGUUGCAAACUUGAGUAUAAUAUUUUAUGUUUAUUUUUUAGUUACAUUCUUAAUAAAUCUAAUAUUUUGUAUGACCUUUCAUUUUUAGUCACAUUUCAUAUGGAAAUUAUUUAGCCCAAUAUGUUUUUAAACUAUUACUCACAUGUUAAAAAGGUAAUAGUUCAUAAUAAUUAAAAAAGGUAAUAGUACACAUGUUCUUUAGUAGUGAGAUUUUUUGUGUAAAAUGAAUAAUUAUCUGUUUAGGUAAAUUAAUUGGUCCCCGUUAUUUAUGCGUCAUGUAUGACACAUUUGCCACACAUGCAUAGGUGUAGACAUAUGAAUACUUAUAAACAACUCUUGUUUGAAGGGAUAAUUACUUAUUCCAAAAGAUAUUAUUACAUUUUUUUUGGGUAGAUUAAACUUUCAUUAACAUAGAACUUCUUCUACGAAUUUUGGACAUAAUACAAAAAUAUUAUUAUAAGUAAACAAAAAAGAAAAAAUAAUGUGAAAGACCAUAAUAAAAAUACUUACAUUUAAUGUUAUAGUAUCAUAUAUGGUAGUUCAACUUUUUCAGACAUGGAAUUUGUAAAUCGUGUAUUGCUGGUGAGUAUAUGAAUUGAUUUUGACGUUCAAAAAUAUUUUUUUGAGUUUUGUACAUGCAUAGUUUUAUUUAUUGUCAAUUAAUUUUAUUUAAUUACCCAUCCUUUAUAUUCUUGUGCAAAGUAUAGGCAGUCACACUAAAUUCAACCAAUAGCUUACAUUUUCAUCACAUGGAAAUUUAAUUUCCUAUCUCAAUUAUUCUAAGAUAAAUGUCUUGCUUUAAAUAUUCAAAAAUUAAUCAUAAUAAGAAGUUGAUAUAAUUAUGUAAGAUCUCACACAAUAUCUAUUAUCUAUCGAUAUAUAUAUAUAUAAUGCACUAUCAAAUAGUGUUUAAUACUUAGGGCUAGUCUUGAUAUUUUAUAGGCCAUCCACAAAGAAAAAGUGGGAGACUUCCUUUAUUAUAAAAAAAAUAUGUGAAAUUUAUAUGUCAAUACUUAAACUAAAAUAAGAUAUUAAAGCAAAUCAUGUUCAAAAAAUAAGUUCAUAAAAUGACAACAUAUAAUAUAUUUAAACAAUGAAAAUUCACCUAUGAAAAUUGUCAUAAAAUGAGAAUAUAUAAUAUAUUUUCUUUUUAUUAUUUAUUUGUUAUUGUUACUGUUGUAAGACAUGAGCCUACUAUAUAUUUUUAAUUAUUAGGCACAUUCUCAAUGGAUCUCAUAUUUUUUACACUAAGGGCAGACCUAAUUUUAAUUCUACCUCUCAAAUAUGAUAGCAUAAUAUAAGGAUUACUACAAUUAAUUAAAUAUAAUAUAUGUAAUUUAAUAAUUAAUAAAAGGAAGAAUUCACAUGUUCUGGAGUAUUGAUAUUUUUGUGUAAAAUAAAAAACAUGAAAGUACAAAAUAUAUGUGAAGGUAAAAAAAUUGUCCCAUGUUAAUAUUUGUACUCAUUCUGAACGAUAUUAGUAUUGAUAUUUUUACUCACUUUAAACUAUAUUAGUUUCUUAUCUAUAAGAUGAUGUAAUACCUUAUUUAAAAAAAAGAUAUAUUCUAUAAUAGAAACAAAAGAUGAAUUUAUAUUAAUUAAUACUUUAUAUUUUCAACAAAUUAAAAUUUGUCAUCUAACUCAUUAUAUAUAUAUAUAUAUAUAUAUAUAUAAUAUUGCUUGAUUUUGUAGCUGUAGUACUCUUCCAAUAAUGUUAAACUUUUUAUUUGAAUUUUUGACUUAAUGUUAAAUAUUAUUAUGAGUAAAUAAAAAACAAUAAAUAAUUAUCAAGGACCAUAAAAAAUAAGAAAAAUUACUUACAUUUAAUGCCUUGAAACAUAUAUGGAAAUCUAAUUUUUUACACAAACAAUUUGUAAUUUUUUUAAGGCUGGGUGAAAUACAUAACUAUGAAUGAGUACAUAAAUUGAUUUUGACUUUCAAUAAUACUUUGUAUAGAUUUCUAAAUUUUUCAUUUUGUUUAUUUAUGGUCAAUUGAUAUUAUCUGUUUACAUACAUGUCCUUUAGUAUCUACUACAAAAUAUUUGGCCAAUAAACAAUUAUAUCAUAAAUUGAUUCAUGUGACUAGUAGAGGAAUUGUGCCCUUAUAAAUAUAUUUGUGUAUUUAUUUUAAGUCCCUUUAAUGAAUGCCAUUAGGAGUCCAGACAUUCAUCAUGAAAUUAAAUAACUGAAAAUUUAUAUGGGAACGUGCGGGAUUGAAUAUAAUAUUUAUAUUAAAUGCAUGUCUUAUUUAAUAUUUUCUAGUGACAAAUUUUUAGUUUUGAAUAUUUACUUAGUUCUAUAAAGAUAUUUUGCACAUUUGUGUUAUAUUUUAUUUUGCUAAAUAAAACAAGUAUUGUCCAUGAAUACAAUAUUCUUUGUAUUUGAGGUGACUACGACAAGCGAUAAUAAUUUCAUACAAAAUAUAUUUAAUGUUGAUACAUUUAUAGGAAGUUUCUGAUUUGGAUUAAUGGUAGAAGUAGCAAGUCUGCAAUGAUAUAUUCUAACAUGGUUUCAAAUCCAUGUGAUUGCCUUAUAAAGUUGUUUUAAACCACUUAAUUUUUUUUCACAACCAUGUUUUUUUAAUAUUAGUCUUGUAAAUUCUUGUAAUUCUAUACCUUUGGUACUCUCAUUUGAAUAAUAUGUUUGCUUUAUUGGUCUAUCUUCUAACAUAACUAAACAUGAAAAUGAGUAAUGAAUUUGAAUGUGAAGCUUCUGGACCAUUACUGAAGAGUUUGCUGUGAAUAGUAAAAUGUGUAUAACUAUGCUUGAUAUUGUUUGUUACUAAGAAGGCGUGAGAAUGAAAGUUGAGUGAUUAUGAAAAAUAUAUACUAUCUAUAUGAACUUGUAUUAUAUUAGCACUGUUGAAUUUGUUUGAAUCAUAUUUUACUAAGUGAUUGUGAUACAUGGAUAGGAUCAAACCAAUUGUUUGUUUAAACCCACUUGGCCAAACACUAACCAGAUUUUAUGAUUAUCCCUUGAUAAGCCCCUUUAAGCCAUUAAUGUUCAUUGAUUGAAACCUUAUGCUAGAUUAAAAAUCUAUCUAGUCUACUUCUAGUGGGAUAAGAGAGUUAAGUGUUACAUUGAGUUAAAUUCUAAGUUGGGGAGAGGAAAAUGUAUCUAUGAAAAAAGUGGGAAAUAAGUAUUGUAGUACACCAUUCAUCCCAUGAAAAACAAGAAAAGAAAUACUCCACACAAAGGAGAGGGAAAAAAAAUCAAAGGAUGAAUGGUGGCUAAAUGAAAUGAAAAGAAGAAAAGAGAAAUACAAAUAAAUGAUUUGUACUACAAGUAGAUCUUUCGCUUAUGCUUUUAUCGCUUCGGCUUAUGAUUCCAUCAUUCCAAGAUUCAACAAUAAAUUAUCAUAAUCCAAUUCCAUUUUUCUUCAUCAGCCUUUAGCAUGAGACGAGCGUAGAUAUCAAUGGUGACAAGAAAGGAACAUCUGAAUCUUUAGCAUGAGAGGAGCAUAUUAAGAAUGCAACUAUGACUGCUAAAGCAAUAAGAGUUUCUGACAUAAUCAGUGGCGGAAUACACCUAGAAGGGGGGGUUGAAUAGGUGUGGCGGAACUCAAUUCCCACUUUUCUGGUUUUUACACACUUUCUGAAAAAAUGCCCAGUUAAUCGAUUAAAAACUAGACGUAAUCGAUUAACCAGUAACAGAAACAGAAUGAUCAAAACAACAACUUGCACGGUUAUUAACAAACACACAAACAAAUAUACAACAGAUACUUUUGUGCAAGAUUAACAAGGACAUAGCAAGGAAAAAGUAUGCAAAAUAUUAGCUCCAAACACGCAUUAAAACAUCUUCAAAUAUNNNNNNNNNNNNNNNNNNNNNNNNNNNNNNNNNNNNNNNNNNNNNNNNNNNNNNNNNNNNNNNNNNNNNNNNNNNNNNNNNNNNNNNNNNNNNNNNNNNNGAUUUUAUCCUGGUUCGUUUUGUGGUCCACUGCAAAACUACAUCCAGUCCUCCCCUCUGAUUUGGGAGAUUUUCCUUCUUCACUAUGAAACACAAUGUACGUUACAUACACGCUUCCAAAUACAAAACUGGAAUGCUCCCUUCUUGGAACCGAAAGAACUACGUUACCCUUGGUUUGACCUUUUCCAAAACCGCCUCCCAAGAAAACCUUUCUUAUGCGAUUCGGCCCCAGCCAAGGUAUCGCUCAUUAUCCCAAGACCUCCAAGUCUUUGUGUGAAGAACACCUUACCUAACCAAAGCUAGGAUUUUCCCAAUCCUUUAAUAACAAUGCUUUGAGGUAUGAAAGAGUACUUAAUACUCGAAUAUUACAAUGAAAACCAAAGCCUAAAAACCUAAGCAAGAACUCAGAAGACUUCCAAGUCUAAUGUGAAUGCACAUGCAUGAGGUUUCUGAAAAUAUGCAAUCUUUAAAGAACUAUCUUUCUCUUUUCAAGAAACAAAAGAAUAAUGCAAGAAAGCUUUUGAAAGAAACAUGCAAGAUGAAUGUGAAAGCUAAAGCCUUAGCAUGAUCUAAUCUUUCUCCUAAUUCAACACUUUCUAAUAGAUUCUAAUAAUGAAGAUCUAUAUCUAUUCUCUUGUGUUUUUCACUCUUCUUUUUCCUCUUCUUCUUAGUUUGCCGUUUAUGCAAUUAAGCCAGUAUUUAUAGAAAACAGAUUUUGGNNNNNNNNNNNNNNNNNNNNNNNNNNNNNNNNNNNNNNNNNNNNNNNNNNNNNNNNNNNNNNNNNNNNNNNNNNNNNNNNNNNNNNNNNNNNNNNNNNNNUUAGAAAUACUCCACAAAAAGGGGAGUGAAAAAAAAUCAAAGGAUGAAUGGUGGAAAAAUGAAAUGAAAAGAAGAAAAGAGAAAUACAAAUAAAUGAUUUAUACUACAAGUGGAUCUUUCGCUUAUGCUUUUAUCGCUUCGGCUUAUGAUUCCAUCAUUCCAAGAUUCAACAAUGAAUUAUCAUCAUUCAAUUCCAUUUUUCUUCAUCAGCAUUUAGCAUGAGAGGAGCAUAGAUAUCAAUGGUGACAAUAAAGGAACAUCUGAAUCUUUAGCAUGAGAGGAGCAUAUUAAGAAUGCAUCUAUGAGUGCUAAAGCAAUAAGAGUUUUUGACAUAAAAUCUUCCAUUGGAGAGAGGAAGAAUGAAUGGAGAAUUAGAGAGAGUUAGUGAAUUUGUGGUUGUUGUCACAGAGAUAGAUACACCUAUAACUUGGAGCUCAAAGAAGCAGUCAGUUGUGGCCCUAUCAACUUGUGAAGUAGAAUAUAUUGCAACAUCCUCAACUACUUGCCAAGAAUUUUGGCUAUCAUCUUUGCUUUGUGAAAUGAAUAUACUUAAUGUAGAGAACAUGGAAUUGCUGGUUGAUAGUAAAUCAACAAUAGACUUGGCCAAAAAUCUAGAAUCCUAUGCUAGGAGUAAACAUAUUGAUACUAAGUAUCAUUUCCUUAGAGACCAAGUAAGAAAAGGUUGAGAUUGAUAAAAAAUUUCAUUAACUUAGAUUCAACUAAAGCAUUGCAACACUGAUUUUUAGGUGGCUGACAUUUUAACUAAGCCGCUAAAGGUUGACAGAUUCAAGAGAUUGAGAGACUUGUUGAAUGUGACUUGUUUGUAAUGGGUUUUGAAUCAAGGAAGGGUGUUAGAAAUGAUUCAAAACUUGGAGAGUUAGUUAGUCAGUUUUAGAGUUUUCUGUUUUUAGAACUCUAGUUGUAAUACUCGCUAUAAAUAGAAAUUUUACUCCUUAGUUGAAUCAUUGAGAAAUAUACAACAAACAUUAUUUAGUAUAUACAAUUUACUCUCUGAUAUACUCUUCUAUACACUAUAUGCAUUUUCUUUCUUUCUUUCUUCUUGUCUCUACACACGAUUUCACUCUGCAAAUUUUCUUUCUCUAGUUUCUUUCAACAUUCUUCAUUCUUCCAACAUGUUCAUGUACUGGUUCAGUAGGGUAUCAGAAGGAAAAGCUUGUCAUUGGUGCAAGGUUUGAAGAUAGAGUUCACCUAUACCAUGAUUCUUAAGGACGUCAAGAAUGAGUACAAAAAAAAGAAACCUCUUGAUCGAACAAGGUAGACAGACAACCUCAUAAACCAAACAAGAAGGGUAGUCUAUAAGCCCUAUCAGGCUAGAGACCAAAAAGACCGAGCAACAAAAAGAAGUGUUCUAUCAAUGACAAGACAACAUGGGGCCCACCCUACUACCCCUAUGUUGUGCCACAUGCAUAAAACUGUCACCUCUGAUUGAAUAACCUAGACCUUUGUUAUAUGUUGCAUGCUACCUAUGCCCUACUGUUCCUAUCAACAACAAUUCACUAUGCCAUAGCUGAUAAAUGUAAGGCAUAAGAGAAAUAACAGUGCUUAUUGAAGCAAGUGACGUUAAAGAUGUUAUCUUUAACAACGCUUAUUUAAGAAAACGCUGUUAAAGGUCAUACUUCAUAUAUUUAACAACACUUCUUCAGUGAGGCAGUUAAAAGUGUUAUCUUUAACAGUGCUUACUGAAGCAAACGCUGUUAAAGAUCACACAUUCAUAUAUUUAACAUCACUUCUUCAGUGAGCGCUGUAUUGUUGAACGUGUUAUCUUUAACAAUGCUUAUUGAAGAAAGUGAUGUUAAAGGUCAUACUUCAUAUAUUUAACAACACUUCUUCAGUGAGGCAGUUAAAAGUGUUAUCUUUAACAGUGCUUACUGAAGCAAACGCUGUUAAAGAUCACACAUUCAUAUAUUUAACAUCACUUCUUCAGUGAGCGCUGUAUUGUUGAAUGUGUUAUCUUUAACAAUGCUUAUUGAAGAAAGUGAUGUUAAAGGUCAUACUUCAUAUAUUUAACAANNNNNNNNNNNNNNNNNNNNNNNNNNNNNNNNNNNNNNNNNNNNNNNNNNNNNNNNNNNNNNNNNNNNNNNNNNNNNNNNNNNNNNNNNNNNNNNNNNNNUAAAGUUAUGCAACUAUGGUGUUCUAGGUUUUUUGCUGUAGUUCACUAGUUUAGAAAACAUAGUUUGAGUAUAAUGGUAAAUGUUCUUUCUCAAUUGCUGCUAAUUUUUUAUUUUUUAGAGCUUUUGAAAUUUUUUUAGAGAUGCCAUUUUUUAUUUGUAUUUGCUGCUUGCAAUAAUCAUUGAGGAACACAUGAACACUCAGUAAGGACUUGCACAUUGGAGGAGAAAGAAUGAACAAAAUUUGCGUAAGAUCUCAAUACUCAUAUGUUAUUUUAUAAUAUUGGAAUCUGACAAGGUUGAAUGUAGCUGAAGUCGUUGGUGAUAUAAUAAAUCUGUUGUAAAUGUGGUGGAGUUGGACAUGCUUGUCAUGUAUUGGAUAGAAUGUUUGGAAGAUAUAUUGUCUUAUUUAGAAAGUAGACAUUUAACAACGCUUGCUUCAGUGAGCGCUGCUAAAUGUCUACUUUCUACAACGCUUCAAAAAAUAAUGUUAAAUAUAACCUUAUGUACUAUUGCGCUAACAUAGAAAGCGUCUAAAAAACGUUGUUAAAUGACAAUUUUAAGUGUUGUAGUUUUUCUAUUCCAGCGUAGUGAUUAUAUCUCUCAAAAUCAGACAAGAUAGACUAAUGACAUAGUGAUACAUGCCAAUACGAGCAAAAGACAACCGUCCACGAAGUAUAUAUCUUCCAAAGCUACCUGACAUGGGAAAAGCAAUUUUUGUUUGUCCAGGAUAGACCCAACAUACCUUUUUAUCGAUCAAACCAACCUCAUCUACAAUGGAACUCAAAUUGUAGCCGAAACCUUCCUUAAGCGGGUUGUGGCGUGCAGGCCGGAUAAUACUAGAAAAUAUUUAUUUAAAUUUUAACAUAUUUAAUCUAUUUAAUAUAUAUAUAUAUAUCAUUUGAUAUUAAUGUAUAACUUUUCUAACACACUUGUUAUGCCCAAUGCAAUCAAACUUAAUCUAAUAUCUUGAUGUCUUGUGUUUGAGUUAAGACGUGAUGUCAAGUCCACAUAUAUGAUUUUUAACAUAACACAUACUAAAUCUCUCAUUUCUAUUAGACUAUGACUCCCUAACACAAUAUAAUUUGUAACUUCACUUUAAUAUAUAUACAUUUGGAUACUAUCAAAAUAUUAUCGCUUCGGUUUAUAGUAAUGGUAAUAUAGACACAAGUUUAGAAUGAACUUUAUUUGUCAAAAUAUAAUAACCAUCGCUUUAUUUGAUCGUUAUUCUUUAAUUUCUAUAGGAUGAUCUUUGUAUGUUAUUUAUUAAUACUUUUAUUGUGAACUAUUAUGUUAAAUUUGCUUGUGUGCAGUUCUCAAUGGUAAACAAUUAUGUUGUCUUUUAGUUUAGUUGUAAAAAAACUAUUUUCUUUAUUAUAUUUUUGUUGUAGAAGUUAAAUCUAAUUAAAUACAUAAUUAAGAAAUGAAAAGUGAAAUCUACAUGGUUUAAUGUCUUAUUAAUUUAUUUGAUAUACUAUUUUGUAUUACCUUUCAUUUUUAGUCACAUUUCAUAUGGAAAUCCUUUAGGGCAAUAUGUUUUCAAACUAUUACUCACAUUCUUAAUAAAUUAAUACUUUGAAAUGCAAUAAUUCAUAAUAAUUAAUAAAGUUAAUAGUGCACAUGUUCUUUAGUAGUGAUAUAUUUUGUCUAAAAAAAAUAAUUAUCUGUUUAGGUAAAACAAUUGGUCGCCGUUAUUUAUGCGUCAUGUAUGACACAUUUGUCACACAUGCAUAGGUCUAGACAUAUUAAUACUUAUAAACAACUCUCUUUUUUUUAAGCAAGGGGCUUAGCCCAUAAUAUAUUAAUAAGCUGUAAACAUACAAGAUUAGUUUAUAAACCUAUAGGAAGGUAAUUGAAGACUAUUCCUAUACAAAUAAGGAAGCACUAAAGAAGGUGGAUGAGACCACCAAGUAUAGCAAUUUUGAUCUAUGCCCAAGUUUGCCAAGGAAUCAGCACAUUGGUUUCCCUCCCUAUAGAUGUGUGUUAUCCAACAAUCCAUUGAAGACAUGAGGAUCUUACAGGACCUCCAAGUUGACAUUAACUUCCAAGGGAUAACCAUAGUACCUAGGAAAAUUUUUGUGACCAACAAUGAGUCACAUUCUAACCAAAUUGUGUGCCAUCCCAUGCUGUGAGCCUUUUGAAUUGCUAAAAAGGCCGAGGAAAGCUCAGCAUAGAGAGCAUCAUGUAUGCCAAAAUAGGUAGAGAAAGCACCCAUGAAUAAACCAUCAUGAUCCUUGAAAAUUCCUCCCCCUCCAGCAUGACCCGGGUGACCUCUAGCAGCUCCAUCAGUAUUGAUUUUCACCCUUCCAAAGGGAGGCAACUUCCAAUUGACUUCCAAGAUUCUAGGAGAUUUCCUAUAGUUGACCUGCACUUUUAGAGACCUGAUGAUUGAGGAAUCAAGCAGAGAGGAGCUUGCUAUUGCCGAGGAAGAAUUACCAGCCAGAGUGAGGGAACUCUUGAUUCUGUUGAUAGCUUGAGGCAAAAGUAAGUUUUUGUCCUGAAACCUGCUCAAGUUUCUGCAGUGCCAAAUUGUGUUAACAGCAAGCACCACUGCAGCAGUGAUGAGGAAUUGCACUUGAGCACUUCUUUUGGCAGCAAGGAGUAGAUUAGCAGCAGAAGAUGUGUCAAUUGUGAUUUGGAAUUGGUGAUUCAACCACUCCCAGAUUGCAGUAGCAAAGGAACAUGAGAGAAAUAGGUGCUGAGAUGAUUCAACUUGGACAUGACAAAGAUUGCAUUUAGAAGCUAAAAUGCAGCCUCUAGCUUGUAAGUUCUCAUCUGAGGGCAUUCUGUUGUUUAUAAGCCUCCAAAGGGUGAAGGAUUUUGAGGGAGGAAUGAAGCUAGACCAUAUGAGCUUGCACCACUGCCUUGAAUCAGUAGAUGGCAUGAUGCUCUUGUAGGCAUCCUUUAGAGAUAGAUUACCAUCAAUAGAAUCUUUCCAGAAGAUUCUAUCUUUAUAAUUUGAUAGCUUUGUGCUGCAAAUACUAGAAGCAACUUCUGGAUACUUGUCAAACAACUCCUGAGGAAUGGUCCAGGCANNNNNNNNNNNNNNNNNNNNNNNNNNNNNNNNNNNNNNNNNNNNNNNNNNNNNNNNNNNNNNNNNNNNNNNNNNNNNNNNNNNNNNNNNNNNNNNNNNNNUGUGCCUUAGCAAAUUCAUAGAUUUAGCCACUUGUCUGAUUUUGGUAAUUCUGUGAAAGAAGGCAGUGUUUCUAUCACCCUGAGUUUGCCAGUUGAUUCUAGACUUUUCUGUCCAAAACUCUUCUUCCAUUCCAAGCACCUUCAGAAGGUUUCUUUGGGCUAUGACUUCCUCAUCAAGCAACAUUUGCAUAUCCUCAUGGUUAUGCUGCAAGUCAUUGAUACAAGUUUGGAUGGUUUCAACUUCCAUCAUUGCAUCUUUCAUUCUUUGGUGUAUGUUGCCGAAGACCUCUCUAUUCCAGACUUUAAGAGCUGAUUUUAAUCUUCUCAAUUUCGAAGAUAAAACAUACAUAGGACAACCAAGCACCACUCCAUUCCAAGAUGCCUCAAUUAUGGAUCUGCAAUUGGAAUGCUGGAUCCACAUAGAUUGGAAUCUGAAAGAGAAUGCUGCAUCCACAUAGACUGGAAUCUAAAAGAGGUAACUCUAUCAAUACUGUAAGAGCUACAAUUAAGGAGGAUUGGAUUGUGAUCAGAGGAGACUCUAGGUAAAGUGCAACAAGAAACCUGGUUCCAAGCAUUGAGCCAACCCUCAUUACAAAUUGCUCUAUCCAACCUCUUUUCAGUAAGGGCAUCCCCCCUUCUUUUGUUAGACCAAGUGAAGUCAGAGCCUCUGGUGCUAAGAUGGAUUAAAUUCUCUCUAUCAGAAAACUCCUUGAAGUCAAUAAUAGGGAUUCUAGCUGGAAUUGUAGAACCUAUAUGCUCAUGAGAACCCAUGAUGGCAUUAAAAUCACCAACAAAACACCAGGGGCCAGUAAAAGAGGAUAGCAGGAUGUGCAAGUCAUCCCAAAGCUUCCUUCUAACCAAGUAGUUGGUGUUAGCAUAUAUAGCAGCAAAAUUGAAAUUGAUGUUGUUAAGAGUCAUAGAGACUGAGAUGAGUUGGUCAGUGCAACCAAAGACUAUAGGAUCAACAUUUUUAUUGCAUAGACCCCAUAAGCUAGGAAGCAGGUCUUGUCUUUUAUUAACUAUAAAUAACUUGAGAUUCAUUUGAGACCAAUAGGAAGGAUGAAUCUCAUUGAAAUCCACCUUUGGCUCAGCAAUAAAUAGAAGGUCUGGUUUGUUUGCCAGGACCAAAUUUUUUAGCACCAAUCUAGUAUUGAGGUUGCCAAUUCCCCUGCAGUUCCAGAAUAUGGUAUUCAUUUAGAUGUGUGUAGGUAUCCACCCCUUCGGGUAUAAUGAACCUUGCCCUGACCACUCCUUCUCUUUUGUUUCCUUUUUUGAGACUUGGAUACCACCUCAGUGAAGACNNNNNNNNNNNNNNNNNNNNNNNNNNNNNNNNNNNNNNNNNNNNNNNNNNNNNNNNNNNNNNNNNNNNNNNNNNNNNNNNNNNNNNNNNNNNNNNNNNNNAGGAAUCCUGGUCUUAGAUUCCAGGAACCAGUGGCACACACUGAUCUCAUAUCUUCCAAGGAGGAGAAUGAGAACUCGUAAAAACCUUUUCCUAGGGAGACCAUAUACCAUUGCCCUAUAGAGUUCCAGAGAGUUGUGAGCUUGGCUUUCAGAUCCACAUACUUUAAUGGAUUGUCACCCUUUGAAAGAAUAAUCCUACCGUGCAGGUGGUUUUUACACCUUUGGAGACCUGCUUGAUAGUCCUCCUCUGGUAUUUUGAUUGCUAUAGCAUCUCCCUUAAGGCAGGGUUGAGGGAGUUGAGAGACUGAGAUGUUACAAGAGUUUUUGACAGCUUGAGCAAAGGUCUUCCUCGUGGGGGACAGUGGGGCUUGUGGCUUAGCUGUGCAUUGAGAAUCAGCAAGAAAAGACCAUGGGACAAAAUUUCCAACUGGCAUUUUGUAGAAGAAGCAGAUCCAGGGACCAAGAAAGCUGGAGAGAGCUCCCAGAAACUAGGAGAUGAGUUCCAAGAAUGUUGGAGCUUUGGUUUUCAUGAGCAGAGCCCUAGCCGCUCUAAUGCCAAUAUAAACAACUCUUGUUUGAAGGGAUAAUCACUUAUUGCAAAAGAUAUUAUUACAUUUUUUUUUGGGUAGAUUAAACUUUCAUUAAUAUAAAACUUCUUCUAUGAAUUUUGGACAUAAUACGAAAAUAUUAUUACUAGUAAACAAAAAAGAAUAAAUAAUAUCAAAGACCAUAAUAAAAAUACUUACAUUUAAUGUUGUAGUAUCAUAUAUGGUAGUUCAACUUUUUCAGACAAGGAAUUUGUAUAUUGUGUAUUGCUGAUAAGUAUAUUAAUUGAUUUUGACUUUCAAAAAUAUUUUUUUAGUUUUGUACAUGCAUAGUUUUAUUUAUUUAUUGUCAAUUAAUUUUAUUUAAUUACCCAUCCUUUAUAUUCUUGUGCAAAGUAUAGGCAGUCACACUAAAUUCAACCAAUAGCUUACAUUUUCAUCACAUGGAAAUUUAAUUUCCUAUCUUACUUAUUCUAAGAUAAAUGUCUUGCUUUAAAUAGUCAAAAAUUAAUUAUAAUAAGAAGUGGAUAUAAUUAUGUAAGAUCUCACAGAAUAUCUAUUUAUCUAUCCAUAUAUAAUGCACUAUCAAAUGUUAGUGUUUAAUAUUCAGGGCUAGUCUUGAUAUUUUAUAGGCCAUCAACAAAGAAAAAGUGGGAGAUUUCAUUUAUUAUAAAAAAAUAUGUGAAAUUUAUAUGUCAAAAGCUUAAUCGAAAAUAAGAUAUUAAAGCAAAUCAUGUUAAAAAAAUAAGUACAUAAAAUGAGAACAUAUAAUAUAUUUCAAUAAUCAAAAUUCACCUAUGAAAAUUGUCCUAAAAUGAGAACAUAUAAUAUAUUUUCUUUUUCUUANNNNNNNNNNNNNNNNNNNNNNNNNNNNNNNNNNNNNNNNNNNNNNNNNNNNNNNNNNNNNNNNNNNNNNNNNNNNNNNNNNNNNNNNNNNNNNNNNNNNUCCAAUGUUAAUAUUUUUACUCAUUCUUAACGAUAUUAGUAUUGAUAUUUUGACCCACUUUGAAUUAUAUUAGUUUCUUAUCUACAAGAUGAUGUAAUAUCUUAUUUAGCAAAAAAGAUACAUUCUAUAAUAGAAACAAAAGGUGAAUUUAUAUUAAUUAAUACUUUAUAGUUUCAAUAAAUUAAAAUUUGUUUUUUAUCUUUAAAAUUUGUCAUUCAACUCAUCUAAAAAUAAAUAUGGUGCUAUUAAUAGUCAAAUAUUUAUUCUAAAAUAAUAGCCAUCAAAUAUAAAUAUAUAUAUAUAUAUAAUAUUGCUUGGUUUUGAAGCUGUAGUACUCUUCCAAUAAUGUUAAACUUUUUAUUUGAAUUUUUGACUUAAUGUUAAAUAUUAUUAUGAGUAAAUAAAAAACAAUAAAUAAUUAUCAAGGACCAUAAAAAAUAAUAAAAAUUACUUACAUUUAAUGCGGUGAAUCAUACAUGGAAGUCUAAUUUUUUACACAAACAAUUUGUAAAUUGGAACUAUUAAUGAGUACAUAAAUUGAUUUUGACUUUCAAAAAUAUUCUGUAUAGAUUUCUAAAUUUUUAAUUUUAUUAGUUUAUGGUCAAUUAAUAUUAUCUGUUUACCUACAUGUCCUUUAGAUUCUACUACAAAAUAUUUGGCCAAUAAACAAUUAUAUCAAAAAUUGAUUCAAGUGACUAGUAGAAGAAUUGUGCCCAUUAUAAAUAUAUUUGUGUAUUUAUUUAUUAUUUAUUUUAAAUCCCUUUAAUGAAUGCCAUUAGGAGUCAAGACAUUCAUCAUGAAAUUAAAUAACUGGAUUUUUAUAUGGGAACGUGCGGGAUUAAAUAUAAUAUUUAUAUUAAAUGCACGUCUUAGUAACAAAUUUUUACUUUUGAAUAUUUACUUAGUUCUAUAAAGAUAUUUUGCACAUUUGUGUUAUAUUUUAUUUUGGUAAAUAAAACAAGUAUUGUCCAUGAAUGCAAUAUUCUUUGUAUUUGAGGUGACUACGACAAGCGAUAAUAACUCCAUACAAAAUACAUUCAAUGUUGAUAUAUUUAUAGGAAGUCUUUGAUUUGGAUUAAUGGUAGAAGUAGCUAGUCUGUAAUGAUUGUUAGGUAUCAGUGGCGGAAUACAUCUAGAAUGGGAGUUGAAUAGGUGUGACAUAACUAAAUUUCCACUUUUCUGGUUUUUACGCACUUGCUGAAAAAUGCCCAGUUAAUCGAUUAACAACUGGUCUUAAUCGAUUACCCAGUAACAGAAACAGAAUGAUCAAAACAACAACUUGCACGGUUAUUAACAAACACACAAACAGAUAUACANNNNNNNNNNNNNNNNNNNNNNNNNNNNNNNNNNNNNNNNNNNNNNNNNNNNNNNNNNNNNNNNNNNNNNNNNNNNNNNNNNNNNNNNNNNNNNNNNNNNACCACCUAAGCAAGAACUCACAAGACGUCCUAGUCUAAUAUGAAUGUUCAUGCAUGAGGUUUAUGAAAAUACGCAAUCUUUAAAGAACUAUCUUUUCCUUUUCAAGAAACACAAGAAUAAUGCAAGAAAGCUUUUGAAAGAAUCAUGCAAUAUGAAUAUGAAAACUAACGCUUUAGCCUGAUCUAAUCUUUAUCCUCAAAAUUCAUCUAUAGUGAAUCAAACUCAAGUUUGUUAGAAUAAGUUUAGAACAAAUAUUUGGAGCAAUAUUUUUAUUAUAGAAACACAUAAUUUAUAUAUAUAUAUAUAUAAAUUUUAAAAUAUAUAUUAAAAAGGUAACCUAUACCUAUGGUGGCAUCCUCAAGUGAGCCUGAGAAGUCACGUUUCAUGUUGAACCUAUUAGAGCCAUAACGAUCCCUUGGUGGUGCCUUAAAAAGGAAGGGUCCUAGCUUUGGAAAUUUACCAUUUUCAUGCCUUUCUUCUUCUUCUUCUUCUUCAUCAUCAUGAACCUUUUCUUCAUCAUCUUUGAUGUACAAAGACUUGAAAUUCUCCAAGAGAAAAUGAUCAAUAUCCGUUAGUGUGGUUUCAACAUCUUUAUCAUUAUUUUUCUUAUCAUCCAUGGAGAAAGAAGAAGCCUUAGGACUAAUGUCAUCAUUGACAAAAGAAGAGGUCCUUCUAUGCUUUCUAACCGAGAGAAACCUUUGCUUAGAGGGUAUGUGGACUUUUGAUCUAGGAAUUUAUAUCUUGGAGAGGUAGUUUUGAAGGGACUUUCGAAUCUUCUUAGGCAUAUUUUGAUGUUUUGCCCUACUUGUUAUUCUAAUGGUAGUUUGAGAUAAAACUUAUAUAUAAAUAUAAGGUGUGGAGUGUGGUGUAUAAAUAAACAUAAAUAAGGAAAAUAAGCACCUAAUUUAUGCCUUCAAAGUGCAUUUAGGGUAAGGAUAUAAUUUGGUAUAAAGAAUGCACUACUUUGGUUAAGAAUCACGUCGCUUACAAAAUCCCAAUUUUAAAUUAAGAAUUUGAUUCAAAGGAUACGAUAUUCUAGACUUUUACUAACACCAUGAUUUUUACUAGUUGUGACAUAUUUGGAGAGUAAAUAUGAAAUUUUGUUUUCCCUAUUGGUGAGAUUUGAGAGUAAAUAUGUCUCAAAUAUCUCACUUUAUGUCAUUACUAAUGAGAUAGAGGAAUUUUUAUUUCGAUAAAUGGCAAGAAAAUUUAUAUGCAUUUAAUUGUGUUUACUUAGGAACUGAUGCGUAAAAAUUAAACACCCGCAAAAAGGAGAAUAAACUUACAAGUUAACUAAAAAAACUUACAAGGUAACUUUAAUGGAUUAUUUAAAAGUUUAUAUAUUAUUAGAGGAAAGCACGCUUCUUUACAAUCUCAACAUUUAUUGUGGAAUUUAUAUAUAUCAAUAGGAAAAAAACUUAAAAUUAAUGGAAUAUUUUACGUUAUUUAAAUAUCAUCUAUCAAAAUUUGAUCUGAGCAACAAGUUGGAUUUGAUGUGUCAACUGUUGUUGCACUAACAAAUGUUUAUUUAUAGUUGAUGUAAUAUUGUUUUACGUUAUAUAUUAACUAUAUUUUGUAGUGGUAUUUUAUGUGAUUUUGUGGUAGACUUUUACUAUCACAUAACAGGUACAAGUUUGAAGUGAUUUUGGAACAAUACAACUCAUACAUCUUGAAUUUAUUCGAUAUAUUAAUUUUGUAAUAAAAUGAAAUUCACCUUUUCAAAAAUUUUAUUUGUAAAUUUAGAAAGAAAUCAGUUUAACUAGUCAUUUUUUUUAUUUUCCAUUAUAUAUAUGCGUGCUUCUAUAAUUUUUUACUUCUUUAUGCAAUAUAUAUUUAUUGUGAAAAUUUGUGGAGAUACUCUAAUUGAAAGCCCAUAUUCCAUAGUGAUAAAGGUGUUAAACCAACCCCACUCUCCUCUGCAUACACAAUAUACCAAGCAGCCAUCAAAAUAGAAACAAUAUGCACACUAAGUCCAAUAGCAGAAAAACAGAGGAAAAAUGAAAUGAAGAUAUGUUUGAGAGAAAUGUGUAUUAUCAAGAAUAAUGAAGAAGAAUGAAUCAAGUUGUAUUGAAAAUGUAUUGAGUAUCAAUUACAACAAUCAUUACAUCUUUGAAAUACUAAAUGCUAUUUAUAGCUUCCAAAUUCUAACUAACUCUAACUAACUUUCUAUGCUAGGAAAAUAUACAAACUAACAGACUGAAAUAACUCAAACUUCUACUAGUGGAAGUUUCCUUAUUUUCCGUUAUUCCCAAACUACUACUAAACUUCUAAUGGUGGAAGUCUCUUCAUUUUCUAUUAUUAAUGCUAAAAUUACAUUAUUUCUAACAAUCCUCCUUAAUUCAACAUUCAUAACCCAUUUCUUACACGUGUCUUCUUUCUCAAACCUUUCAAAGGUUUUAUGAAAAUAUCAACCAAUUCCUCUUUACCUUAGUCUCAAAUUCUGGUGGUUGUGUACAAACACCUCUUUGUCUAGAGGUCCAUUCAAAAAUGCAGAUUUCAUAUCAAUUUGAUGGAUCUCCUAACACUUGAAACUAGCUAUAACAAUCACCAAUCUCACUGUCUCAAGUCUAGCCACUAGAGCAAAUACCUCAUCAUAAUCAAGAUCUUGCUUUUGUAGGAAUCCCUUUACCACUAGCCUGACUUUGUGCUUGGAAACCUCACCAUUAGGAUUCAACUUGGUCUUGAAUACCACUUAACAAAUAUAGCUUUCUUUCCUCUUGGCAAUUCAGUUAGACUCCAAAUAUUGUUUCUUUUUAUAGACCUCAGUUCUUCCUCCAUUGCCUCAACCCAAUGUGUUUGAUUCAAAGUAUCUUCCACAUCUACUAGUUCCAUCUCAGGAAGCAAUGCCAUAUGCAUAAAAUCACCAUCUACAUUGAUUGUUGAGUCAGAGAACACCUCAUAAUCACUUAGUCUUGAAGGUGGUUGUCUGAGUCUCUGAGUUGUUGGAGGAUUCACCAUUGUACUAGGCAAAACAACUGGAUUAGAUGCUAUAGUCUCACCAAUAUCACUUUCAUCAGCUUCUUCAAAUUGCAAUAGAGUCUCUUGACCUUUAUUAGAACUUUUAAGGUUCCAACUGUCCUUCACAAUUGUUGUUUGAAGGUAGUUUUGUUCACUGAUAUGUAUGCUAAUCUUGAAGGUUCUGUUGGCUGAAAGUGGAGCCUUCAAGAUUUUGUGUUCGUUUUUGUCUAACACCUUCAUUAUACCAUCCUUCAUCUCCAUGGAAUAUCCCUUUUCCAGCAGCUGUCCAAAACUGAACAUAUUGCUCUUCAUCUUAGGUACAUAUAAGACAUUUGAGAUGUAGGCUUUCUUCCCAUCUCUUCUUUGGAUCAUCACCUUGCCAAUUCCUUCUGUAGUGACUAUGUUAUGGUCAACAAUCUUAAUCUUGCUCUUUGUUGAUUUAUCAAGUGUUGUGAACCAAUCCUUCUUGCCUGUCAUAUGAUUUGAACAUCUAGUGUCAAGGUACCAGAAGUCACCAUUUUCAUCACUCCCAAUAGCCAUAAGCAAGUAUUGAUCAUCAUCAUCAUCAUCUGAUCUUUCAUUUUGUGCCAAUCUUGCUUCUUCAUCUUUGCUACCCAACAACUUUUUUGACUUUCAUUUUGCUGCAUAAUGUUCAUAUUCUCGGCAAUUAUAGCACUGAACCCUCUUCUUAUCAAACCUCGUUCUAUUUAUUGAGUCUCUUCUUUGUUCAUGCUCAAUGUUGUUUGUGUUGUUUGGUCUUUAAGAUGAUGAACCUUGCUCAAAUUUGUUCAACUUCUCCUUCUUAUUAUUCUUAUUCCACUAUCGAGAAGACUUCUUGAAAGAUUGUGCUUGGAUUACAUGAUCAUCAUUAUUCUCUAGGCCUCUCUCUUUAAGCAACUCUUCAAUAUUGUAAUCUUCAAGAUUCUUCGACUCCUAUAUUGCAACAACAAUAUGGUCAUACUUUGGAGUUAGAGUCCUAAGUAUCUUCUCAAUAACAGAUUGCCCUUUCACAUCUUCUCUACACGAUUUCAUUUGGUUGAAGAGUGUGAGAAUCUUGGUGAAGUAAUCUACUAUUGUCUGAUUCUCCUCCAUUUGAAGGAGUACAUACUUUCUCCUUAUUGUUUGAAGUUUCACUUUCUUCAUUUUUGCAACCCCUUCAUAGCUUUUCUCCAAGCUAUCAAAGCUUCCUUUGCUGUCUUGGCACCAACAAUUCUCUCAAAGUUGGCUCCAUCAACACAUUGAUGGAUUAAGAACAAAGCUUUGCAACCAUUCUUCUUGGACUCUCUGUAACUUAUCCUUUAAGCCUCAUUUGCAUUCUCCCCAACUUCUUAGUAUUCACUCUGAACAAUCUCAGACACUUCUUGAAAUCCAAAGAUUGUCUUCAUUUAGAUUCUCCGUCUAUCAUAAUUCUUGGAUUCAAGAAUUGGUAGUGUCAUUGUAAACCCAUUACCAUUUGCCAUGAUAGCUCCAAGAUCUUGCAAUCUUCUUUCCUUGUUGUCCCACUAUAUAUUCUUUUCUUUCCACUUCGAAUCACAGCCCAAGAUCCACCAAGAAUCUUGCUUCAACCUUUGCUCUGAUACCACUAUUAAACCAAGACUACUCUCCUUUCAUGCACAAUGCACCAAGUAGUCAACAAAAGAGAAACAAUAUACACACUAAGUGCAGUAGCAGAAAAAACAGAGGAAAAAUGAAAGAAAAAUAUGUUUGAGAGAAAUGUGUAUUAUCAAGAAUAAUGAAGAAGAAUGAAUUAAGUUGUAUUGAAAAUGUAUUAAGUAUCAAUUGCAACAACCAUUACAUCUUUAAAAUGUUAAGUGCUAUUUAUAGCUUCCAAAUUCCAACUAACUUUCUAUGCUAGGAAAAUAUACAAACUAGUAGACUAAAAUAACCCAAACUUCUACUGAUGAAAUUUUUCUCAUUUUCUAUUAUUCUUAAACUACUACUAAACUUCUACGUGUAGAAAUCUCCUCAUUUUCUGUUAUUAAUUCUGAAAUUAUAUUAUUUCUAACAAAAGAAUAUUACUUAUGAUCAAAUAAUAUAUAUGCCUAACAUUAUACUAAAUUUAGUAUUUGGUUGAAAAUGAAAUAAUUGUUAUUAGACAUUUCAAAUAUGUUUCAAAAAUAGGUUUAUUGAAGAAAAAAUUCUAUUCAAGUGAAAACAAAGGUUUCCAAACAUUAUUGUCUUAAAUUAGUAGCAUUUAACAAUAGACUUUUAUUUUAUUUUUGUAUAUAUCUUUAAUUUUGUACGUAAAUAGAACAAAAGACUAAUUCAAGUAGAGCACUUUUAGUAUUGACAAUUUGGAUUUAGCUUACACUCUUUUUGACCAGCAACUAAAUUUAUUGAUAAAUAAAAUAAUAAACUAGGAGAACAAGUGAUAUAUUCCUAUCCACAAAUACCAAAACUAACAAGCUGAAAGGCAAAUAGAUAGAUUCAACACUGAUUUCAAAUAAGAAAUUUUUUUAUAAGCAAAUGUAUUAGAAACAAGGGGUGCCAACCCAUUCCAAAUAAGUAUAGUUGAAAGUUUUUACAACGAGCACCCGAAAAUAUUCCAAGAGUGUAAGAAAAUAAGUUCUAACACCUCAUCAAGAUUGAACCUCAAGCUCUCCAAAACAAUAUUGUUCCUCUCAUGCCAAAUGAUAAUCUGAAGGGACAACCACAUUUGUUUUCUCUUUUUCUCCAACCAAGACAUGUUCAAAUGAAUAGAGAAGUUUACCAUAGCAUCAUUAGACAAAAUUGAGGAAAAACCAAACCAUUAGUAGAUUUUUUUUUUAAGCAAUGGUGCUAGAGCACCCAAGAUUUAUAAAGAGAAGGAACAAAGAACCAUUACAAGUUUGUAAACCUAUAGGAAGGAAGCCCCAACCAAACUCUAUUACAAUCCCAGAAAGUUAUCAAAGGGAUAGAAUUCCACCAAGUAAAAGUCCGAGACCUUAAACUAUGGUUAGCAAGCAAAUCAUCACAUGAAUUACCCUCCCUGAAAAUAUGCGAAACCUUCCAAGACAUAGAAGAUAAUAAGGAUUGGCAAAUACUCCACCUAGAUGCAAGACUCCAAGGAGGUUGUAUAUUUCCUAUGAGAAUGUCCACCACUAGAGUUGAAUCACUUUCAAUCCAUAAGUGAUGCCAUCCUUUGGCAUGAGCAAGCUCCACUGCCAGAAUAACCGAAAGAAGCUCCGCAUAUAUAGCAUGUUGUAUGUCAUAGAAAGCAGCAAAACAAGCAACAAAUUUACCAAGGUGAUCUCUGAAUAUUCCACCUCCUCCCGCCAACCCAGGGCUGUCCUGGCCAGCACCAUCCGUGUUAACCUUAAGCCAACCUAUGAUGGGAGGAUGCCAAAUUUUCUCCCUGAUCUUUGGAGAAUUCUUGAACCUCAAGUUGAUAUUUAGACUUCUCAAAAUGGCAAACGCAGUAGGAUUGUUGUUUGCAAAACAAUUAGAUUAAUUAGCAGCAAAACUAAUAUCCUGCUUUAGCUUGUCCAGAGCUCUAGCCACUGGGACUUUAGUAUCAUUAAACCUUGUUUUGUUUCUGCAAAACCAGAUUGAAGCCAUAAUUGAGAAAAUGUUAUUUGUGUUAAUUGAGAAAACUCAGUAGGACAUGUUUGUGUUAAUUGAGAAAAUGUUAUUCAACCAAAGCCAUAUUUACUUGGCAAAGUCACAGUGAAGGAAAAUGUGAUUGGAUGUCUCAAUGCUAUGAUUGCAAAGACUGCACAUGGACACUAAACUGCAUCCUCUUCUCUGGAGAUUUUCGUCCGUGGGGAUUUUGUUGUGCCACCAUCUCCAAGCUAUGAAGGAUUUAGAAGGAGGGGUUUUAGUUGACCAAAUUUCCUUGAACCAAUUCACUGGACUAGCAUGGGGGAAUAUACUGUUGUGGGCCUCUUUUAGUGACAAAUUGCCAUCAGAUGAGCCAUGCCAAACCAUUCUAUCCUCAAUAUUAGGAAUUAGAGUCCUGGAGAUUGCUCUGGAGACAUUCGGGAACAGCUCAACCAAUUGAGAAGGAAUUGUCCAUUUACCUUGGUGAAUGAAGUCUGCCACAUAGGCUUACAGAUUGGAUCUAAGUUCCUCAGGAAUGUUCAAAAGAUCCACCAGAGAAGAUCCAAGCCAGUUGUCAGUCCAGAAUUUUAUUUUGGUUCCAUUUCCAACAAGCCAACCUGAGUUGAGAUGGACAUAGGACCAGUUAGCCUUGAUUCCUGGCCAAAUUGAAGACUUGUAGUAUCUAGAGGAGAUUAUGCAAUCCCUUCCAAACCUCUGUCUAAAGAAAAUAGCCCAGUCUUUGCAAGAAGAGAGCAUGGUCCAUGAGAGUUUAAUUAGGGAAGCUUUGUUCAUCUUGGAUAUUGACAUGACUCCCAAGCCACCAACCUGAAAUGGAGAGCAGACUUGAUGCCAAUUGACGGUGAUUAGUUUUUUGACUUCAGUAUUCCCAGCCCAGAUGAAGUUUCUGAUCUUUUUGUCUAGGUCUCUAAGAAGUUGAGCAGGCCAAACAUAUAUGUGAAAAUAAUAAACUCACAUGCUCUGAAUGACGGAUUUGACUAACUCCACUCUGCCCAUGAUUGAGAGGCAUGAGCCUUUCCAAGUUGCCAAUUUCUGAGUAAUUCUGUCCACAAUUGGUUGCAGGUGGACCUUUUUGGGCUUUCCUUUGAAAACAGGGACACCAAGGUAUGUGAAAGGCAGAGAUCCAGCAUUGAAACCAAGGAGGGAAGAGAGGUUCAAAACUUUCCUAGGAUUUGAGUUUGCAGUGAAAAACUGACUUUUGGAGGCAUUUAUGAUCUGGCCAGAAGCAAGAGCAUAAUCAGAUAGCAGAAGUUUGAGAUUUCUGAGCUCUCUUUUCACUCCCUUGCAGAAGAUGAGCACAUCAUCUGCAUAUAGCACAUGGCUCAUAGUUUGCAGAGAUGAAGGACCACUAAUUAUGCUCAGAUUGCCAAGAGCCACAAGCUUUAGGAUUCCCCUGCUCAGGACCUCCUCAGCAAUACAGAACAGCAGGGGGGAUAGAGGGCCCCCUGCCUAACCCCUCUCUUGCAAGCAAAGUAACCCACAUUGUGACCAUUAACACUUAUGGAUAGCCUUGCUGAGUGAAGAAUUACCUUAAUCUAAGCAAUAAAUUUCUGAUCAAAACCAAAGGCCCUGAGUGUGUCCAGCAGAAAAUCCCAAUCAAUUGUGUUAAAGGCCUUAGAAAUGUCCAGCUUUAUGAUUAGAUUGCCACCAAAAGUCUUGUAAUCCAGCAAAUUAGUUGCUUCAGAAGCUAAACAAAUGCAGUCUUGGAUGUUUCUAUCUCUUAUGAAGCCCUUUUGAUUCUGAGAGACAAUUCUAGUGGCAAUGUAGGCAAGCCUAUCAGCCAGAAUCUUAGUAAUAAUUUUGAAUUGAAAAUUAGCUAAGGCAAUUGGCCUGAAAUCAAGAAUUCUGUCAGCACCAAGGCAUUUAGGAAUUAGGACAAUAGUGUUGGCAUUCAUGUUUGCAAGAAUCCACCCAUGAGAGAAGAAUUGGGACACUGAAAGGCAAACAUCAUGCCCAACUAUAUCCCAGAAAGUUUGGAAGAAGCAUCCCCCAAAUCCAUCAGGCCCUGGUGCCCCCUCACCAUUCAUAUCAAACACUACCUUCUUGAUCUCCUCUGUGGAAGGCAUGAAAGUUAACCUUGCAUUUUCCUCUUGAGAAACCAUAUUAGGAAUUACCUCCUGGAUGAGGGAAUUCUGUCUAGUAGAAUUUUCAGAAGCAAAAAGCUUCUGAAAGUGGUCCAACACAUGAUUUCCUAUCUCCUCUUGCUCUGUUAGCAAUCUAUUACCAUCCUUUAACAUAGUCAUAGACUUGGUGGCCUGCCUUAUUUUGGUGACUCUAUGGAAAAAAGCUGUAUUUCUAUCCCCAUUAAGUUGCCAAUUUAUCCUAGCUUUUUCUUUCCAAAAAGACACCUCCACAUCAAGAGCAAUCAUGAGCUUGUUUUGGGCUAAAGUUUCUUGAUCCCUCCAAUCCUGGCUAGGCAUGAUAGUCCUGGAAUUUUGAAUUAGCUCCAACUCUGCCAUAGCAGUUUUGACAUUCAGAUGUAUGUUGCCAAAAACAUUUUUGUUCCAAAGCUUAAGCUCUUUCUUAAGAUUCUUGAGCUUCUGAGUAAGAAUAUACAUAGGGCACCCAUAGCAAGGCCUAUUCCAGAUAUUUUCCACCACCCUUUUACAAUCCUCAUGCUUGGUCCACAUUUUAUGAAACCUAAAAGUAGAAGCUCUCCUUUCAGAAGGGAUAGAAGUGAACAGAAUAGGAUGAUGAUCAGAGGCUAUUCUAGGCAAAGUGCAACAAGAUGUUUGAGUCCAAGUGUUUAGCCAUUCCUCAUUACACAAACUUCUGUCUAGCCUUUUUUUAGUUAGAGCAGCCCCAGAUCUCCUAUUAGACCAAGUGAACAAAGAUCCUCUUGUGGCUAGGUGGAUCAACUUAGAGUAAUCAGUGAAAGUUUUGAAUUCAGUAGAGGGCAAGGCAUGAGGCACACGAGGGCCUCUGGCCUCAUUGGCACCAAGCACCAAAUUGAAAUCUCCUAUGCAAGUCCAAGGCCCAUCAUUUGCAAUUAUCUGAGCAUUCAAAUCAUACUAGAGAGCUCUUCUCUGAACAUAAUUAGUAUGAGCAUACACUGCACUAAUGUAGCAACUUUUAUCAGCUAUUGAAACUGAGAUAUUAAUGUGCUGAGAAGAAUUAUGCAAAACUGUAGGAGAGUGAUCAUGGCUGCAUAAGCCCCAUAGAUUGGGCAUCAUAUUACCCCUAUUAUUGAUGACAAAUAGAUUCAUCCUAAUUUCAUUCCAAAAGGUAUCCAGAAUUACCUCCUUAGCUAUCAUAGGCUCAGCAAUAAACAAGAAAUCUGGUUUAUGAGUUAAGCAAAGAUUUUUAAGGACUAACCUAGUGUUGAGGUUUCCAAGACCUCUACAAUUCUAGUAGAGAAUUAUCAUUGGACAGUUUUGGAGUGCCCACCCCUACGGGUAUAUUGAGUCCUCUCCGAGAUUCCUUUCUUUCUAAGCUUUUUCUUUUGAGAUUUUGACAGGAUAUGAGUGAAUUGUUCCUCUUCCUCUUCCUCCUCUAUAUUGUCAUCUGCCCAAAGCCUGCCAACUAGCUGCAUAUCCUUGGCUGCAUAUCCUUGGCUGCAUUUAUAUUGCCCAAUUCCUGUGUAUCAAGCACUAUGAAAUUGUCUUUAAUAUUCUGUGGCACUGAUGGAUCAAAUGAGCCCUCCAAACUUGCCAUAUUUGGUGUCUCUUGCCCUGCCUCCUUUUCAGGUGUGUUUUCAACUCUUUCUAUCCCUUCCCAACUAGCCUCCUCUCUAUUGUCUAUCUCCAAAUUGAUUACUAGGUCAUCAAUUUUCCUGAUUGUUGGAACCUCCUCCUCCUCUUUAUUUUCCUUAUGGCCUGAUUCCUCAACUUUCUUUCUAGGGGCAUUCUCAUCCACCUUCUUUUUAUUCACUCUACGACAAUUGCUCUGUAGAUGACCAAUAUUGUUGCAGAUAGUACAAUAGGAAGGGACAUUUUCGUAUUCAAUCCCAACAAAGAAAGGAAAACCCUCUCUCUCCACCAAGACUUGAUCAUGUAAAUCCUCUUUGAUGUUUAUCUCCACCAACACUCGAGCAUAAUGUCCAAAUGAUCUCUUGGAUGUAGCAUCAUCCAAUGAUAUGGGAGUGCCUAGUCCCCCUGCAAUGGAAAAUAGAAUCCUUGGGCUCCAGUAUUCCUGUGGCAACCCGAAUAUUUUGACCCAGCAUUGAGAGUGUGAUUGUCUUUGAUGAUUUGGAUUGAAAUCUGGUGUCCAUAGGGACAUCCUAAGGAACCCUGGUUUUAGAGACCAAGCCCCUACUGCACAGAUGCUUCUCAUAUCCUCCACCGAUGAGAAUGAGAAGUCGUAGUAACCCUUGCCCAGAGACACCAUGGUCCAUGAGCCUAUCACCCACAUCUUCUGAAGUUUGUUUUUCAGAUCUACAUACUUCAGAGGGCUAUCCCCCUUUGCUAGGAUUAGCCUCCCAUGAAGGUGAUUUCUACACCUCUGCAAACCCGCCUGAUAAUCUUCCUCUGGAAUUUUUAUCGCGAUUGCAUCCCCUUUGAUGCAGGGUUGCGGAAGUUGGGAGAUGGCAAUGUCACAUGAGUUCUGGAGAACUUGUGCAAAGGACUUCUUAAGAGAAGAGGGUGGAAGAGGUUUAGGAGACGUGGUUGUUUCAGAAAGGAAGCUCCAAGGAACAAAAGUUUCCAUGAUUAAGCAAGAAGAUGGUUUCCCAGAAAGUUGGAGAUGAUCAAAAUCCCAUAUUCUUGGAGCAUGCCCUAGCAGAGCAUCAGGGUCAUCUUUUAUUACAAUGAUCUAGAUAUUUUGCCAAACAUAUUCUUGGAGCAUGCCCUAGAUAUUUUGCCAAACAUGAUAGGACUUGGAAAAUGUGAAAAGAGGUGGUUUAUUGCUUCCUCCUCCUCCCCACAAAGAGCACAACACAAUACUACUUGUGUGCCUAAGACACCCCUUUGAGCAAGGCACAACUUUGUUGGUACUCCAUCCAUGAAAUUUUUUACAUUAAACAUUUGAUUUUUGUUGGGACAUUGCAUUUCUACACCUUGUUGAAAUCCACAUUGAUACAAUUUCUGUCAUCAUGAGACAACACCUUAUAAAAUAUAUACAAAAUGCAAAAAGUAAAUAUAUUAAUAGUACUAAUGAAGGUUAUUUUAUAAAAUAUAUACCGUAUUUAUAUUGUUUGUAAUUGGUUGAAAAUGUAUUUAAAUUAGAAAUAUAAUUAAUUAUUUUUCUGACCAAUUAUAAGUAGUGACACAUGAAGUAUCUAAUCAUUUCGAAGAUAAGAUGUCAUCGCCUUGUAUUCAUUCCUGUUUUAUGCUAGUUCAUGAAAGCUCUAUUUGUAACAAUUAGUUGGAAAACUAGCUGAAAAUUGAGAAGUUUGCUGAAAAAUGAAAAAUGAUGACGUGAUUGUUGAGUAAAAGUAGCUUAUAUAUGUGAUAGUUUAUGCCUUUAUGGGCGAGAAACUAGUUGAAGACUUUAGGAUUGUAGCUAAAAUAUUAUAUAUGCAUAAGUAGCUUAUUUGAAUACAACAAUUUAACAAAACUACAUGAAAUUUGUUAAAUAACAAAAUGACAUCUAAUAUUGUGUUUAUUUAUUAUUAUUUUUUGUUUACUUACUUACUACCUAAUUAAUUAUACAACAAUUAAAUAAAAGGUAAGGUUUUUUUUAUGGAUAUAUAUUGUUAUUUAGUAAAACAUAAAAGGUCAUGAUGAAAUAUAAUUAUUGAAUUUCCUUAUAUGGAUUUUGGAUAACUAUUGCUUCCGAAUUUAACUUUCAAAAGUUAUAAUCUUUAAUUUUACUAACUUGUGGACUACAACAACAAAUUACAAUAUGUCUAAUAAGCUAUAAACAAUAGCAUAUUGUCAAGCAUUAUCUAAUGUGUUAAACUUUUGGUAUGAGACAUCAAAAAGACUUCUUGAUGGAUUAAGAAGUACGGAAGAAUGUAUGAAUGAGAAACUAAAAACUUGAAGAAAGAAAAAGAAUAGAAAUUUUAUUUCUCAUAUUAAAUGAAUCUCAACAAUGCUUUAACAUCCCCGCAAGCUAGAAUGUAACAUGUCUUCCAAACUUGAAAAUGAUUGUGUUGAACACAAUGAUAUACUCUAAUAUCUCCUCUUGUUGGUGAGUGAAUCUUCAUCUCUCAGUCUUAAAAUCAUAAUGCGAAUCAACAACAACACUUAACCACCAUAGGCAGAAGCAAUUUCAUCCAAAGCUUAAUCAUCUAUCUUGACAGAAGCUUAACCAACCAUAAUGGAUGAAAGGGAGAAAAUAAAAUGAACCUUAAUCUUGAUCUGAAUAUGUUGCUUCAAAGAAGAAGAAUUACAUACUUUAACAAUGUUGUGUAUUUAAUGAGAGAGGUAAAGAAAAUAGAAUAGUAAAGAAAAAAACGAUAAUUUUGGGAAAUGAUAAGGAAUAAUAAAAUGUUGCGAUUUAGAAGCUCCUUGAUGAACAUAAUGCUAUUCUUGAUGAUAUUUUCUGAAAGAUUGAAAAAGAACUCCAAGCUAUAGAAGCAGCAAACAUGCAUGUCAUUUUAGAAAGUGAACCUUUGAUAGAUAAGGUUUUGCAAGAGCUUAAAGUGGCAACACAUUGUGAGGAAGAUGUGAGUGAAUGGUUAGGCAUGACUCAACCUAUCAUUUCAAAGUCUGGAACACAAGUAUGGACUCAUAAUAUAUCACAUUAGAAUUCCAAAAGUAAGAGCCUUACACCUAAGGCAAUAAUACACCUUAGAUAUUAAUAUUGUUGAAGAAGCCUAGGCUUGUGAUCUUGUGACCAAGUCCCUCUUGGAUUUCUCAGUCACCAUAGAAGACAAUGAUGCACUAUAAUGAUGUUGAUGAAGAAGAUAAUGUUGAAGAUGUUGAGUUGUUUAUCAAUCUUGCAUACUUCUUGCCGAGGUAUAAGACUUGUCCAUGAAUGAUAAAAAAACACAUACACAAUGAAGAAGAGGUGGUGAGAGUACCAAAAUGAAUUGAAGCGAAAAACAUCUUCUUUGGAAUUAAUACAAAUACCACAUCUUCUUGCAAAGAACAUAACCACCAAAAGCAUGAAUUUUGUAGCACAUCACAUGGCGGAAAAGAAGAAUAUAAGCGGAAGUUAUAAAAAAGAAUAAUUAUGCUCUGGUACCAUAUUAAACUUUUGAUAUGAGCUAUGAAAAAGACUUUUUGAUGGAUCAAGAAGUAUGAAAGAAUGCAUGAAUGAGAAAUUGAAAACUUGAAGUAAAAAAAAUAAAGAGAAAGAAUAGAAAUUUUAUUUAUCAUAUUAAAUGAAUCUCAACAAUGCUUUAACAUAAUACUAAUGUUAAAAUCAACUUUGUAUUGUUAAAUCAAUUAACACUGAAGAUUAACCCUUUAUUUUGGUUAAAAAAUAUUAGCUCUAGCUUUUUAAAUAUGUAUUUUUUAAAAUUGAUUUUAGAUAUUUUCUAUAAAUUUCUUCCAAAAUUUUCUAAUUGUACUUAAUAUCUAUAUAAUAUUAGUGUAUAUUGUUUUACACAAUCAAUAUCUUUAUCAUUCAUCAUUCAUGUAUAUUACUACUUUUAUUUAAGAGGAACAUUAACACAACACAUGAUAUGAUAUCUUUACAAUGUAAAAAGAAAAUAUAUAGAGUAUUUUCUCUUUCUAAUUAUAUUAAUUCUGGAAAAAGUAAAUAUAUGAAUAUUAAUAAUGAAGGUCAGUAAAUAUAUAAAAAUAUAGUGUCAUUCUAUCAUUCCCCAUUUAUUGUCAUUCUAUAUAUUUUCUCUUUCUCAUUCUAUAUCCGGAAUAUGAAUAGUAAUAAUGAACUGAUAAUAUAAGAGUUUUAUAUAGUGUCAUUUUAUCAUUUGCCAUUUAUUUUUAAUCCUUAUUGACUAUUAAAAAAUAAUACAAAAUAAAUGAUGAAUGAUGUAUUGACUAUAUAUAAAUAUUUACAUUAAUAAUAUAUAAAUAUUAUAAUUAUUUUUUAUAUAUUUAAUGAAACAAUCUAUAUUAACUAAACUACUUGAUAAGAAUAGUGAAAAUGUUGAUAUAAGAAAGAACUAAUAUUUAAAAUGAGAAUUAAGAUUUUGCAAAAGUCAAUGUUAUGAGUUGUGAAAUGCACAAAGUACUAUAUCCAUCCAUUAGCUCUAUAUGAUAAUGAAUAGAAAUUAACUGUACCAAAAUGUUAUCCUAUCUCAGUUUCAACCAAUUAUAUUUUUUCAAGUUAUUAAAAAAAACCAGUAUUAAAAGUUUAUAAAAUGACUUACCAAAGCAAUGAUUUUUAAUUUUUUGAGUGUAUGCACUGUAGUGCAAAAAUUUAUACAUUGAUAAUAUGUUAUCCACCAUUCAUUUGUAUUAUAUUUGAAGAGUAUUAAAAAUAAAUCAUAAAUUGAUAGUAUAUAAAACUUUUACACUAUUUGUGUAUACAUCAUUUUUUGUUUUUUUACUAACAUGGAUCACAAUUAAUUGGUUUAGAGAGGAGAGAAAAGACAUGCAUGCAUGUUACAAUUCUUUAUCUCUCUUGCUCUCUCCAGCCAUACAUUUCCAUUUUCUUUUAACAGAUUUUUCUUUAAUAAAAAAGUGCAGUUAGUAAAUUUUAGCAACCUAUAUUUUCAUGUGUCUCUUAUGUGCCAAUUAUUUGUUGAAUUGUAGAAUAUAGAAGAAGCCACUAAGUAAAGUAAAAUCGUUAAAAAAAAGAAGAAUCCACUAUGGUCUAUGUUACAUGAAUGAAGGACAUAUUCCUAUCAUCUAGUCUAAUGUUAUUGUAAUGGUGUUGUGGUGGAAAGUAAUAUUUCCUAAAACUUUAUAUCUUCAAUACAUUAAAACUUGUUAUCUCACUCAUAUACAUCUCAACUUUUGGGUUAUGAAAUGCACACCAUACUAUAUGUAGAUGGAAAGUAGCUUAUAUAUGUGAUAAUUUAUGCCUUAAUGGGUGAGAAACUAGUUGAAGACUUUCGGAUUGUAGCUAAAUAUUGUAUAUGCAUAAGUAGCUUAUUUGAAUACAACAAUUUAACAAAACUACAUGAAAUUUGUUAAAUAACAAAAUGACAUCUAAUAUUAUGUUUAUUUAUUGUUAUUUUUUGUUUCCUUACUUACUACGUAAUUAAUUAUACAACAAUUAAAUAAAAGGUAAGGUUUUUUAUGAAUAUAUAUUGUUGUUUAGUAAAACAUUAAAAGGUAAUGAUGAAAUAUAAUUACUGAAUUUCCUUAUAUGGAUUUUGAAUAACUACUUUAUUUCUAAUUUAACUUUAAAAAGUUAUAAUCUUUAAUUUUACUAUCUUGUGGACCACAACAAAAAAUUACAAUAUGUCUAAUAAGCUAUAAACAAUAGCGUAUUGUCAAGCAUUAUCUAAUGCUAAAGUUAAAAGCAAUUUUGUAUUGUCAAAUCAAUUAACACUUAAGAUUAACCCUUUAUUUUGGUUAAAUAAUAUUAGCUCUAGCUAGCUUUUUAAAUAUGUACUUUUUUUAAAAUUGAUUUUAGACAUUUUUUAUACAAUUUCUUUCCAAUUUUUUUAAUUGUGCUUAAUAUCUAUGUAAUAUUAUUGUACAUUGUUUAACACAAUCAAUAUAUCUAUCAUUCGUCAUUCAUGUAUAUUAUUAUUUUUUAUUUAAGAGGCACAUUAACACAACACAUUAUAUGAUAUCUUUAUAGUGUAAAAAGAAAAUAUAUAGAGUAUUUUCUCUUUCUAAUUACAUUAAUUAGGAAAAAGUAAAUAUAGGAAUAGUAAUAAUGAAUGUCAUUUUAUAAAAUAUAUUUAAUAUUUGAUGAGAAAAAAAUAUAUGAAACGAGACAAUGUAAGAAUUUUAUACACUGUUAUUCCAUUAUUCACUACUUAUUUUCAAUCCUCAUUGAUUCUUAAAUAAAAGUAAUAUAAAUAAAUAAUGAAUGAUGUAUUGAAUAUAUAUAAAUGUUUACACUAACAAUACGUAAAUAGUCAAAUUAAUAUAUUUAGUGAAACAAACUAUAUUCACUAAACUAUUUAAUUUUGAUAAGAAUAGUCAAAAUGUUGAUAUAAGAAAUAUUAAUAUUUAAAAUGAGAAUUUAGAUUUUGCAAGUCAAUGUUAUGAGUUGUGAAAUGCACAAUGUACUGUAUCCAUCAUUAGCUCUAUAUUAUAAUUAACAGAAAUUAACUGUACCAAAAUGUUAUCCUAUCCCAGUUCCAACCAAUUAUAUUUUUUUAUGUUAAUAAAAAAAAAUCAGUAUUAAAAGUUUGUAAAUAAAUUAGCAAAGCAAUAAUUUCUAAUUUUUUGAGUAUAUGCACUAUAGUGCAACGAUUUAUACAUAGAUAAUAUGUUUUCCACCGUUUAUUUGUAUUAUGUUUGAAAAAUAUUAAAAUGGAAUCAUAAAUGAUAAAUUGACAAUGUAUAAAACUCUUAUAUUGCCUAUGUGUAUAUACCAUUUUCUCUUUUUAACUAACAUGGAUCACAAUUAAUUGGGUUUAGAGAGGAGAGAAAAGACAUGCAUGCAUGUUACAAUUCUUUAUCUUUCUCUUGUGCCUUCCAGCCAUACAUUUCCAUUCUCUUUUAACAGAUUUUUCUUUAAUAAAAAAGUGCAGUUAGGAAUUUUUAGCAACUAUAUUUUCAUGCGUCUCUUAUGUGCCAAUUAUUAGUUGAAUUGUAGAAUUUAGGGGAAGCCAGUAAAGUAAAGUAAAAUUAUUAAAAGAAGAAGAAACCACUUUGGUCUAUAUUAUAUUACAUGAAUGAAGGACAGAUUCCUAUCAUUUAGUCUAGUGUUUUAGUAAUGGUGUUGUGGUGGAAAGUAAUAUUUCCUAAAACUAUAUUUUCAGCACAUUAAAACUUGUUAUCUCACUUACAUUCAUCUCAAUUUUUUGGGUUCUGAAAUGCACACCAUAUUAUAUCUAGAUAGAGAUUAUAUGUUCCUAAUUGUGUCUCAUCUCUUAUUCCGAGCCAAUAAAAAUGUAACAUUUUAUUUAAAAUUUUUUUCUUUUAUUCAUGUAGCAAUAUAUGAUUAAUCCAGGACAUAGAAUAAGAUACUAUUGGAGACAUCCAUCCAUUAAAUAUAUUAUAAUUGUGUUAUGUUUAGGGAAUGCCAUGCAUGGAUGUUACACCUCUUUAUCUCUCUCUAUCAGAAUUACUAAGACAGUGCAUGGAAACAAAAACAUCACCAAGUUCAUGAACACCAACCUUUGUACUGUUUUUGCAUUCGCGAUUCAACUUUUGCUUUUCCCUCCGUUGCCCAUGUUGUUAUAUAAGUGGACAUUUCAUGUUCCACACACUACACAUUUAUUCUAAGAACUCACAAGGAUUUUAAGGAUUUAGUCUUCUCAUGUCUCCAUCAAUGCUGGCUAUUGUUCUCUCCUCACUAGUGUUCGUCGUGCUGGUUUCGGCGGCUCCGACGUCUCUAACGCUGAAAAGAGCGUUCCCUAAUCAUGGAAUGAACUUGAGUCAACUUAGGGCAAUGGACAUGAAAAGGCAUGGUAGAAUCCUACAAGCCAGUGUUGUCAACUUCCCCGUUUAUGGAACCGCAGAUCCUAUUGCAGCUGGGUAAUGAAUUCUGUUUAUGUUGUUUUAGUUUACUUUAAAUUUAUUUUUUUCUUCAUCUUUUAGAAGCAGAUCUAGAUGUUUCAUCUUCUGCAUCAUCAUUAAUUGCAACAUAAGGAGUAAUUGCAACAGGUCUCAUCAUUUGAGAAAAAUUCUUCAUAAAAAUAUUCGCAGUACCACUCUUGUGAAUACUACUAGGAUCCCUAGCUAUGACAAUACAUGACCCUAAUAAGUUUGUUAUUCACUGGAGUAAAAUUCAACGCAUCCAAUGCUAUUAUAGCAUCCUGAGAGUUACUGUGUUAACAUAACCAUAACUUAGUGAUGGAUGCAUGGUGGUUAAGCCACGACACACCCUAACUAGCAUAACAAUGUGUGGUAUAAUAGGAGGGCAGAAAGAGGGAAGGGGACCACGUGUCCUCAUUUCAUUCACUGUCCCGAGUUAAUCAUAUAUUAAUACAAGGAUAAAAUAAAAUUUUUGAAAGCAAAAACUUUUUGAGGUUAAAUCAUAGUCUAUAUCCUUUGUAACCAAUAGGAUAGUAAACAAAGAUAGUGGUAGUGGCUCUAAGAGAAAACUUAUUUAUCUUGGAAGGCAAUGUUCAUAUAUAAGCAAGAUAACCAAAUAUAUUUAGAGAUGAAUAAAUUGCUUCCUUUUUAAACAAAAUUUGGUAAGGAAAUUACUCCGUCAAAAUUGGGGUUCUAUUUCUAAAAAAAACAUUUUUUUAAAGAAUUAGGGAAAGAUAAUCCAUGAGUAGAAUCUAAAUACCAACAUUAUAAAAAUGUUCAUUGAGCAACAUAAUAAAGUUCAUGCCUUGUUGAGCAUAAUCAAUAAAGGAUCUUGUACUAACAAUAUUUUGGUAUUCUAUCCUUUUUUGAAGAAAGAAAAAUCACUAAUUCUCUUGAGUAAAAUAAGAAGUUGGCAAAAGAAAGAGAUUUGAUAUCAUCAUGGAUCAAUCAAUUUUUUUCUAAACUUUAUUUAAUCAAUGAGUCAAUAGUUCUCUUAUGUACACCAUUUAUGUAAUUGAACCUCAAGCUAAUUUAACUAUAUGAGCAAUUAACCGAUCAUAUGUGAAUACAAUUUAAUAACUCUAAGUAAUAGUUAGCCUCAUUCAUUGAUAUUUUGUGUUCAUAAUUUAUGUUUCCUUUUAUAUUGUUGAUUAAGUUUAUCUCUUAUGUUCACCAAUUAUGUUCAUUAAUCCUUUUAUUAAAUUUGAAAUGCAUGAUUUAUUGCAGACUUUAUUACACAUCUGUUCAUUUGGGUUCUCCUCCAAGGGAAUUUCAUGUGACAAUUGACACCGGUAGUGAUAUGUCGUGGGUUAAUUGUGUCUCCUGUAAUGGGUGUCCUCAAACAAGCAAUCUCCGGGUAAAUUCAAUUUUUUAUAAUUUGAAAAUUCAAUUCCAUGUAGAGUUUUUAAAUUGGGUUAUCAUAAUGGAUUCAGGCUAGCCUAUAUCGAGCUCAAACUAAAUUAGGAUGAGCUAAAAAGCUCAAUUAGAAUUUAUGUAAAUGAGAUUAUUAUCCAAACCUGUCCUAAACGAGUUGUGGGCUGUGGUGAACUAACCCACAUAAUGUUCUUUAAAAAAACAAUUAUUUUAGAUUAUAAGUUUUUUAAGCCUAUUUUUAAUCAAAGAAAUUUAUUUUAAUUUUAAACCCCUAACUCACGGAGCAGGAAUGCAGAGAACAUUUUUGAAAAAUUAAACUUUUUUUCCCUUGAUUUGCUAGAGUUCAUUAUCUAACCUAUUAGAUAAUAAAAAGGAGAACAUGAAAUACACAUUCAUUCUCUAUCUCAUAUUCCAAUAAAACAAAUAAAAAUCAAAAUGUAGAAUGAAUGGAUAGAUAGUGUGACAUAUAAUAGAGAGUGAAUGAAGACAACACAAAUUACCUAAAAGAAAAUGGAACAAAGAAUGAAAAAAUGAUAAUGGUUGUUUACAUUCGAGCCACAUCUUCUAUUCUAAAUUUUGAAAAUUUCAUCUCCUUUUUGUUUUUUAUUGGUCAGAAAAAUGAAACAAUGAAUGAAAUAUAUAUCAACUUCACAUUUUCUAAUCAAUGUGAAUGAGAGGAUAUAUAUAAAGUGGUAUAUAUCUUAAAAUAGAAGAUAUGUUCAUGUUUAACUACUUACUUUCGAAUAGAUUACAAGAGACACACACUUAAGGGAGAGAAGUGGUAGUGUUUCUCAUAUUAUUUCCAGCUAUUGUAUUAUUUUGUUGCAAAAAAGAGCAUGCGAUUUAGAGUCAAACUAAGUUGUGAAGUGUAGAGUGUAAAAUUAUUCACAAUCCAUAAUCCAUCCAAAUUAAAUUCAUCCGUUAGAACUAAUGACUUUGAAUGAAUAUAAUUCAAUAGAUAGUGUUGAUAAUGGAUGGAUUCAAACCCAUCCAUUAUAUCCAAUGGAUAUCCAUGGGUAUAUCCAUUUGGAUUGAUACCCAAUCCAUCCAAAAAAAUAAAAACAAAAAUGUUUUUUCCCAUAAAGCAACAUGCAGAUCCAACUUUGCUAUACAAUCCAACAUGAAAAGUAUAAACCAAUGUUAUUAAUAUUGUAAUGAUCAUCAAACCGAUCAGAGUAGUAAUAUAUUGGUAUGGUGGUUCAACUAGUAGUUCACUAAUUAAACCGCAUACUAGUGAAGUUAGAUAUACAUAUAUUUUAUACUAAUAUUAAUGUUGAAAAAUCAAUAAAGAAUACAAUAACAAUUUUUAUUUAUACCACUUGUUAAAAAAUGUAUAUUAUAGAUCAUGUUUUAGAUGUAUAACAAUGUUGUAGUUGUGUGUUUGAUCAUCCAUACUAAUAUUUUGGCAUCAAUAAAUAAUUUUCAUUACAAAAGAAUUUUACAUGAAACCAUCUGGUAUGACCAGUACAAUUCAAUUGAAAACUAACCGGUAUGACCAGUUUUUACCGGUAUAAUUGCACGACCAAUAUAAAUGUUGUAUCGUAGCAGUAUUAAGAUUGGUUCACCAGUGUUAAUACAAGUGAUAUAAACUACUUUCUUUCUAACAAAAGGAUUCCUUCAACAUUAUUAUCAUUUUAUUCAAAACAUUUUUUCAAAACGUUUCAAUAAAGAUUGGUAUAACAUUUUUGUGUCAUGAUUGAGCAUAAGAAAAAAUGCAUGAUUGCAUGACUGCUUUAUUAAAUAAUAAUUUUAAAAGGCUUUUUCCUUCAAAAAAUGCUUUAGUUCAAAUUAAAAAAAUUGGAUUAGUUAUUCAUCCAUCCAAUCCAUUAAAAUGGAUAUGGAUGAAAUGAAUGGAUUGGAAUCCAUAUGAAUGGAUUGGAUAGUUUAGAAAUGUGAUUUUAUGGAUUUAUAUGGAUUGGUGAAUGACUUCCAUCAAUCCCUUAUGAUCCAAAUCCAUAUCCAUCCAAUUGCCACCAUUAGUGAUAUUUGCAGCUAGUGAUAUUUUGUUGCAAAAGAUAACAUCAUUUAUAGUAAAACUAAAAAGGAAAAAUAAAUAUACGGGUAGCCCCAGCCUGUCAGGAUAAACCCGGACCGAACUCAGUUUUAUAGUGAUUCGACCGAUUCGGGCGAAAAAGUCCAGUUUUAAGAAAAUGUACCUAAAAAGGUACACAUACUAUAUUAUUUUUCAGGCUUUGACGGACUGGCUCGACCAAUCUGACCCAUUUUGACAGCUCCAAUUACAAGUUUUUAAUUGUAUAACUUGGAUCAUGUCAUCAUUAGUGACUUUUGUUAUAGAUUAAGCUCAAUUAUUUUGACCCUGAGAGUUCAUCAACAUCUUCGGUCAUCCCUUGUUCACACCACAAGUGUGCAAUUUGUUCCACCAACAACCAUUGUAGCUUUAAAGUUCAGUAUGAAGACGGUGGUGAGACAUCAGGCUACAUUAUUUCAGACUUAAUGCAUGUUGCCGAUAUUUCAGAGGGUCUAGUGGCACCAAAUUCAUCUGUGCCAUUAGUUUUUGGGUGAGUUAUCAUAAACCUCAAAUAAUUAAAAUAACAUUCCUAUUUUUUUAGUUGCUUCUCUCUUUCUUCUACGAAAGGUUUAACUUUGAAAACAUUACUUUGUAUGUUGUAUUAUGGAAUAGUUGUAGUAACAUGCGGACUGGGAGAUUGACAUCGUAUGAGAGUGCGCUUGAUGGGAUAUUUGGAUUUGGGAAAGAUGACACGUCUCUCAUCUCUCAGCUUUAUUCACAAGGAAAAGCUUCUAGAGUAUUCUCUCAUUGUCUAAAAGGAGAUACUAGCGGUGGGGGCAUUCUUGUUCUUGGUGAGGUUGUAGAGCCAAACAUGAGUUAUACUCCACUUAUUCCAAAACAGUAAGUGUGUUUUGUCUAGAAUAAAAUGAAAUUUUUUAAUUCCUACAUGUGAUAUCUCAUGUGGUGUUUGUUAAGUGUUAUAUAUGUUGGUCAUCUCUAUUCUUUGGUAAAAUGCACCAUAUCAAAUUAUGAGUUAAUUGUUUUAUGAUUAUCAUUUUGUCUUGUUAUUUUUUUGGUAUUUUUAACCGAAGACAUGUGUGCAUUAUUAUGUCAAAUAAUAUGCAAAAGUUGGAUUAAAUAUGUCACUAUAGAAAUACUAUUUAUACUGAAAUUACUUGAAUGAAAUUUUUUGGAAAAUAUUUACACUAAUAACUUGGAAAAAAUUCCAGACCUCAUUAUAAUUUAAAUCUGGAGAGCAUUUCUGUCAACGGACACACAUUGCAGAUUGAUCCGACAGUCUUUAUAACAUCAAGUACCAAAGGUGUCAUGAUUGAUUCUGGAUCAACUUUGGCGUUCUUUAUCGAAGAGGCCUACAAUUCUAUUAUUGACGCAGUGAGUUUUGCAUAGAUUAUUUUUAUCAUCAAAUUGGUAACGAUAAAUAUUGCUUUGAUUUUUUAUGCGGUCUAUGUGUUUUUAAAAAAUAGUUUGAUGCCAUCCCCCUCCUCCCCUCCCGAGAUUUAUCAAUAAUUAAUGACAAAUAUAUUUUUUGUGUAGAUUAAUAGUAGAAUUCCAAGAUCUAUAGGCACUACUGUUUCUAAUGGAUUUCACUGUUACUUGGUACCCACCAGGUUAAGUUGAAUAUUCAAAUAUAUCUUUGUGAAAUCUUUCAUGCCAUUUUUUAAUUGACUGCAUGUUAAAAAUAGAGGAUUUUCUGACACUUUCUAAACAUUUUUUUUUAUUUUUAGUGUGUUAAGCAUCUUUGACAUCUUUCCUCCAAUAAGUCUGAACUUUGCUAACCAUGCAUCUAUGGUUUUAAGGUCACAAGAUUACCUUAUACACUCUCCAACAGUAAGUAUUUAAGCCUCAACUUUAUGAUAGAAUUAGUUUGUAUUCAUUAUUUGCAAAGACUUUCAUGAUUAAUUGUGGGCAAGACUGAAUGCUUUGAGUAAUUACAUGUCUUUACUCCUCAUAUACAUCAAGUACUAUAUAUAAUUUAUGUAUGUACUAUUUAUUUUCAUGUUAUCUAACUAGUAUGACGAUGCCUUGUGCAUUACAGUUUUAUGGAGGAUUGUGGUGCCUUGGCUUUCACAAAACCCAAGAUAUAACAAUUCUAGGAGGUAUAUUGACACUCUAAACUUUUAGCUCCUAUAUUUAUGUCAUUUUAUUUGGUGAGAUACAUUGAAAGGAUAUGUAAAGUAAGUUUUGCAUAUGAUUGAAGUUCAACUAUUUUUUUUUAAAUUCUUAAAACUUAUUUAGAAUUAAUCUAAAAGUACUAUUCUUGUUUAUUGUGUGAGGUCAUGUUAUCUCUUUUCCAAGAUUAAGACACUGAUGACAAUACACUUUUUCUGCCAGACAUUAUAUUAAAAGACAAAAUUAUUGUGUAUGAUCUUACUAGCCAACAGAUUGGAUGGACUAAUUAUAAUUGUAAGUUUCACCUACAUUACUAUAAAUUUAUAUGAGCUAAGAGUAUCAAGGAUAACUAAAUCAAAUAUUUGGGCUAUCUUUGAUUCUCUAUAACUUAGUUUUGAUAUAUUAAUUUAAAUUAUUGAUUUAGGUUCAUUGCCGGUUAAUGUCUCUGCUCCAUCAUCUGGAAAAGGUAGAAAUGAAAAGGGAGGAGCUUCUUUAUGUGAUAGGCCUGAAAAGUUGACAAUGGUGAUCUUGGCUUUCAUAACACACAUGAUACUAAUAUUGAUAUAGUUAUCAGGGUCUUUAAUUUGGAGGAAGUAUUUCAAUAAUCAUUAAAGUAAAUAAUUGUUAAUACUAUAGAUUAGAUAAUAGUAUUUCAAUAAUUGUAUUUCUAGAAUAUUGUAAUUUGUGUGAUGUUGACUCUUGUAUGAUUAUGAAUGAAGAAAUAAAUGCUAUUUUAUUAGCUUUGUUAUUUGUUCUUAAGGGUAGUUACUAUUAGUCAAUUCUUUGUUGUAUUGUAGAAUGUAUGAGCAACCAAUAAAGUAAAGUAAAAUAGUUCAAAGUAUAGCUCACAACAUAUCUAACACUUAAACCUAUAGGUUAUAAUGACAUCAAGUCUUGAUGAUAAAAGUAGAUACCAUCUACCUAUUUGCAACAAAGUGUAGAUAACAUAACGACACUGAUUUCUUAAGAUACCAAAUAUGCAUAUAACAUAUAAUAAUACGGAUAAUUUCUUAAUCUCAACACACUCCUUUUUCUCUUAGAAAUUAGUUAUCCUUUUUAUACUAAUUGGGUUUAUUCUAUUAUGUGAUGCACCUAAUUUAAUCCUUUUAGAGUUGGCUUCAAAUUAUUCUAUGUAGACUUCCAUGGAAGGAACCCAAUGCACCUCUCACAUCAAAUCAUUGAAGUCUUGUAUGAAUAUGUUGAUGAUCAUAUUGUAAGUGGCAUGCAUGUUUUCUUUGUCACAGUUUUUAUCCCAACAAUUAUGUUAAAUUAAAAUUUGGUUGCAAAUAAAAAAACUCUACAAUAUCAGUGGUCUGAAUUAUAAGUAUUGUCAUUAGUAGAAAUGUAUAACAUUAUUGAUUAUUUUAUGUAACUAAACAAAUCUAAUGAAUGUAAUUUUACAAUUUGCUUAUAAAAUAUAUUGAGGUAUCUAGCAAUAACACGAGAAAUACAAUUUUAUAAUUUGAAAAACAACCUUGUAUAAAUUGAUGUACUUGGAUAUAAUAUUAUAUUGUCUGUGGCUUGUAUAAUUUUUAUUUUAUUUUUUAUAUCUACUCUUUAUCUCUUCCACCCCUUAGUAAUUAUUUUUUCACUAACUAUUUCAUUUAUUAGAAAAUUAGCUAUGAACAUAAAAAAUAUGAUAAAAAAUAUGUUCCAAUGAACAAUUAAAUAGGAGACAUAUUAUGUAUGUGGAUCUUGUAUAAAUAAUAUAUCACAUGAGUAUAUUAACCUUUUUUAAAUUUUAAAUAUUCAUUUUUGAAGAAAAUUGGAACUGCUCCUACGAGUGUGGCAUAUCGUAUCUUUGGUGGAGCAGCCCUAUUUCAUAACUUUACCCUAUACUUUUUACACAUAACCAAAGGCAAGUUUCUUGUCUGAAUUUGUAAUGACUAACAACUUGAAGGAGAUAUUAUAUAGUUUGAAGAAGGAUAAGUACAUAAAAUUCAGCUAUGCAACAAUGUGCAUUUCAAGUAAGGAAAAGACAAUAGUAAGGAAAAGAAGAAGGUAAUAGCAGAAAAAAAAGAUCUCAGCAGAGAAGGAAUCCCUUAUGGCUUAAAAGAUAAUGCCUGAAUUUGAGCAGGGCUUCAGUAAUUACAAAACAAUUCCCUUGCAUAGGCAGAUUGCUGUUGCAUUAUAGGAGAUAAUUUCCUUGAAAAGAAAGCAAUUGGAUGACUUUCUUGACUAAGAACAACCCCAAUUCCUGAACCUGAAGCAUCUGUCUCCAAAAUGAAAGAAAUUUUAAAAUUCGGAGCAUCCAAAACAGGAGCAGUAAUGAGUGUUUUUCUUAACUGACAGAAAGAUGUUGUAGCAGCUUGAGACCACUUGAAGCAAUCUCUUUUGAGUAAAUCAGAAAAAGUAGCAACAAUUUUACCAUAAUUUUUGACAAAUCUUCUAUAAUACACAGUUAAAUCCAAGAAACCUCGAAGUUGUUGCAAUGUGUUGGGUUGAGGCCAUUGUUGAAUAGCUUCCAGUUUACUAUUAUCCAUAACAACUCCCUCACCUGAAAGUGUAUGACCCAAGUAUUCAAUUAUUUGCACACCAAAAGAACACUUAGAUAAUCUAGCAAACAACUUAUGGCUCUGCAAGAUUUCCAAAAUAGAUUCCAAUUUCACAAGAUGAUCUAUCCACGAUGAACUAUAAACUAAGAUAUCAUCGAAGAAAACAAGGACACAUUUCCUCAAAAGGCCUUUGAGAAUUUCAUUCAUAAGACUAUGAAAUGUUGUUGGUGCAUUAGUCAACCUGAAUGACAUAACUAAUCAUUCAUAAUGUCCAUGGUGACUUCUAAAAGUUUUUUGUAGCGAUCUGCAGGGUCCACUAAAAUUUGGUGGUAACCAAAUAUGAGAUCAAGCUUGGAGAAAAAACAUGCCCCAAACAAUUCAUCAAUUAGUUCAUCCACCAUAGGAAUUGGAAAUGAAUAUUUAACAAUAAUGGCAUUAAGCGCUCUAUAAUCAGUAAACACUCUCCAUGACCCAUCCUUCUUUUGAUUAAGAUGAGUGGAGAAGAAAAAAAGGCUCUUGCUUGGUUGAAUAAUGCCCUCUUUUAACAUGCCUUCAACCAAAUGUUCAAUUUCUUCUUUUUGACUAUGGGGAUACUUGUAAGACUCAACCUUAACAAGAUUAGAAACUUCUAGCAAAGGUAUAAAAUGAUCAUGUGAUCUAGGAGGAGGUAGUGAAGUAGGAAUAGAAAGCUAACUCAGACUUGAUAUUGCCAUAUAGAUCCAAAACAGUAAUAGGGAAAGGAGUUUCCUCAAUUAUGUGUAUGCUGAAAAUUUAUGUUAUACCAUCAAUUUGUAUCAUUCUUCUGAGAUGAUGGAGUGUAGCUGGAACAAGAAGUAAAUAUUUAUCACCUCUCAAUGAAGUAAAAUUUCCUUACCAUAAAAAAUUGAGUUGCAAGAAAUCGUAAUCUGCAAUAUGUGCUCCAAUAGUUUUCAACCAGCUUGUACCCAAUAUUAAAUCAACACCAGAAAUUAGAAGCAAAAAUACUAGUAAUUGAAACGAAUUUCCUUGAGCAUGAACUAAGACCUGUUGAACCCUGCCUUCCACAUGCAUAUAGUUUCCAUUUCCUACCAUAACUUUGAACAUAGGAGUUGGUUCUAUAGGUAGUUUCAGAAAGUUAGCCACUCUUGGCUGGAGAAAAUUAUCAGCGCUCCCCCAUCAAUCAGAACAGUAAUAGGCAAUUGAUCAAUGUGAGCCACAAAUCUUAUAGUGCCUACACCCAAACCACCUUUCAGGGCAUUCAAAGAUAAAUGUUGAUCCUUAGCACUAAUAGGUUCCUCAGAAUCAACCAUAGAAUGCUCCUCACAGUCCCUUACUAUAAAAUCAGUAGUAUGCUCAACCAAUUGCAAAAAUAAUAAUUGCCUAUUAGGACACUUAUGAUUAAAAGUGAACUUUUUAUCACAAAAUAACAUAGACCCUUGUCUCUACGAAGUUGCAUUUCAGCAGGGCUAAUUUUUUUAACAUUAGAAAUGCAAAGAGAGGCCCCUUGGGAGUGGGUAAUAAUCCUGGAGUGGAAUUGGUAGUAGUGGAUUUGGGCAAAGAAUGAGUGGAAUUAUAGGUGUGAGAAGCAUGAGUUGUGAUUGGGGAUUAUUUAUGGGUGUAAUAGAAGAACUAGCCUUAGACACAGGUGUGUGACGUUCUUCAAAUAUCCUAGCAAGAGCAACUGUACGUAAUAAGGUAGGAUGGGCCAUUGCGACCACAUCCCCACAGAUUUCCUUUUGAAAACCUCGCACAAAACAAUUUAACACAAUCUCAUCAUUUAAGCCAACAGAUCUGUUAGCUAAGGCCAUGAAUUUAAGAUAAUAUUCAAAAAGAGAAUAUGUUUGUGUCAAUUUAAACAACUCAACCAUAGGAAAAUCAUAAGUAGAAGAGCCAAACUGAGAUUUAAGGGCCCUGGUAAGAUCAAUCUAAGAGGGCACUGUAGAAAUCCAUGGUAACAUUUGAAACCAAAGUACCACAUCCUUAUCAAAAUGCAUUGCAUCAAUAUCAACCUGAGAUGGGUCAGGAGUAUUGUGGUAAUUAAAAAAUUUAUGUGCCUUAAAAAUCCAUUCCAAAACAGGUGUUGUUCCAUCAAAAUGAGGGAAUCUAAGAGAAAUCUGUUUGAUUGGUAAAGAUGGAAUGUCAAGGGAGUCAUUUGUAGAUAAUGAGUUCAAGGGACUUCCACCAUUAUGAGACGUGUUCUGAAGAAUCUGAUGUAAAUCCAGCUGUAUUUGAGCCAUACGCUCAUCAAGCUCAUUAAAUCGAUUGUUCAUGGUCUGGGUCAGACGAUGAAGCUCAUCAGCGUGUCUAGUAACCGUAGCUUUUAAAUCUCGUAGUCUCGUAUUCUCAGCCAUGGAAGCUCAAUGAAAGCAUCAAUGUAAUGACUAACAACUUGAAGGAGAUAUUAUAUAGUUUGAAGAAGGAGAACUUUAUGCAACAAUGUGUAUUUCAAGUAAGAAAAAGACAAUAGUAAGGAAAAGAAGAAGAUAAUAGCAGAAAAGAAAGAGAUCUCAGUAGAGAAGGAAUCCCAUAUUACUCAAUACCCAUUCACUACACAAUCCUUCAAUUUAAUACUCCUUUUCCUGUUACGCAUGCUUUUUCGUGUAGCCUCUAGACCAGGAUCUGCUACCAUGUGUCCAUUCUGCCUAACAUAAUCCUUCAUAGAUUAUUUAAUCAUAAUCGAAUUGCUCACGUCAGCCUUUGCUUCCUUUUCACGUGUUGCAAAAUACCCAUCUGCUCUUGAUCUUUUGAUGGGGCUAUUGUUGAGGUCUUAGGUGCUGGGACUAAAUAGUAUGUUCUUUUAGGAAUGAUUCAAAACUUAGAGAGUUAGUUAGUAAGUUUUAGAGUUUUCAGUUUUUAGAAUUGCAGUUAGUUUUUCUAGUUGUAAUACUUGCUAUAAAUAGCAAUUGUACUCCUUAGUGGAAUAAUUGACAAAUAUACAAGUAUUAUUUAGUAUAUACACUCUACUCUCUCAUAUACUCUUCUAUACACUAACUUCAUUUUCUUUCUCUCUUUAUUCUUGUUUCUACACAUGAUUUCACUCUGCAAAUUUUCUAUCUCAGCUUUCUUUCAACAUUCUUCAUUCUUCCAACAUCUAGUACCAAGAGCAUAUGUGAGAUUAAAGCAAUGAGUUCAAACAGUGCAAAUUUCUCAACAAACCUAUUAGUUCUCAAUGGCAAAAACUAGAACAAGUGGCGUAUACAAACGAAAGCAAACUUGAGUUAUCAAGAAAUGAGUGAACAUAUAGAAGAUGGAUUCUUAGAUCUUCCUGCAAAUCCCACUGAGGCACAAAUGGUGACUUACAAAGAAAUAGGAAGAAAGAUUGCAAGGUUAAGUUCUUACUCCAUCAAUGUGUUGAUGAAGCUCAUUUUUAGAAGAUGGCAGAGUUGUUACUUCACAAGAAGCUUGGAGAAUUCUAUAAAAAUAUAGUGAAGAAGCUGAUCAACUCAAGAAAGUGAGAUUGCAGGUGUCAAUAUGAGUUAAUGCAAAUGGAGAACAACGAAAACGUGGCUAAGUUCUUCAAAAAAAUAGUUACUCACACCAAUGCAAUGAAGGUAUAUGGAGACUAAUCUCAAAUCAGACAAUUGUUGAGAAGAAAAUAAGAACCCUCAAUCCUAAAUUUGACAACAUUCAGGUUGCUAUUGAAGUAUCCAACAAAUUGGAGGAUUUGAAAGUAGAAGAGUUGCAGAGUUCCUUAGAAGCACAUGAGCAGAGGAUAAAUGAAAGAAGGAUAGGGAAGCAUGCUGAAAGUCAAGCUUUGUUAACUCAAGUUUCAAGAAGGAGUAACUACAAUGCAAGAAGAACACAUAAUGGUUGGAAUCAAGGAAGGGAUUCCAGAUUUGGUUCUUACAGAAGUUCACAAUCCCAAGGACAGAUCAAGUGUGAUCAUGAUCAAUUAGACAAUACCAACUUAAAAUGUUAUAACACUUGGAAAGGGGGAAGAAGAUAUUUGACAAGAAAAGAGUCAAAUGCUUCAAGUGCAAUCGAAUUGGACACUAAUCCAAUGAGUGUGUAGCAAUCAACCAAAGUGAUCAUAGAGCAUACAUACUAAACACAAGCCAUCAAGCUAAUAUGGCCAUGGAAGACACAGAAGUAAGCCUUGAAGAACAACCAAUCUUGUUAAUGAUGACUACCAACCAAGAAGUGGAUAGCAAUGAAGUUUUGUACAUAGACUCAGGUUGCUCUAAUCACAUGACAGGUAAUAGAGAAUGGCUUGUGGAAUUUGAUGAAGGAAAGAAGAGUAAGGUGAGGUUUGCAUAUAACAAAUUCAUCAUGGUUGAAGGUACAAGAAAUGUGACGAUUAAAAGAAAUGAUGGAGACAGUGCAAUCAUAUCUAUAUGUCCCUGGUAUGAGGAGCAAUCUAACCAAUUUGGGUCAGCUUACUGAAAGGAGAUUCAAGAUCAAUAUUUCCAAUGGAGCUAUAGAAAUUUCCGAUGUUGUUGAAAAAAGGAUCAUAAAAGUCCCUCUAACUCAAAACAAGACUUUUCAGGUAAGCCUAAACACCAUGGAUAUUGGCUUCUUUUCAACUAUUACCUUAGCUGAUGACUCUUGGGUAUGGAAUCUAAGUCUAGGCCAUUUAAAUUUUAAAGACCUAGGCCUACUUAGUUCAAAGAAUAUGAUCCAUGGACUUCCAUCACUAGUGAACCAAAAGAAAGCUUGUGGUAAUUGCCUAAUCAGUAAGCAACCUAGAAAACCAUUCAACAUCUACACAAUGUCUAAGGCUAGUGAUGUUUUACAUACUAUCUACUCAGAUAUGUGUGGGCCACUUGAUGUUCCAUCACUAGGAGGAAAUAGAUGUUUUGUCCCAUUUGUGGAUGACUUCAGUAGAAAUUUAUGGUUGUAUUUGAUCAAGGCCAAGUGUAAUGCAUUUCCAACCUUCAAAACCUUCAAGAUUUUGGUGGAGAAGUAAUCAGGAAAGUUUAUCAGAACUCUGAGAACUGAUGGUGAGGGAGAGUUUACAUAUGGAGAGUUUGAAUAUUUCUGCAAGGAGCAUGAGAUAGUUAGUGAAGAUACACCCCCUACACUCCCCAACGCAAUGGGAUUGUAGAAAGAAGAAACAAAACUAUACUAAACAUGGUGAGAAGUAUGCUCAAGCAGAAAAAUAUUCCACUAAGCUUCUAGGGUGAAGCGGUCAUGACCGCUGCCCAUAUACUCAACAGGUGCCAAAUAAAGAGGCUAGAUUCCAUGGUUCUAGAGUAAGCUUGGUGUGGAGUCAAGCCAUUAGUCAAGCACUUUAGAUUUUUUGGCUCAUUAUGUUAUAGGCAUAUUCUAGAUCAAAGAAGAAGGAAACUUUACGAUAAAAGUGAGCCUACGAUAUUUGUGGGAUACAAUUCCAGUGGAGCAUACAAACUCUACAGCCCCAAGACGAACCAAGUCCUUUUCAGUAGAGAUGUAUAUUUUGAUGAGUCCAAUUCCUAGUGUGAGGCACAACCUACAACUAGUAUAAUUCCAAGGUUGCACAUAGAAUGGGAUGAAGCUGCUCCAGAAGAGGUGAUCAAUCAUGAGACAAUGAAUAUUGAGAAUCAACACUUGACUGAUGGUAGACAAACAUGAAGUGAAAAUCUCCCAUCUAGAGUUUGUGAUUAUCAAGUCUAAUAUGAUAGUACUAUCACUAAAGAAGGUUAUCUGAUUCAACAUCUAGCUUUAAUAGCUGAUGUUGUACUUAUUGGAAUUGAAGAAGCCAUUUCCAGCAAGGUAUGGAGAAAAGCAAUGGAAGAAGAACUAAAGAGUAUUGAAAAGAACCAUACUUGGGAUAUGGUAGAACUGCCUCAGAACAAGAAACCUAUUCUUGUUAAGUGGGUUUUCAAGGUGAAACGUAGGCCUGGUGGAUAAAUUUCCAAGUACAAAGCUAGGUUGGUGGCCAAAGGGUUUAUGCAAAGAGAGGGAUUGGACUAUUCAAAAGUAUUUGUUCUUAUGGCUAGAAUAGAAACUAUGAGGUUGAUUGUGGCACUUGCUAGCUUGCAAAAAUUGAAGAUGUGGCAAUUGGAUGUAAAAUCAUCAUUCCUGAAUGUACCACUUGAUGAGGAGGUAUUCAUAGCACAGCCUUCUGGCUUUAUAUGCAAAGGACAUGAGCAGUAGGUACUUAGGCUAAAGAAAGCAUUGUAUGACUGGAAGCAAGCACCUAGAGCCUAGAAUAAAAGGAUUAACUCUUUCCUCAAUAGUGUUGGCUUUGUGAAAUGUUCAGUGGAACGUGGAGUGAAUGUCAAGAUGUCAAGUGUAACUGACAUAAUAAUCAUAUAUUUGUAUGUUGAUGAUCUUACACUCACUGAGAGUUGUGCAUAAGGCAAUGAGUAAUUGAAGCAAAGCCUGGAGAAUGAGUUUGAGAUGACUGACUUGAGAAAUCUAUCCUACUUCCUAGGAUUAUAAUUUUCAUAAUAUGUAGAAGGAAUUUUAAUAUACCAAAAGAAAUACAUCUUAGAAGUGCUAAGGAAGUUCAAUAGAAGUGGCUACAAUCAGACAGAGACUUUAGUUGAACCUAAAUAUAAAACUCACAAGUGGAUAAGGUGAAGCUGUAGUAAAUGCAACAAUAUAUAGACAUAUUGUUCACAUCAUAUGAUACAUAUGUGACAACAAACCAGAGAUUGCAUACAAUGUGGGACUAAUUAGUAGAUUCAUGAGUGAUCCAAGGUACUCACACUUACUAGCAACUACGAGGAUCAUGAGAUACCUCAAGGGAACAUGUGUAUAUGGAAUCUUGUUCUCAACUCAUCAAGGAAAUAGUGACAACAAUCUCAAACUUGUAGCGUACUCAGAUUCAGAUUGAUAUGGAGUCUUAGUUGAUAGAAAAAGUACAAUGGGACAUAUAUUCCUACUAUCAGGCUCACCUAACUUGGAGCUCAAAGAAGCAGUCAGUUGUGGCCCUAUCAACUUGUGAAGUAGAAUAAAUUGCAACAUCCUCAACUGCUUGCCAAACAUUUUGGCUAUAAUCUUUGCUUUGUGAAAUGAAUAUACUUAAUGUAGAGAACAUAGAACUGCUGGUUGAUAGUAAAUCAACAAUAGACUUGGCCAAAAAUCUAGUAUCCCAUGGUAGGAAUAAACACAUUGAUACUAAGUAUCAUUUCCUUAGAGACCAAGUAAGAAAAGGUUGAGAUUGAUAAAAAAUUUCAUUAACUUAGAUUCAACUAAAGCAUUGCAACACUGAUUUUUAGGUGGCUGAAAACGCUGUUAAAUGUCAUACUUCAUAUAUUUAACAAUACUUCUUCAGUGAGUGCAGUUAAAAGUGUUAUAUUUAAGAGUGCUUAUUGAAACAAACACUGUUAAAUAUCAUACAUUCAUAUAUCUAACAUCACUUCUUCAGUGAGCGCUGUAUUGUUAAAAGUGUUAUCUUUAACAAUGCUUAUGGAAGAAAGUGAUGUUAAAAGUCAUACUUCAUAUAUUUAACAGCACUUCUUCAAUAAGCGUUGUUAAAGAUCAUACAUUCAUUCAUAUAUUUAACAUCACUUCUUCAGUGAACAUUGAUAAAUGCUUGUUUUAGUGAGCGAGAAUCUUUUAAAAUUCGGAAACAAAACCUCACACAAUAAUACACAUUUCACUCAGUUUAUUAUUUCUCUUACUUUUCUUCUUCUCCAUGAGUUACAUUUUUUCCUCUUUUUUUUUUUAGUUUCUCUCUUCAAGCAAGUUAUCGGUUUUUGGUUUUUGGUUUUUCUCUUCCAGUCUAAGGUAAAUCGCUAUCUUAUUUUACCUCAUUUAUUUCUUUUUGAUUCAAUAUUAAUGCUUGCAUAUACACCAUAAAUAAAAAGUCUUUGAUGUAUUUGAAUCGUUAUAUUUUUAAACAAUUAGUUUAUUUAUGAUCAAUUUGGUGGAAACAUUUCACUAACAGUGUGAUCUUUAUUUGUGGUAAAGUUAUGCAACUAUGGUGUUCUAGGUUUUUUGCUGUAGUUCACUAGUUUAGAACGUAUAGUUUGAGUAUAAUGGUAAAUGUUCUUUCUCAAUUGCUGUUAAUUUUUUAUUUUUUAUAACUUUUGCAAUUUGUUUAGAGAUGCCAUUUUUUAUUUGUAUUUGCAGCUUGCAAUAAUCAUUGAGGAACACAUGAACACCAAGUAAGGACUUGCACAUUGGAGGAAAAAGAAUGAACAAUUUGCAUAAGAUCUCAUUAUUCACAUGUUAUUUUAUAAUAUUGGAAUAUGAUAAGGUUGAAUGUAGCUGAAGUCGUUGGUGAUUUAAUAAAUCUUGUAAAUAUGGUGGAGUUGGACAUGCUUGUCAUAUAUUGGAUAGAAUGUUUGGAAGAUAUAUUGUCUUAUUUAGAAAGUAGACAUUUAACAACGCUUGCUUCAGUGAGCGCUGCUAAAUGUCUACUUUCUACAACGCUUCAAAAAAUAAUGUUAAAUAUAACCUUGUGUACUAUUGUGCUCAAUAGAAAGUGUCUCAAAAACGUUGUUAAAUGACAAUUUUAAGUGUUGUAGUUUUGAUAUUCUGGCGUAGUGAUUGUAUCUCUCAAAAUCAGACAAGAUAGACUAAUGACAUAGUGAUACAUGUCAAUAUGAGCAAAAGACAACUGUCCACCAAGUAUAGAUCUUCCAAAGCUACCUGACAUUGGAAAAGCAAUCUUCGUUUGUCCAGGAUAGACCCAACAUACCAUCUGAUCGAUCAAAUCAACCUCAUCUACAAUGGAACUCAGAUGAUAUACACAUACUUAUUAAGUUUUUCACUUUGUCUCUUACUUAUUAUUCUUUGAUACUCUAUAUAUCUCACAUAUUGGCUUGAUCGUAUGAGAACCAUUCCACGUAAUUACCUCAAUGGGUUCAAGCACUUCUGAGGCUAUACUAGAUGAUUUUGAUCAAGUUACCACAAUUCGAAUCCAUCCUUUCAAGACAAAAGAACAUAUGUGAUAUGUGGAGGUGUCAAAAUAGACUACCCGAACGGGUUCGACCUAGCUCACCUCAGGUUCAGGCUAAAAAGAAUAGAUACAAUUUAUCCAUAUCAAGUUAUAGUCGAAACCUUCCCUAAGCGGGUUGCGGGUUGUGGCGUCCGGGCACGGACAAUACUAAAAAAUAUUUAUUUAAAUUUUUUUAAUCUAUUUAAUAUAUAUAUAUAUAUAUAUAUAUAUAUAUAUUAAAUAGAUUAAAAAAAUUUAAAUAAAUAUUUUUUAGUAUUGUCCGUGCCCGGACGCCACAACCCGCAACCCGCUUAGGGAAGGUUUCGACUAUAACUUGAUAUGGAUAAAUUGUAUCUAUUCUUUUUAGCCUGAACCUGAGGUGAGCUAGGUCGAACCCGUUCGGGUAGUCUAUUUUGACACCUCCACAUAUCACAUAUGUUCUUUUGUCUUGAAAGGAUGGAUCCGAAUUGUGGUAACUUGAUCAAAAUCAUCUAUUAUAGCCUCAGAAGUGCUUGAACCCAUUGGGGUAAUUACGUGGAAUGGUUCUCAUACGAUCAAGCCAAUAUGUGAGAGAUAUAUAGAAUAUCAAAGAAUAAUAAGUAAGAGAUAAAGUGAAAGAGUUAAUAAGUAUGUGUAUAUCAUGUGAGUUCCAUUGUAGAUGAGGUUGAUUUGAUCGAUCAAAUGGUAUGUUGGGUCUAUCCUGGACAAACGAAGAUUGCUUUUCCAAUGUCAGGUAGCUUUGGAAGAUCUAUACUUGGUGGACAGUUGUCUUUUGCUCAUAUUGACAUGUAUCACUAUGUCAUUAGUCUAUCUUGUCUGAUUUUGAGAGAUACAAUCACUACGCCAGAAUAUCAAAACUACAACACUUAAAAUUGUCAUUUAACAACGUUUUUGAGACACUUUCUAUUGAGCACAAUAGUACACAAGGUUAUAUUUAACAUUAUUUUUUGAAGCGUUGUAGAAAGUAGACAUUUAGCAGCGCUCACUGAAGCAAGCGUUGUUAAAUAUCUACUUUCAAAAUAAGACAAUAUAUCUUCCAAAUAUUCUAUCCAAUACAUGAAAACCAUGUCCAACUCCACCACAUUUACAACAGAUUUAUUAUAUCACCNNNNNNNNNNNNNNNNNNNNNNNNNNNNNNNNNNNNNNNNNNNNNNNNNNNNNNNNNNNNNNNNNNNNNNNNNNNNNNNNNNNNNNNNNNNNNNNNNNNNUUGAGAAAUAAAUUUGAAUCUUAGAUAAGGAAUGUAUUUUUACUCUUUUCGAAUAGUAAAUAUUUCUCAAAUUCAACAUGAAUCUACCUGAUUCAAAAGGGAAGAACUUGCCUCUGUCUCAAUUUGAAUUAGACUGCGUACCAUCACAUAUCAUCUAAACUAUGAUAAUAUGUAAUCUUAUGUAUAUAAGAUCAUGAUUAUGGAAAAUGUUUAAAUCUUAAGUUUUAUUUAACAUGACUUUAUAAGCUUUGAUAUUACAUGAUAAUAAGAUAUAAUCAAUCCUUAUCAACAUUUUAUUAUUCCAACACACACUUUUGAUAUUCAUUCUUGUGAUGCUUGGAUCCGAAGUUUAUCAAAUGGCCAUGGUGGACAACAAUAUGUGCGAAUACAUUUGCAACCAGGACCAUAAAGUUUUUGACACUGUAUGUCUGCGCUACAAGGAAAAUGCUCAAUGCGACCCGCAUAUGAUUCUUUGCACAUAUCUGUAUUCACAUAAAUAAUACAUGAACAAAAUUCAUAUUAUACAUUGCAAGUAAAUUUGGAUGAAUAAUUAGAGUAUAGUGAAAAUAAUUUAGGAUAUAGAAUUGGAUCCAUACAUUUGAACAAGAGACACGAUUAGCGUCGCGUAAAACAAAAUUUCUAACCUGUUGCAAAGAUGAAAACCAAUACGAAAGCCAGUUUAAUAAUUGACAUCCUCAUACUUAAGUAAUUGUCCACACUUGAAACUUGAUCAAAUAAGAACUUUUGAAUGGAUGUCUCAAAUCAUUGUGAGCCCCUCUUUAUAUAGUAUGAGAGUAUUACAACUUCCAAAAGAUGAAUUAGGUCCUUCAAUAGCUUAUAUUUUCAAUAUGAGUAUAAUAUCUAUGUACUGUUAGUGUAAAGAUUUAUACAAAUCACUACAUCAUCCACAAUUCAUUUGAGUUACAUUCUUUGAAGAGUCAAUGAUGAUUAAAUAUGAAUAGUGGAUGACGAAAUGACAGUGACAAUAUAUAAAACACAUACACUAUUAGUCUAUACAUAUUUUUCUCUUUCAAUAUUAGAAAAAUUACAUCUCAUUUAUUCUAGAAUAAAUGCAUUGCUUUGAAUAGUCAAAGACUAAUUAUUACAAGAAGUUAAGAUAUUGAUGUAAUAUUUCAAUUGAUCCUUGUGUAUCGUACAAUAUGAAAUUCUUAUGUUUAAUAUUUAGGGUCCGUCGUGACAUUUUAUAGGCCAUUCACAUAGUAAAAUAAUAGACAUUAUUUAUCAUAAGAAAAUAUGUUAAAUUUAAAUGUCGGAAUUUAAAGGAAAAUGAGAGUUCAAAAUAAGUGACGAUCACAACAAAAACAACUAUUCAUUCAUCAUAAAAAGAAUUUAAUUAUGUAAAAUAAUUUGCAAUAAUAUUUCAACUAAAAAAGUCUAAUGAAAAUCAUUUGAAAAUGUAAUACANNNNNNNNNNNNNNNNNNNNNNNNNNNNNNNNNNNNNNNNNNNNNNNNNNNNNNNNNNNNNNNNNNNNNNNNNNNNNNNNNNNNNNNNNNNNNNNNNNNNUUUAAUCGAUUAAUAUUCCUGUGUUAAUCGAUUAUACUGUUUCUAUUAAUCGAUUAAAAUAGUUUCUGUUUAAAACUGUUUUUUGUGUUAAUCGAUUAAGACUGUGCUUAUAAUCGAUUAUCCUUUUCUCCUUAAUCGAUUAAAUAGGGUUGAUUCAGCAUUAAGUGUUGAUUUGCGAAAAGCGGUAAUUCUAACCGCGACACCUAUUCAACCCCCCCCUUCUAGGUGUAUUGUAACCACUGAUACCUAACAUGUAUGUCUGCGCUACAAGGAAAAUGCUCAAUGCGACUCCACACAUAUGAUUCUUUGCACAUAUCUGUAUUCACAUAAAUAAUACAUGAACAAAAUUCAUAUUAUACAUUGCAAGUAAAUUUGGAUGAAUAAUUAGAGUAUAGUGAAAAUAAUUUAGGAUAUAGAAUUGGAUCCAUACAUUUGAACAAGAGACACGAUUAGCGUCGCGUAAAACAAAAUUUCUAACCUGUUGCAAAGAUGAAAACCAAUACGAAAGCCAGUUUAAUAAUUGACAUCCUCAUACUUAAGUAAUUGUCCACACUUGAAACUUGAUCAAAUAAGAACUUUUGAAUGGAUGUCUCAAAUCAUUGUGAGCCCCUCUUUAUAUAGUAUGAGAGUAUUACAACUUCCAAAAGAUGAAUUAGGUCCUUCAAUAGCUUAUAUUUUCAAUAUGAGUAUAAUAUCUAUGUAUUGUUAGUGUAAAGAUUUAUACAAAUUACUACAACAUCCACAAUUCAUUUGAGUUACAUUAAGUUACAUUCUUUGAAGAGUCAAUGAUGAUUAAAUAUGAAUAGUGGAUGACGAAAUGACAGUGACAAUAUAUAAAACGCAUACACUAUUAGUCUAUACAUAUUUUUCUCUUUCAAUAUUAGAAAAAUUACAUCUCAUUUAUUCUAGAAUAAAUGCAUUGCUUUGAAUAGUCAAAGACUAAUUAUUACAAGAAGUUAACAUAUUGAUGUAAUAUUUCAAUUGAUCCCUAGGUAUAGUACAAUAUGAAAAUCUUAUGUUUAAUAUUUAGGGUCCGUCAUGACAUUUUAUAGGUCAUUCACAUAGUAAAAUAAUAGACAUUAUUUAUCAUAAGAAAAUAUGUUAAAUUUAAAUGUCGGAAUUUAAAGGAAAAUGAGAGUUCAAAAUAUGUCACGAUGACAACAAAAACNNNNNNNNNNNNNNNNNNNNNNNNNNNNNNNNNNNNNNNNNNNNNNNNNNNNNNNNNNNNNNNNNNNNNNNNNNNNNNNNNNNNNNNNNNNNNNNNNNNNUGCUCAUUUAAUAUUGUUAUUUGUUGCAAACUUGAGUAUAAUAUUUUAUGUUUAUUUUUUAGUUACAUUCUUAAUAAAUCUAAUAUUUUGUAUGACCUUUCAUUUUUAGUCACAUUUCAUAUGGAAAUUAUUUAGCCCAAUAUGUUUUUAAACUAUUACUCACAUUCUUAAUAAAUUCAUACUUCGAAAGGCAAUAAUUCAUAAUAAUUAAUAAAGGUAAUAGUACACAUGUUCUUUAGUAGUGAGAUUUUUUGUGUAAAAAGAAUAAUUAUCUGUUUAGGUAAAAUAAUUGGUCCCCGUUAUUUAUGCGUCNNNNNNNNNNNNNNNNNNNNNNNNNNNNNNNNNNNNNNNNNNNNNNNNNNNNNNNNNNNNNNNNNNNNNNNNNNNNNNNNNNNNNNNNNNNNNNNNNNNNAAUACUUAGGGCUAGUCUUGAUAUUUUAUAGGCCAUCCACAAAGAAAAAGUGGGAGACUUCCUUUAUUAUAAAAAAAUAUGUGAAACUUAUAUGUCAAAGCUUAAACGAAAAUAAGAUAUUAAAGCAAAUCAUGUUCAAAAAAUAAGUACAUAAAAUGAGAACAUAUAAUAUAUUUCAACAAUGAAAAUUCACCUAUGAAAAUUGUCAUAAAAUGAGAACAUAUAAUAUAUUUUCUUUUUCUAAUAAGAUGUGGCUUCAACAUCAAGGUCUAAGGAGGGUGGUUGAGUCUCACUGGUCUAACACUGUAGUGGGAUGUCCUAUGUAUGUUCUUUCUAAUAAGCUCAAGGGUCUUAAGACUAUUUUGAAAACUUGGAAUAAAGAGGUCUUUGGCAACAUUCAUUUAAGGGUUAAGAAUGCUUUAGCUUCAGUUGAGUUUAUCCAGAAGAAGCUCUCAGGUGAGGGCCAAUCUGAUCUCCUUUUGGCUCAAGAGGAGCAGGCUCAAAAGGACUUGUUGGUGGCCUUGAAUUCUAAAGAGGAGUUUUGGAAAGAGAAGUCUAGAUUGAAUUGGAAGAUCAGUGGGGAUAGGAACACUAGCUACUUUCAUAAAAUUGCUAAAAUCAGGUUUGCUACUAAGUCUAUGUCAAUGCUUAGAUAGGAGGAUACCACUCUACUUGAUCAACAUGAAAUUGAGGAGCAUGUGUUAGAUUACUUCACCAAAUUGUAUGCCUCUAACAAUGAUAUUCUCCCCAGUAGUCUCAUUAACCAGGUUAUUCCUCAGCUGGUUUAUGAUGAUGACAACAUUAUGCUAUCCUCAAUCCCUCUGAAUGAUGAGAUCAGAUCUGCUGUAUUUGCCAUGAAUGGUGAGGGGGCACCUGGCCCUGAUGGGUUUGGUGGGUGUUUUUUCCAGGAAUUUUGGGAUAUCAUUGGUCAUGAUGUGUGUCAAUCUGUUAUUCAGUUUUUCACUCAGGGAUGGAUCCUUCCCAAUCUUAACUCUAACAAUAUUGUCCUAAUCCCUAAGUUCUCUGGUGCUGACAGAAUUGAGGACUUUAGGCCAAUUUCCUUAGCAAACUUCCAAUUCAAGAUCAUUACUAAAGUCUUGGCUGACAGGUUGGCUCUUAUUGCUCCAAAAAUUAUCUCCAACCAGCAGAGGAGCUUCAUCAAAGAUAGACAUAUCCAGGACUGCAUUUGUAUUGCCUCUGAAGCAAUUAAUCUCCUUGACCACAAGACCUUUGGUGGUAAUCUUGCUUUAAAGUUGGAUAUCAAGAAGGCUUUUGAUACUAUUGAUUGGAGGUUUCUAUUGGACACUUCAAGGCCUUUGGUUUUUCGAAUUCCUUCAUCAAUUGGGUAGGGGUCAUCCUGAAGUCUGCUAAGUUAUCCAUCUCUGUUAAUGGUCAUCUGGUGGGCUUUUUCAGUUGCAAGAGAGGGGUUAGGCAAGGUGAUCCUUUGUCCCCCCUUCUGUUUUGUUUGGCUGAGGAUGUGAUCAGCAGAGGCGUAACUAAGCUGCUGGAAAGUGGGAAAAUUAGCUCAAUCUCUGGCCCAAGGAUUGUCACCCCUAGUCAUGUUCUUUAUGCUCAUGACAUCCUGAUUUUAUGUAGAGGGAUCAAAAGGGAGUUAUCUGCAAUCAAGGAUUUGUUCAUUGACUAUGCUAAUGUUUCUGGUCAAUGUCUAAACCUUAGCAAGUGCAAGUUCUAUUCCAUUCAAGCCAAUGCUAGGAAAAUUACCAAUCUCACCAACUGGUUGGGUUUUGGAGCUGGCCAAUUGCCCUUCAACUAUCUUGGUGUCCCCUUAUUCAAGGGUAAGCCAAAAGCUAUUCAUUUGCAACCAAUUGCUGAUAGGAUUGUUAACAAGUUGCCCAAUUAGAAGGGAUCUUGCCUCUCAAUUAUGGGUAGAGUUGAGCUUGUUAAAUCCAUCAUUCAUAGCAUGUUAGUUUAUAGCUUUCAUGUUUAUAAUUGGCCUGUCAAUUUACUCAAAAAGAUGGAUAAUUGCAUAAGGAAUUUCAUCUGGUCUGGGGACACUCAUGUUAAAAAGCUUGUUACUGUUGCCUGACAUAAGGUUUGUUGCCCUGUCACAGAGGGUGGUCUUGGCAUAAGAUCUAUUUCAGCCAUGAAUCAAGCUGCAAUUCUCAAACUUGCUUGGGACAUGAGAUCCUCCUCUAAGGAAUGGGCAACCUUUUAUAGGAAGAGAUACUCUAAAAGGACCACUUACACAAAGUCCUCUGUUUGGCCUGGUAUCAAAAAGCAUUGGCAAUUGAUCAAGGACAAUUCAAUCUGGUUAUUGGGAAAUGGAAAUAGCAUCAACUAUUGGUUGGACAAUUGCUGGGUUCCCCUCUAGCUGAUCUCCUUGCAAUUCCUGAUCCAUUCUCCUUUGUUCUCCAAGCCAGAGUUGCUGAUUUCAUGCAGGAUUCAUCUUGGAUCAUUCCUGCUUGGUUGGCUAGGCUUCACCCUGCAGUGUGUCAGCAAAUUGUGAACACUACUAUUCCUAAUGCCUCUACGGAUGACAAACUGGCUUGGUUACACUCCACAGAUGGAUCUCUUAGUAUGAAAGAGGCUUAUCUUUUCACCAAACCUGCCCAACCUAAGCACAAUUGGUGCAAUCAGGUUUGGUCAAUAUCNNNNNNNNNNNNNNNNNNNNNNNNNNNNNNNNNNNNNNNNNNNNNNNNNNNNNNNNNNNNNNNNNNNNNNNNNNNNNNNNNNNNNNNNNNNNNNNNNNNNUAGAGACAACAGUGGUAGUUUCUUGGGUUGCUUUGCCUCUUACUUCAGUAUUCAAGACUCUCUUUAUGCUGAAGUUCUUACUGCAAUCUUGGCUAUCCAAAUUGCCUUCUCUAAAGGUUGGUUUCUCGUGUGGCUUGAGUGUGACUCAACUUGGGGGGUGGAGAUCUUCAGGGGUAGCAUGGCUGUUCCUUGGAAGCUAAGUAACCUAAUGCUAAAGUGUAGGAGAACUAUGUUGUCUAUGCAAAUCAAAAUAUCUCAUAUAUAUCAGGAAGGUAAUGUUUGUGCUGAUAAGUUAGCCAAUUAUGGUGUCAUUUCUAGGUGUUAUUCUUGGUGGACUGCUCCACCUAAUUUUAUUUUGCCUGAUUUUCAUAGAAACAAGUUGCUCCUUCCUAACUAUAGGUUUAAGGAUUUGUAAUGGCUCUUUGUAAUCCGGUUUUCUAAUAUAUUUCUGGGUGUGUUUCACCCUUGCCUCAAAAAAACAAAAUAUAUUUUCUUUUUCUUACUUAUUUGUUAUUGUUACUGUUGUAAGACAUGAGCCUACUAUAUAUUUUUAAUUAUUAGGCACAUUCUCAAUGGAUCUCAUAUUUUUUACACUAAGGGCAGACCUAAUUUUAAUUCUACCUCUCAAAUAUGAUAGCAUAAUAAUAUAAGGAUUACUACAAUUAAUUAAAUAUAAUAUAUGUAAUUUAAUAAUUAAUAAAAGGAAGAAUUCACAUGUUCUGGAGUAUUGAUAUUUUUGUGUAAAAUAAAAAACAUGAAAGUACAAAAUAUAUGUGAAGGUAAAAAAUUGUCCCAUGUUAAUAUUUUUACUCAUUCUGAAUGAUAUUAGUAUUGAUAUUUUUACUCACUUUGAACUAUAUUAGUUUCUUAUCUAUAAGAUGAUGUAAUACCUUAUUUAAAAAAAAAAGAUACAUUCUAUAAUAGAAACAAAAGAUGAAUUUAUAUUAAUUAAUACUUUAUAUUUUCAACAAAUUAAAAUUUAUUUUUUAUCUUUAAAAUUUGUCAUCUAACUCAUCUAAAAAUAAAUAUGGUGCUGUUAAUAGUCAAAUAUUUAUUCUNNNNNNNNNNNNNNNNNNNNNNNNNNNNNNNNNNNNNNNNNNNNNNNNNNNNNNNNNNNNNNNNNNNNNNNNNNNNNNNNNNNNNNNNNNNNNNNNNNNNUACAAUAAGAAUCAAAGCCUAAAACCUAAGCAAGAACUCACAAGACGUCCUAGUCUAAUAUGAAUGUUCAUGCAUGAGAUUUAUGAAAAUACGCAAUCUUUAAAGAACUAUCUUUUCCUUUUCAAGAAACACAAGAAUAAUGCAAGAAAGCUUUUGAAAGAAUCAUGCAAUAUGAAUAAUGAAACUAAAGCUUUAGCAUGAUCUAAUCUUUCUCUUAAUUCAACAUUUUCUAAUAGAUUCUAAUAAUUAAGAUCUAUAUCUAUUCUCUUGUGUUUUUCACUCUUCUUUUUCUUAGUUUGUCGUUUAUGCAAUUAGCCAGUAUUUAUAUAAAACAGAUUUUGGCUCUUAAAAACAGUUUUUCAGUUAUGUUGUUAAAACAGCAUAUGAUUCCAUCAUUCCAAGAUUCAACAAUGAAUUAUCAUCAUUCAAUUCCAUUUUUUCAUCAUCAACCUUUAGCAUGAGAGGAGCAUAGAUAUCAAUGGUGACAAAAAAGGAACAUCUGAAUCUUUAGCAUGAGAGGAGCAUAGUAAGAAUGCAGCUAUGAGUGCUAUAGCGAUAAGAGUUUUGGACAUAAAAUCUGCCAUUGGAGAGAGGAAGAAUCAAUGGAGAAUUAGAGAGAGUUAGUGAAAUUGUGAUUGUUGUCACAGAGAUAGACAAUUACAAUAAAGCUUGAAGAAUUGCACUGCCAGCUUCUUGUUAUUGAAAACCUCACACAAUAAUACACAUAUCACUCAGUUUAUUAUUUCUCUUACCUUUCUUCUUCUCCAUGAGUUACAUUUUUUCCUAUUUUGUUUUUAGUUUCUCUCUUCAAGCAAGUUAUCGGUUUUUGGUUUUUCUCUUCCAGCCUAAGGUAAAUCGCUAUCUUAUUUUACCUCAUUUAUUUCUUUUUGAUUUAGUCUUGAUGCUUGCAUAUACACCAUAAAUAAAAAGUCUUUGAUGCAUUUGAAUCGUUAUAUUUUUAAAUAAUUAGUUUAUUUGUGAUCAAUUUGGUAGAAACAUUUCCCUCUUAGGGUGAUAUUUAUUUUUUGUAAAGUUAUGCAACUAUGGUGUUCUAGGUUUUUUGUUGUAGUCACUAGUUUAGAACACAUAGUUUGAGUAUAAUGGUAAAUGUUCUUUCUCAAUUACUGCUAAUUCUUUAUUUUUUAUAGCUUUUACAAUUUGUUUAGAGAUGCCAUUUGUUAUUUCUAUUUGCUGCUUGCAAUAAUCAUUGAGGGACANNNNNNNNNNNNNNNNNNNNNNNNNNNNNNNNNNNNNNNNNNNNNNNNNNNNNNNNNNNNNNNNNNNNNNNNNNNNNNNNNNNNNNNNNNNNNNNNNNNNGAAAAAUUACAUCUCAUUUAUUCUAGAAUAAAUGCUCCUUGUGUAUCGUACACUAUGAAAUUCUUAUGUUUAAUAUUUAGGGUCCGUCGUGACAUUUUAUAGGCCAUUCACAUAGUAAAAUAAUAGACAUUAUUUAUCAUAAGAAAAUAUGUUAAAUUUAAAUGUCGGAAUUUAAAGGAAAAUGAGACUUCAAAAUAAGUGACGAUGACAACAAAAACAACUAUUCAUUCCUCAUAAAAAGAAUUUAAUUAUGUAAAAUAAUUUGCAAUAAUAUUUCAACUAAAAAAGUCUACUGAAAAUGAUUUAAAAAUGUAAUACAUUUUUUUCUUGCUCAUUUAAUAUUGUUAUUUGUUGCAAACUUGAGUAUAAUAUUUUAUGUUUAUUUUUUAGUUACAUUCUUAAUAAAUCUAAUAUUUUGUAUGACCUUUCAUUUUUAGUCACAUUUCAUAUGGAAAUUAUUUAGCCCAAUAUGUUUUUAAACUAUUACUCACAUUCUUAAUAAAUUCAUACUUCGAAAGGCAAUAAUUCAUAAUAAUUAAUAAAGGUAAUAGUACACAUGUUCUUUAGUAGUGAGAUUUUUUGUGUAAAAAGAAUAAUUAUCUGUUUAGGUAAAACAAUUGGUCCCGUUAUUUAUGCGUCAUGUAUGACACAUUUGCCACACAUGCAUAGGUGUAGACAUAUGAAUACUUAUAAACAACUCUUGUUUGAAGGGAUAAUUACUUAUUCCAAAAGAUAUUAUUACAUUUUUUUUUGGGUAGAUUAAACUUUCAUUAAUAUAAAACUUCUUCGAUUAAUUUUGGACAUAAUACAAAAAUAUUAUUAUAAGUAAAAAAAAAGAAAAAAUAAUGUCAAAGACCAUAAUAAAAAUACUUACAUUUAAUGUUGUAGUAUCAUAUAUGGUAGUUAAACUUUUUCAGACAUGGAAUUUGUAAAUUGUGUAUUGUUGGUGAGUAUAUGAAUUGAUUUUGACGUUCAAAAAUAUUUUUUUGAGUUUUGUACAUGCAUAGUUUUAUUUANNNNNNNNNNNNNNNNNNNNNNNNNNNNNNNNNNNNNNNNNNNNNNNNNNNNNNNNNNNNNNNNNNNNNNNNNNNNNNNNNNNNNNNNNNNNNNNNNNNNUUUAAUUUUGUUGUUUAUGGUCAAUUGAUAUUAUCUUUUUACAUACAUGUCCUUUAGAUUCUACUACAAAAUAUUUGGCCAAUAAACAAUUAUAUCAUAAAUUGAUUCAUGUGACUAGUAGAGGAAUUGUGCCCAUUAUAAAUAUAUUUGUGUAUUUAUUUAUUAUUUAUUUUAAGUCCCUUUAAUGAAUGCCAUUAGGAGUCCAGACAUUCAUCAUGAAAUUAAAUAACUGAAAAUUUAUAUGGGAAAGUGCGGGAUUGAAUAUAAUAUUUAUAUUAAAUGCACGUCUUAUUUAAUAUUUUCUAGUGACAAAUUUUUAGUUUUGAAUAUUUACUUAGUUCUAUAAAGAUAUUUUGCACAUUUGUGUUAUAUUUUAUUUUGCUAAAUAAAACAAGUAUUGUCCAUGAAUACAAUAUUCUUUGUAUUUGAGGUGACUACGACAAGCGAUAAUAAUUUCAUACAAAAUAUAUUUAAUGUUGAUACAUUUAUAGGAAGUUUCUGAUUUGGAUUAAUGGUAGAAGUAGCAAGUCUGCAAUGAUAUAUUCUAACAUGGUUUCAAAUCCACGUGAUUGCCUUAUAAAGUUGUUUUAAACCACUUAAUUUUCUUUAACAACCAUGUUUUUUUUAAUAUUAGUCUUGUAAAUUCUUGUAAUUCUAUACCUUUGGUACUCUCAUUUGAAUAAUAUGUUUGCUUUAAUGGUCUAUCUUCCAACAUAACUAAACAUGAAAAUGAGUAAUGAAUUUAAAUGUGAAGCUUCUGGACCAUUACUGAAGAGUUUGCUGUGAAUAGUAAAAUGUGUAUAACUAUGCUUGAUAUUGUUUGUUACUAAGAAGGCGUGAGAAUGAAAGUUGAGUGAUUAUGAAAAAUAUACACUAUCUAUAUGAACUUGUANNNNNNNNNNNNNNNNNNNNNNNNNNNNNNNNNNNNNNNNNNNNNNNNNNNNNNNNNNNNNNNNNNNNNNNNNNNNNNNNNNNNNNNNNNNNNNNNNNNNAUUCAUAAUAAAUUCAUACUUCGUAAGGCAACAAUUCAUAAUAAUUAAUAAAGGUAAUAGUACACAUGUUCUUUAGUAGUGAGAUUUUUUGUGUAAAAAGAAUAAUUAUCUGUUUAGGUAAAAUAAUUGGUCCCCGUUAUUUAUGCGUCAUGUAUGACGCAUUUGCCACACAUGCAUAGGUCUAGACAUAUGAAUACUUAUAAACAACUCUUGUUUGAAGGGAUAAUUACUUAUUCCAAAAGAUAUUAUUACAUUUUUUUUGGGUAGAUUAAAUUUUCAUUAAUAUAAAACGUCUUCUAUGAAUUUUGGACAUAAUACAAAAAUAUUAUUAUAAGUAAACAAAAAAUAAAAAAUAAUGUCAAAGACCAUAAUAAAAAUACUUACAUUUAAUGUUGUAGUAUCAUAUAUGAUAGUUCAACUUUUUCAGACAAGGAAUUUGUAAAUUGUGUAUUGCUGGUGAGUAUAUGAAUUGAUUUUGACGUUGAAAAAUAUUUUUUUUUUAGUUUAUUACAUGCAUAGUUUUAUUUAUUGUCAAUUAAUUUUAUUUAAUUACCCAUCCUUUAUAUUCUUGUGCAAAGUAUAGGCAGUCACACUAAAUUCAACCAAUAGCUUACAUUUUCAUCACAUGGAAAUUUAAUUUCCUAUCUCACUUAUUCUAAGAUAAAUGUCUUGCUUUAAAUAGUCAAAAAUUAAUUAUAAUAAGAAGUUGAUAUAAUUACAUAAGAUCUCACAGAAUAUCUAUUUAUUUAUCUAUAUAUAUAUAUAUAAUGCACUAUCAAAUGUUAGUGUUUAAUACUUAGGGCUAGUCUUGAUAUUUUAUAGGCCAUCCACAAAGAAAAAGUGGGAGACUUCCUUUAUUAUAAAAAAAUAUGUGAAACUUAUAUGUCAAAGCUUAAACGAAAAUAAGAUAUUAAAGCAAAUCAUGUUCAAAAAAUAAGUACAUAAAAUGAGAACAUAUAAUAUAUUUCAACAAUGAAAAUUCACCUAUGAAAAUUGUCAUAAAAUGAGAACAUAUAAUAUAUUUUCUUUUUCUAAUAAGAUGUGGCUUCAACAUCAAGGUCUAAGGAGGGUGGUUGAGUCUCACUGGUCUAACACUGUAGUGGGAUGUCCUAUGUAUGUUCUUUCUAAUAAGCUCAAGGGUCUUAAGACUAUUUUGAAAACCUAGAAUAAAGAGGUCUUUGACAACAUUCAUUUAAGGGUUAAGAAUGCUUUAGCUUCUGUUGAGUUUAUCCAGAAGAAGCUCUCAGGUGAGGGCCAAUCUGAUCUCCUUUUGGCUCAAGAGGAGCAGGCUCAAAAGGACUUGUUGGUGGCCUUGAAUUCUAAAGAGGAGUUUUGGAAAGAGAAGUCUAGAUUGAAUUGGAAGAUCAGUGGGGAUAGGAACACUAGCUACUUUCAUAAAAUUGCCAAAAUCAGGUUUGCUACUAAGUCUAUGUCAAUGCUUAGAUAGGAGGAUACCACUCUGCUUGAUCAACAUGAAAUUGAGGAGCAUGUGUUAGAUUACUUCACCAAAUUGUAUGCCUCUGACAAUGAUACUUUCCCCAGUAGUCUGAUUAACCAGGUUAUUCCUCAGCUGGUUUAUGAUGAUGACAACAUUAUGCUAUUCUCAAUCCCUCUGAAUGAUGAGAUCAGAUCUGCUGUAUUUUCCAUGAAUGGUGAGGGGGCACCUGGCCCUGAUGGGUUUGGUGGGUGUUUUUUCCAGGAAUUUUGGGAUAUCAUUGGUCAUGAUGUGUGUCAAUAUGUUAUUCAGUUUUUCACUCAGGGAUGGAUCCUUCCCAAUCUUAACUCUAACAAUAUUGUCCUAAUCCCUAAGUUCUCUGGUGCUGACAGAAUUGAGGACUUUAGGCCAAUUUCCUUAGCAAACUUCCAAUUCAAGAUCAUUACUAAAGUCUUAGCUGACAGGUUGGCUCUUAAUGCUCCAAAAAUUAUCUCCAACCAGCAGAGGAGCUUCAUCAAAGAUAGACAUAUCUAGGACUGCAUUUGUAUUGCCUCUGAAGUUAUCCAUCUCUGUUAAUGGUCAUCUGGUGGGCUUUUUCAGUUGCAAGAGAGGGGUUAGGCAAGGUGAUCCUUUGUCCCCCCUUCUGUUUUGUUUGGCUGAGGAUGUGAUCAGCAGAGGCGUAACUAAGCUGCUGGAAAGUGGGAAAAUUAGCUCAAUCUCUGGCCCAAGGAUUGUCACCCCUAGUCAUGUUCUUUAUGCUGAUGACAUACUGAUUUUAUGUAGAGGGAUCAAAAGGGAGUUAUCUGCAAUCAAGGAUUUGUUCAUUGACUAUGCUAAUGUUUCUGGUCAAUGUCUAAACCUUAGCAAGUGCAAGUUCUAUUCCAUUCAAGCCAAUGCUAGGAAAAUUACCAAUCUCACCAACUGGUUGGGUUUUGGAGCUGGCCAAUUGCCCUUCAACUAUCUUGGUGUCCCCUUAUUCAAGGGUAAGCCAAAAGCUAUUCAUUUGCAACCAAUUGCUGAUAGGAUUGUUAACAAGUUGCCCAAUUGGAAGGGAUCUUGCCUCUCAAUUAUGGGUAGAGUUGAGCUUGUUAAAUCCAUCAUUCAUAGCAUGUUAGUUUAUAGCUUUCAUGUUUAUAAUUGGCCUGUCAAUUUACUCAAAAAGAUGGAUAAUUGCAUAAGGAAUUUCAUCUGGUCUGGGGACACUCAGGUUAAAAAGCUUGUUACUGUUGCCUGACAUAAGGUUUGUUGCCCUGUCACAGAGGGUGGUCUUGGCAUAAGAUCUAUUUCAGCCAUGAAUCAAGCUGCAAUUCUCAAACUUGCUUGGGACAUGAGAUCCUCCUCUAAGGAAUGGGCAACCUUUUAUAGGAAGAGAUACUCUAAAAGGACCACUUACACAAAGUCCUCUGUUUGGCCUAGUAUCAAAAAGCAUUGGCAAUUGAUCAAGGACAAUUCAAUCUGGUUAUUGGGAAAUGGAAAUAGCAUCAACUAUUGGUUGGACAAUUGGUUGGGUUCCCCUCUAGCUGAUCUCCUUGCAAUUCCUGAUCCAUUCUCCUCUGUUCUCCAAGCCAGAUUUGCUGAUUUCAUGCAGGAUUCAUCUUGGAUCAUUCCUGCUUGGUUUGCUAGGCUUCACCCUGCAGUGUGUAAGCAAAUUGUGAACACUACUAUUCCUAAUUCCUCUACGGAUGACAAACUGGCUUGGUUACACUCCACAGAUGGAUCUCUUAGUAUGAAAGAGGCUUAUCUUUUCACCAAACCUGCCCAACCUCAGCACAAUUGGUGCAAGCAGGUUUGGUCAAUAUCAAUUCCUCCCUCAAAAUCCUUCCUUACUUGGAGGCUUUACAAUAACAGAUUGCCUACUGAUGAGAAUUUGCAAGCUAGAGGCAUGACUAUGGGAUCCAUUUGCAAUUUGUGUUGGUCUAGUGAAGAGACAUCUAAUCAUUUGUUCUUUCAGUGCAGUUUUGCAAUUGAUAUCUGGAACUAGUUGAGUAGCCAACUUGGCUUUAGAUUAGAUAAUGGUUCCAUUCAAAGCUUGAUGAACAUCUCUAAAAGGUGGAGCCCUCAAGUGAAUCAUGAGGGCUAGCAUUAUUAACUCAAUCUCUGUCAUCUAGUAUUGCAGGAAUAAAGCCAGAUUUGAGAAUUUAUCAACCUCCAUUGCCCAAGCAACGACAAAAAUAAAAAAUGACACUUCCUUUACAGGGAAGUUCUCUAAGCUUUGUGUUAGGUCGUCCAUGCCUGAGUUCUCAAUCCUGAAGGCUUUCAAUGUGACUUGUCAUUACAACAAGGCUCCUACAAUCUUUGAAGUUAACUGGAACCUCCCUUCUCCUGGUUGGGUAAAAAUUAACUCCGAUGGGGCUGCUAAGGGCUUUCUGGGCACGCUGGGGGAGGUGCUAUUUUUAGAGACAACAGUGGUAGUUUCUUGGGUUGCUUUGCCUCUUACUUCAGUAUUCAAGACUCUCUUUAUGCUGAAGUUCUUACUGCAAUCUUGGCUAUCCAAAUUGCCUUCUCUAAAGGUUGGUUUCUCGUGUGGCUUGAGUGUGACUCAACUUGGGUGGUGGAGAUCUUUAGGGGUAGCAUGGCUGUUCCUUGGAAGCUAAGUAACCUAAUGCUAAAGUGUAGGAGAACUAUGUUGUCUAUGCAAAUCAAAAUAUCUCAUAUAUAUCAGGAAGGUAAUGUUUAUGUUGAUAAGUUAGCUAAUUAUGGUGUCAUUUCUAGGUGUGAUUCUUGGUGGACUGCUCCUCCUAAUUUUAUUUUGCCUGAUUUUCAAAGAAACAAGUUGCUCAUUCCUAACUAUAGGUUUAAGGAUUUGUAAUGGCUCUUUGUAAUCCGGUUUUCUAAUAUAUUUCUGGGUGUGUUUCACCCUUGCCUCAAAAAAACAAAAUAUAUUUUCUUUUUCUUACUUAUUUGUUAUUGUUACUGUUGUAAGACAUGAGCCUACUAUAUAUUUUUAAUUAUUAGGCACAUUCUCAAUGGAUCUCAUAUUUUUUACACUAAGGGCAGACCUAAUUUUAAUUCUACCUCUCAAAUAUGAUAGCAUAAUAAUAUAAGGAUUACUACAAUUAAUUAAAUAUAAUAUAUGUAAUUUAAUAAUUAAUAAAAGGAAGAAUUCACAUGUUCUGGAGUAUUGAUAUUUUUGUGUAAAAUAAAAAAACAUGAAAGUACAAAAUAUAUGUGAAGGUAAAAAAUUGUCCCAUGUUAAUAUUUUUACUCAUUCUAAAUGCUGUCAGUAUUGAUAUUUUUACUCNNNNNNNNNNNNNNNNNNNNNNNNNNNNNNNNNNNNNNNNNNNNNNNNNNNNNNNNNNNNNNNNNNNNNNNNNNNNNNNNNNNNNNNNNNNNNNNNNNNNGUUCUGCAGUAUUGAUAUUUUUGUGUAAAAUAAAAACAUGAAAGUACAAAAUAUUUGUGAAGGUAAAAAAAAUUCUCCAAUGUUAAUAUUUUUACUCAUUCUUAACGAUAUUAGUAUUGAUAUUUUGACCCACUUUGAACUAUAUUAGUUUCUUAUCUAAAAGAUGAUGUAAUAUCUUAUUAAACAAAAAAGAUACAAUCUAUAAUAGAAACAAAAGAUGAAUUUAUAUUAAUUAAUAGAAACAGAAGAUGUAAUAUCUUAUUUUGAAGCUGUAGUACUCUUCCAAUAAUGUUAAACUUUUUAUUUGAAUUUUUGACUCAAUGUUAAAUAUUAUUAUGAGUAAAUAAAAAACAAUAAAUAAUUAUCAAGGACCAUAAAAAAUAAUAAAAAUUACUUACAUUUAAUGCCUUGAAACAUGUAUGGAAAUCUAAUUUUUUACACAAACAAUUUGUAAAUUUGUUUUUUUAAAGGCUGGGUGAAAUACAUAACUAUGAAUGAGUACAUAAAUUGAUUUUGACUUUCAAAAAUAUUUUGUAUAGAUUUCUAAAUUUUUAAUUUUGUUGUUUAUGGUCAAUUGAUAUUAUCUGUUUACAUACAUGUCCUUUAGAUUCUACUACAAAAUAUUUGGCCAAUAAACAAUUAUAUCAUAAAUUGAUUCAUGUGACUAGUAGAGGAAUUGUGCCCAUUAUAAAUAUAUUUGUGUAUUUAUUAAUUAUUUAUUUUAAGUCCCUUUAAUGAAUGCCAUUAGGAGUCCAGACAUUCAUCAUGAAAUUAAAUAACUGAAAAUUUAUAUGGGAACGUGCGGGAUUGAAUAUAAUAUUUAUAUUAAAUGCAUGUCUUAUUUAAUAUUUUCUAGUGACAAAUUUUUAGUUUUGAAUAUUUACUUAGUUUUUUUUUUUUAUGCAAAGGUGCAAUCACCCAAAUAGAUUAGCAAAAAACAGGACAUACAAAGAGAACUAAUCAUUCUUGAACCUAUAGUUAGGCAAAGAAAGAGCAUUCCUAUUACAUUCAUUAACAAUGAAAUGAGGAAUUGUUGACCAAAUAAAAUUUGUUCUAGAAUGUAAUCCAUGAUUAGCCAAAUUAUCCGCACAUUGAUUUCCUUCCCUAUAUAUAUGAGAUAUACGAAAAUUGAAGGAAAGAAUAUUCUUCUUGCACUUCAACCACAAAGGAAGCAGCUGCCAAGGAGGAAGAGUAGUUCCAUUAAAGAUGUCAAUGACCAACUUUGAAUCACACUCCAACCAAAAAUUGCACCAUUCACGGUUGGCAGCAAUCGCAACAGCAUGCAUUGCACCAUGCAACUCAGCAAAGAGAGCAGAUUGAAUGUUAGUGUAGUUUGAAAAAGCCAGCAUGUAAGAACCAUUGUGAUCCCUAAAUAAGCCACCCGAUCCAGAGUGCCCAGGACUACCAUGAGCAGCCCCAUCUGUGUUUGCUUUCACCCAACCAACUCGAGGAGUCCUCCAUAUGACCUCAAUUAUGACCGGAGCUCUGUUUAAGUUCAAGGCAAUGUCAAGACUUCUCAGAGUAAUUAGGUCCUGGACCGAAUGAGCAGAAGAGGAGGCUUUAGCAGAGGCCCCAGAAAGAGAGGUGUCCCUCUUGAUUGCAUUAAUAGCCAAAUGAAGAGGAGUAGAAUAAUUUUCGAAAAUUUUUUGGUUCCUGCAGAACCAUAUUUUAGAUAGCGUGUGCACCAAACAAGCAAUCAGAACCUGAACCAGUUGCUUAUUUGAGUGAUUGGAGCAACUUCUCAGAAGGCUUAUGACCGAGGAAGUGUCCAGAGUGAUGGAGAAUAAGUUAGAGAACCAAGACCAGAGAGAAGAAGCAUAAGUGCAGUUCAGGAACAGGUGAGUAGAAUUCUCAGUGUGCUUGAAACAAAGACUGCAAACUGAUGCCAUAGCACAACCCCUUAUCAUGAGAUUUUCAUCAGUUGGUAAUCUAGCAUGAAUCAGUCUCCACACUAAAAAGGAUCUAGAGGGAGGAAUAAAGUCAGUCCAAAUUAACUUACACCAAAAUAACGGGUUUUGGUUAAUAGAGAAAGUUGAGUAAGCCAUUUUCAUGGAUAGAGAACCAUCAGCAGAGGCUUUCCAAAUCAGUUGAUCCUGGUCCACUCUCUUGGUUGCUGCAAUUUUAGAGCAAAUAGAAGGAUGAAGCUCCUUUAUAAGUUUAGGAAUCAGCCAGUGAUUCCCAACAAUGAAACUAGCACAGGUAGCUUUAAGAGAAGCCUGCAGCAGAAGAGGAAUGUGCAUGAAGUCCACAAUUGGUUCCUCAAUCCAAUUGUCUAACCAGAAAUGAACCUGGUGCCCAUCUCCAACUAACCAAAUUGCAUUAUCAGAAGUUAAGGACCAAUUGUCUCUAAUUCCAGGCCAAAUGGAUGAUUUGUAGUAUCUAGUGGAGUGAGUCCAAUGACAACCAAACCUUUCCCUAUAAAAGCAGGCCCAUUCAUUAGUAGAAGUCCUCAUGUCCCAGGCAAGCUUCAACAAAGCAGCUCUAUUCAUUUGCCUGAGAGAUCUCAGACCCAGGCCACCCUCUGAAGUAGGAGAGCACAUUUUAGACCAAGCAACAGUGCAAACUUUCUUCUGAGUAGANNNNNNNNNNNNNNNNNNNNNNNNNNNNNNNNNNNNNNNNNNNNNNNNNNNNNNNNNNNNNNNNNNNNNNNNNNNNNNNNNNNNNNNNNNNNNNNNNNNNUACAAUAAGAAUCAAAGCCUAAAACCUAAGCAAGAACUCACAAGACGUCCUAGUCUAAUAUGAAUGUUCAUGCAUGAGGUUUAUGAAAAUACGCAAUCUUUAAAGAACUAUCUUUUCCUUUUCAAGAAACACAAGAAUAAUGCAAGAAAGCUUUUGAAAGAAUCAUGCAAUAUGAAUAAUGAAACUAAAGCUUUAGCAUGAUCUAAUCUUUCUCUUAAUUCAACAUUUUCUAAUAGAUUCUAAUAAUUAAGAUCUAUAUCUAUUCUCUUGUGUUUUUCACUCUUCUUUUUCUUAGUUUGUCGUUUAUGCAAUUAGCCAGUAUUUAUAUCAAACAGAUUUUGGCUCUUAAAAAUGGUUUUUCAGUUAUGCUGUUAAAACAGCAGAAACACUUACGUUAAUCGACUAACGGGUUACCUUAAUCGAUUAACCAGUGCAUGUGACUAGUAGAGGAAUUGUGCCCAUUAUUAAUAUAUUUGUGUAUUUAUUUAUUAUUUAUUUUAAGUCCCUUUAAUGAAUGCCAUUAGGAGUCCAGACAUCGUCAUGAAAUUAAAUAACUGAAAAUUUAUAUGGGAACGUGCGGGAUUGAAUAUAUUAUUUAUAUUAAAUGCAUGUCUUAUUUAAUAUUUUCUAGUGACAAAUUUUGAGUUUUGAAUAUUUACUUAGUUCUAGAAAGAUAUUUUGCACAUUUGUGUUAUAUUUUAUUUUGCUAAAUAAAACAAGUAUUGUCCAUGAAUAAAAUAUUCUUUGUAUUUGAGGUGACUACCACAAGCGAUAAUAAUUUCAUACAAAAUAUAUUUAAUGUUGAUACAUUUAUAGGAAGUCUCUGAUUUAGAUUAAUGGUAGAAAUAGCAAGUCUGCAAUGAUAUAUUCUAACAUGGUUUCAAAUCCACGUGAUUGCCUUAUAAAGUUGUUUUAAACCACUUAAUUUUCUUUAACAACCAUGUUUUUUUAAUAUUAGUCUUGUAAAUUCUUGUAAUUCUAUACCUUUGGUACUCUAUUAAUAAAAAUUGUUUUUAGUCUUAUCUUUUUAGAUUUGAAUAAUACGUUUGCUUUAUUGGUCUAUCUUCUAACAUAAAUAAACAUGAAAAUGAGUAAUGAAUUUGAAUGUGAAGCUUUUGGAAAAUUACUAAGAGUUUGCGGUGAAUAGUUAUUGAUUCUUUAAACCCACUUGGUCAAACACUAACCAUAUUUUAAGCCAUUAAUAUUUAUUGAUUGAAACCUUAUGCUAGAUUAAAAAUCUAUCUAGCCUACUUCUAGUGGGAUAAGAGAGUUAAGUGUUACAUUGAGUUAAAUUUAAGUUGGGGAGAGAAAAAUGUAUCUAUGAAAAAAGUGGGAAAUAAGUAUUGUAGUACACCAUUCAUCCCAUGAAAAACAAGAAAAGAAAUACUCCACAAAAAGGGGAGUGAAAAAAAAUCAAAGGAUGAAUGGUGGCAAAAUGAAAUGAAAAGAAGAAAAGAGAAAUACAAAUAAAUGAUUUCCUAUUUUGUUUUUAGUUUCUCUCUUCAAGCAAGUUAUCGGUUUUUGGUUUUUCUCUUCCAGCCUAAGGUAAAUCGCUAUCUUAUUUUACCUCAUUUAUUUCUUUUUGAUUUAGUCUUGAUGCUUGCAUAUACACCAUAAAUAAAAAGUCUUUGAUGCAUUUGAAUGGUUAUAUUUUUAAAUAAUUAGUUUAUUUGUGAUCAAUUUGGUAGAAACAUUUCCCUCUUAGGGUGAUAUUUAUUUGUUGUAAAGUUAUGCAACUAUGGUGUUCUAGGUUUUUUGUUGUAGUUCACUAGUUUAGAACACAUAGUUUGAGUAUAAUGGUAAAUGUUCUUUCUCAAUUGCUGCUAAUUCUUUAUUUUUUAUAGCUUUUACAAUUCGUUUAGAGAUGCCAUUUUUUACUUCUAUUUGCUGCUUGCAAUAAUCAUUGAGGGACACAUGAACACUCAGUAAGGACUUGCACAUUGGAGGAGAAAGAAUGAACAAUUUGCGUAAGAUCUCAUUACUCAUAUGUUAUUUUAUAAUAUUGGAAUCUGACAAGGUUGAAUGUAGCUGAAGUCGUUGGUGAUAUAAUAAAUCUGUUGUAAAUGUGGUGGAGUUGGACAUGCUUGUCAUGUAUUGGAUAGAAUGUUUGGAAGAUAUACUGUCUUAUUUAGAAAGUAGACAUUUAACAAUGCUUGCUUCAGUGAGCGCUGCUAAAUGUCUACUUUCUACAACGCUUCAAAAAAUAAUGUUAAAUAUAACCUUAUGUACUAUUGUGCUCACAUAGAAAGUGUAUCAAAAACGUUGUUAAAUGACAAUUUUAAGUGUUGUAGUUUUUCUAUUCUGGCGUAGUGAUUGUAUCUCUCAAAAUCAGAGAAGAUAGACUAAUGACAUAGAUCUUCCAAAGCUACCUGACAUGGGAAAAGCAAUCUUCGUUUGUCCAGGAUAGACCCAACAUCUCAUUGGAUAGAUCAAACCAACCUCAUCUACAAUGGAACUCAAAUUGUAGCCGAAACCUUCCCUAAGCAGGUUGCGGGUUGUGGCGUGCGGGCCGGAUAAUACUAGAAAAUAUUUAUUUAAUAUUAAUGUAUAACUUUUCUAACACACUUGUUAUCCCCAAUGCAAUCAAACUUAAUCUAAUGUCUUGUGUUUGAGUUAAGACGUGAUGUCAAGUCUACAUAUAUGAUUUUUAACAUAACACAUACUAAAUCUCUCAUUUCUAUUGGACUAUGACUCCCUAACACAAUAUAAUUUGUAACUUCACUUUAAUAUAUAUACAUUUGGAUACUAUCAAAAUAUUAUCGCUUCGGUUUAUAGUAAUGGUAAUAUAGACACAAGUUUAGAAUGAACUUUAUUUGUCAAAAUAUAAUAACCAUCGCUUUANNNNNNNNNNNNNNNNNNNNNNNNNNNNNNNNNNNNNNNNNNNNNNNNNNNNNNNNNNNNNNNNNNNNNNNNNNNNNNNNNNNNNNNNNNNNNNNNNNNNGUUCUGCAGUAUUGAUAUUUUUGUGUAAAAUAAAAACAUGAAAGUACAAAAUAUUUGUGAAGGUAAAAAAAAUUCUCCAAUGUUAAUAUUUUUACUCAUUCUUAACGAUAUUAGUAUUGAUAUUUUGACCCACUUUGAACUAUAUUAGUUUCUUAUCUACAAGAUGAUGUAAUAUCUUAUUAAACAAAAAAGAUACAAUCUAUAAUAGAAACAAAAGAUGAAUUUAUAUUAAUUAAUAGAAACAGAAGAUGUAAUAUCUUAUUUUGAAGCUGUAGUACUCUUCCAAUAAUGUUAAACUUUUUAUUUGAAUUUUUGACUCAAUGUUAAAUAUUAUUAUGAGUAAAUAAAAAACAAUAAAUAAUUAUCAUGGACCUAAUAAAAAUUACUUGCAUUUAAUGCCGUGAAUCAUAUAUGGAAAUCUAAAUUUUUUACACAAACAAUUUGUAAAUUUGUUUUUUUAAAGGCUGGGUGAAAUACAUAACUAUGAAUGAGUACAUAAAUUGAUUUUGACUUUCAAAAAUAUUUUGUAUAGAUUUCUAAAUUUUUAAUUUUGUUGUUUAUGGUCAAUUGAUAUUAUCUGUUUACAUACAUGUCCUUUAGAUUCUACUACAAAAUAUUUGGCCAAUAAACAAUUAUAUCAUAAAUUGAUUCAUGUGACUAGUAGAGGAAUUGUGCCCAUUAUAAAUAUAUUUGUGUAUUUAUUUAUUAUUUAUUUUAAGUCCCUUUAAUGAAUGCCAUUAGGAGUCCAGACAUUCAUCAUGAAAUUAAAUAACUGAAAAUUUAUAUGGGAAAGUGCGGGAUUGAAUAUAAUAUUUAUAUUAAAUGCACGUCUUAUUUAAUAUUUUCUAGUGACAAAUUUUGAGUUUUGAAUAUUACUUAGUUCUAUAAAGAUAUUUUGCAUAUUUGUGUUAUAUUUUAUUUUGCUAAAUAAAACAAGUAUUGUCUAUGAAUACAAUAUUCUUUGUAUUUGAGGUGACUACGACAAGCGAUAAUAAUUUCAUACAAAAUAUAUUUAAUGUUGAUACAUUUAUAGGAAGUUUCUGAUUUGGAUUAAUGGUAGAAGUAACAAGUCUGCAAUGAUAUAUUCUAACAUGGUUUCAAAUCCACGUGAUUGCCUUAUAAAGUUGUUUUAAACCACUUAAUUUUCUUUAACAACCAUGUUUUUNNNNNNNNNNNNNNNNNNNNNNNNNNNNNNNNNNNNNNNNNNNNNNNNNNNNNNNNNNNNNNNNNNNNNNNNNNNNNNNNNNNNNNNNNNNNNNNNNNNNUAUAUUAGCACUGUUGAAUUUGUUUGAAUCAUAUUUUACUAAGUGAUUGUGAUACAUGGAUAGGAUCAAACCAAUUGUUUGUUUAAACCCACUUGGCCAAACACUAACCAGAUUUUAUGAUUAUCCCUUGAUAAGCCCCUUGAAGCCAUUAAUGUUCAUUGAUUGAAACCUUAUGCUAGAUUAAAAAUCUAUCUAGUCUACUUCUAGUGGGAUAAGAGAGUUAAGUGUUACAUUGAGUUAAAUUCUAAGUUGGGGAGAGGAAAAUGUAUCUAUGAAAAAAGUGGGAAAUAAGUAUUGUAGUACACCAUUCAUCCCAUGAAAAACAAGAAUAGAAAUACUCCAAAAAAAAGGGAGUGAAAAAAAAUCAAAGGAUGAAUGGUGGCAAAAUGAAAUGAAAAGAAGAAAAGAGAAAUACAAAUAAAUGAUUUGUACUACAAGUAGAUCUUUCGCUUAUGUUUUUAUCGCUUCGGCUUAUGAUUCCAUCAUUCCAAGAUUCAACAAUGAAUUAUCAUAAUCCAAUUCCAUUUUUCUUCAUAAGCCUUUAGCAUGAGACGAGCGUAGAUAUCAAUGGUGACAAGAAAGGAACAUGUGAAUCUUUAGCAUGAGAGGAGCAUAUUAAGAAUGCAGUUAUGAGUGCUAAAGCAAUAAGAGUUUCUGACAUAAUCAGUGGCGGAAUACACCUAGAAGGGGGGAUUGAAUAGGUGUGGCGAAACUCAAUUUCCGUUUUUCUGGUUUUUACACACUUGCUGAAAAAAUGCCCAGUUAAUCGAUUAACAACUAGACGUAAUCGAUUAAUCAGUAACAGAAACAGAAUGAUCAAAACAACAACUUGCACGGUUAUUAACAAACACACAAACAAAUAUAUAACAGAUACUUUUGUGCAAGAUUAACAAGGACAUAGCAAGGAAAAAGUAUGCAAAAUAUUAGCUCCAAACACGCAUUAAAACAUCUUCAAAUAUAAAAGAGAAAAGGAUAGAAAAGAUUGCGCAGGGAUUUUAUCCUGGUUCGUUUUGUGGUCCACUGCAAAACUACAUCCAGUCCUCCCCUCUGAUUUGGGAGAUUUUCCUUCUUCACUAUGAAACACAAUGUACGUUACAUACACGCUUCCAAAUACAAAACUUGAAUGCUCCCUUCUUGGAACCCAAAGAACUACGUUACCUUGGUUUGACCUUUCCCAAAACCGCCUCUCAAGAAAACCUUUCUUAUGUGAUUCGGCCCCAACCAAGGUAUCGCUCUUUAUCCCAAGACCUCCAAGUCUUUGUGUGAAGAACACCUUACCUAACCGCAGCUAGGAUUUUCCCAAUCCUUUAAUAACAAUACUUUGAGUUAUGAAAGAGUACUUAAUACUCGGAUAUUACAAUGAAAACCAAAGGCUAAAACCUAAGCAAGAACUCACAAGACGUCCUAGUCUAAUAUGGAUGUUCAUGCAUGAGGUUUUAAAGAACUAUCUUUCUCUUUUCAAGAAACAAAAGAAUAAUGCAAGAAAGCUUUUGAAAGAAACAUGGAAGAUGAAUGUGAAAGCUAAAGCGUUAGCAUGAUCUAAUCUUUCUCCUAAUUCAACACUUUCUAAUAGAUUCUAAUAAUGAAGAUCUAUAUCUAUUCUCUUGUGUUUUUCACUAUUCCUUUUCCUCNNNNNNNNNNNNNNNNNNNNNNNNNNNNNNNNNNNNNNNNNNNNNNNNNNNNNNNNNNNNNNNNNNNNNNNNNNNNNNNNNNNNNNNNNNNNNNNNNNNNAUCGAUUAAGCCAUGAGGUUAAUCGAUUAAGCCAUGAGGUUAAUCGAUUAAGCCAUGAGGUUAAUCGAUUAACCAAUGUAUUUUUAAUACAUGAUUAAAUGGUAAACUACUUAUAUGUUAUAUGCUCAUGCAAUACAUGAUUUCCAAAAUAUAAUACCUUUAAUGCAUAAAAUCAAUGUAUAUAAAUGCAUGAACCUAAUUAUCAUAUAUUUCUAGAUGAUGUCUCAUUUUAGUGGAUUAAUUACUUUAUUAAGUCUUGUGAGACUCACACCUAGGUUUACCUAACCUAGACUCAAUAUCUAUGGCAAACAUCUUAGACUUCUAAAAAGAUAAUAAAGAAUAAUAGCAUAAGUCUAAUAAGACACCACUUGAGCCUUCGACAUGUUGAUUGUUGAGCCAUCUUCAAGCUUUAACGAAUUCCUUGUCUUCAUCAAAAUAUAGGCAAACAUUGCUAAUGCAAUCCUUGACGAUUUGCACUAUGAUAAAUACUCCACAAAAAGGGGAGUGAAAAAAAAUCAAAGGAUGAAUGGUGGAAAAAUGAAAUGAAAAGAAGAAAAGAGAAAGACAAAUAAAUGAUUUGUACUACAAGUAGAUCUUUCGCUUAUGCUUUUAUCGCUUCGGCUUAUGAUUCCAUCAUUCCAAGAUUCAACAAUGAAUUAUCAUCAUUCAAUUCCAUUUUUCGUCAUCAGCCUUUAGCAUGAGAGGAGCAUAGAUAUCAAUGGUGACAAUAAAGGAACAUCUGAAUCUUUAGCAUGAGAGGAGCAUAUUAAGAAUGCAGCUAUGAGUGCUAAAGCAAUAAGAGUUUUAGACAUAAAAUCUUCCAUUGGAGAGAGGAAGAAUGAAUGGAGAAUUAGAAAGAGUUAGUGAAUUUGUGAUUGUUGUUAGAGAGAUAGACACACCUAUAACUUGGAGCUCAAAGAAGCUAUCAGUUGUGGCCCUAUCAACUUGUGAAGUAGAAUAUAUUGCAACAUCCUUAACUGCUUGCCAAACAUUUUGGCUAUCAUCUUUGCUUUGUGAAAUGAAUAUACUUAAUGUAGAGAACAUGGAACUGCUGGUUGAUAGUAAAUCAACAAUAGACUUGGCCAAAAAUCUAGNNNNNNNNNNNNNNNNNNNNNNNNNNNNNNNNNNNNNNNNNNNNNNNNNNNNNNNNNNNNNNNNNNNNNNNNNNNNNNNNNNNNNNNNNNNNNNNNNNNNAACAUAUUGAUACUAAGUAUCAUUUCCUUAGAGACCAAGUAAGCAAAGGUUGAGAUUGAUAAAAAGUUUCAUUAACUUAGAUUCAACUAAAGCAUUACAACACUGAUUUUUAGGUAACUGACAUUUUAACUAAGCCACUAAAGGUUGACAGAUUCAAGAGAUUGAGAGACUUGUUGAAUGUGACUUGUUUGUAAUGGGUUUUGAAUCAAGGAAGGGUGUUAGAAAUGAUUCAAAACAUGGAGAGUUAGUUAGUCAGUUUUAGAGUUUUCUAUUUUUAGAAUUCUAGUUGUAAUACUUGCUAUAAAUAGAAAUUUUACUCCUUAGUUGAAUCAUUGAGAAAUAUACAACAAACAUUAUUUAGUAUAUACAAUUUACUCUCUGAUAUACUCUUCUAUACACUAUCUGUAUUUUCUUUCUCUUUUUCUUCUUGUCUCUACACACGAUUUCACUCUGCAAAUUUUCUUUCUCUAGUUUCUUUCAACAUUCUUCAUUCUUCCAACAUGUUCAUGUACUGGUUCAGUAGGGUAUCAGAAGGAAAAGCUUGUCAUUGGUGCAAGGUUUGAAGAUAGAGUUCACCUAUACCAUGAUUCUUAAGGACCUCAAGAAUGAGUUUUGUUGUUCCAUCUCACACCAAAAAGAAACGUCUUGAUCGAACAAGGUAGACAGACAACCUCAUAAACCAAACAAGAAGGGUAGUCUAUAAGCCCUCUCAGGCUAGAGACCAAAGAGACCGAGCAACACAAAGAAGUGUUCUAUCAAUGACAAGACAACAUAGGGCCCACCCUACUACCCCUAUGUUGUGCCACAUGCAUAAAACUGUCACCUCUGAUUGAAUAGCCUAGACCUUUGUUACAUGAUGCAUGCUACCUAUGCCCUACUGUUCCUCUCAACAACAAUUCACUAUGCCAUAGCUGAUAAAUGUAUGGCAGAAGAGAAAUAAUAGUGCUUAUUGAAGCAAGUGACGUUAAAGAUGUUAUCUUUAACAACGCUUAUUUAAGAAAACACUGUUAAAGGUCAUACUUCAUAUAUUUAACAACACUUCUUCAGUGAGGCAGUUAAAAGUGUUAUCUUUAACAGUGCUUAUUGAAGCAAACGCUGUUAAAGAUCACACAUUCAUAUAUUUAACAUCACUUCUUCAGUGAGCGCUGUAUUGUUGAAUGUGUUAUCUUUAACAAUGCUUAUUGAAGAAAGUGAUGUUAAAGGUCACACUUUAUAUAUUUAACAACACUUCUUCAAUAAGCGUUGUUAAAGAUCAUACAUUCAUUCAUAUAUUUAACAUCACAUCUUUAGUGAGCAUUGAUAAACGCUUGAUUUAAAUUUAGUGAGCGAGAAUCUUUUAAAAUUCAGAAACAAAACCUCACACAAUAAUACACAUAUCACUCAGUUUAUUAUUUCUCUUACUUUUCUUCUUCUCCAUGAGUUACAUUUUUCCUAUUUUGUUUUUAGUUUCUCUCUUCAAGCAAGUUAUCGGUUUUUGGUUUUUCUCUUCCAGCCUAAGUUAGGGUGAUAUUUAUUUUUUCUAAAGUUAUGCAACUAUGGUGUUCUAGGUUUUUUGUUGUAGUUCACAAGUUUAGAACAUAUAGUUUGAGUAUAAUGGUAAAUGUUCUUUCUCAAUUUAAAAACGUUGUUAAAUGACAAUUUUAAGUGUUGUAGUUUUUCUAUUCCGGUGUAGUGAUUGUAUCUCUUAAAAUCAGAGAAGAUAGACUAAUGACAUAGAUCUUCCAAAGCUACCUGACAUGGGAAAAGUAAUCUCGAACAAUUUGCGUAAGAUCUCAUUACUCAUAUGUUAUUUUAUAAUAUUGGAAUCUGACAAGGUUGAAUGUAGCUGAAGUCGUUGGUGAUUUAAUAAAUCUGUUGUAAAUGUGGUGGAGUUGGACAUGCUUGUCAUGUAUUGGAUAGAAUGUUUGGAAGAUAUAUUGUCUAAUUUAGAAAGUAGACAUUUAACAUUGCUUGCUUCAGUGAGCGCUGCUAAAUGUCUACUUUCUACAACGCUUCAAAAAAUAAUGUUAAAUAUAACCUUAUGUACUAUUGUGCUCACAUAGAAAGUGUAUCAAAAACGUUGUUAAAUGACAAUUUUAAGUGUUGUAGUUUUNNNNNNNNNNNNNNNNNNNNNNNNNNNNNNNNNNNNNNNNNNNNNNNNNNNNNNNNNNNNNNNNNNNNNNNNNNNNNNNNNNNNNNNNNNNNNNNNNNNNAUAUAUAUAUAUAUAUAUCAUUUGAUAUUAAUGUAUAACUUUUCUAACACACUUGUUAUGCCCAAUGCAAUCAAACUUAAUCUAAUGUCUUGUGUUUGAGUUAAGACGUGAUGUCAAGUCCACAUAUAUGAUUUUUAACAUAACACAUACUAAAUCUCUCAUUUCUAUUGGACUAUGACUCCCUAACACAAUAUAAUUUGUAACUUCACUUUAAUAUAUAUACAUUUGGAUACUAUCAAAAUAUUAUCGCUUCGGUUUAUAGUAAUGGUAAUAUAGACACAAGUUUAGAAUGAACUUUAUUUGUCAAAAUAUAAUAACCAUCGCUUUAUUUGAUCGUUAUUCUUUAAUUUCUAUAGGAUGAUCUUUGUAUGUUAUUUAUUAAUACUUUUAUUGUGAACUAUUAUGUUAAAUUUGCUUGUGUGGAGUUCUCAAUGGUAAACAAUUAUGUUGUCUUUUGGUUUAGUUGUAAAAAAACUAUUUUCUUUAUUAUAUUUUUGUUGUAGAAGUUAAAUCUAAUUAAAUACAUAAUUAAGAAAUGAAAAGUGAAAUCUACAUGGUUUAAUGGCCUAUUAAUUUAUUUGAUAUACUAUUUUGUAUUACCUUUCAUUUUUAGUCACAUUUCAUAUGGAAAUCCUUUACGGCAAUAUGUUUUUAAACUAUUACUCACAUUCUUAAUAAAUUAAUACUUUCAAAUGCAAUAAUUCAUAAUAAUUAAUAAAGGUUGUAACACCGGGAAUUUUACGAUUUUGAAUAUAAGAUUUUACUAAUAUUUUCAUUAAUUAUAUAGUCGAAAAUGAAUUUCUAGGAAUGUUCGGUAAGGAAUUAGACGAAACUCUAGUUGAGUUUUACUCUUGAAAUUUUAUUUCCGAUUUUUUGGUAAAUGUUGGUAAUUUUCGGAGACAGUCGGUUCUGAACCAUUGUCAGGGCCGAAAUACACCCGGUAUGGCUCAAAAAGCGUUUUUUUGAGUUCCGUAACUCGGAAUCAAAUUCCGAUCGUGCCGUUGGCUUCGUAAUUUUAUUUCGAGUCAAUAUGGAUCUGAUUACACUCAUACCUAUUUUCUAAAUAUUUUUCACUCGGAAUGCCGAAAUCCGAAAUUCUAAUCGGAUAUUAGGAUCAGGUGAUUUAUAAUAUCCGAUCGAGUAUGGGUCGAUAAAACUCGGACAUGGUUAUCGCACGUAUCCGUGAGGUGGUCAUUUCGCAUUGGGACGCGAAAGUUGACUUCCAUAAAGUAAACCUCACAUCACACACCCUAAAUGUCAUAGGAAAUCAUCAUUAACCAUCCUAGGAGAUUUGUCAUGAUGGCCUAGGGGAAAUCUGAUUUCCUUCUCUCCCCUUAAACCCCCACACUUCACACUUCUCUCACACUCUUUCAUUUGCAAACUUUCUAAAAGGAGGUAAAUCCUCUGUUCACUUUUCUCUCAUUUUCUCAUGUCUUCUUCCGUCUUCAAUCCUUGAUCUCUCAACAUUCAACCAAUGAUGUUGAUGAGAUUUAAGUAUGUUGUUCAUGAGUAUGUCAAGAACAUAUUCAACCGUUGAAAUUUUCUAAAACGCUUUCUAACUCAUUUUCUCUUCAAAAACCGAAAAUGGUGUUGUUCUUGAACUCAUGAAAAUAUUUUGUUGAAACCAUGAACAACUUGUGUUCAUGGAGUUGUUANNNNNNNNNNNNNNNNNNNNNNNNNNNNNNNNNNNNNNNNNNNNNNNNNNNNNNNNNNNNNNNNNNNNNNNNNNNNNNNNNNNNNNNNNNNNNNNNNNNNUAUGGGUAAGGUUGGAACAAAUGGUAAGUUAUGAAUUUCGUCAUGAUAUUGAUAAUAAAUGAUGAAUUAUAUGUUUAAAUAUAUUUUAUGUCUGAGUGUGAUAUUCUGAGUAAGUCCACACCGUCAAUGAAUUUAUAUUCAUUAGAUGUCCUACUCUCUCUGUUGUAUUGUUCUUGUUUUGUAUAUGUUUGCUAUGCAGAUGGCUACAACAACACCCACAUUCGCGGCUACCACUUCACGAUGUCCCCGGCGGGAAAAUGGGUCAGUGAUGGGCACCGAUACACUUACACAGGCUCAUGUGGUCUGUCGUUGCACAUGGAGUGCAACGGGUCAUCGAUGAUGAUCCCCACCCCGAUGCUUACAUUGACACUUCUUUCACAUUGCCGCCAACGAGACUGAUGUCUCCAAAUGUAGGACUCUGACACCCGCCAGUCAGGAGUGAUGGUGCGGUUCCCUCUCACGGUCGUAGGACGUUGGCAGAUUGUUUGGAUGCUCCGUCAUCCAGCAGAGCCUAGAGGAGCCGGGUUCUUGGAGGAGGUCCGUGCAAGAAGACUCCGAGUCUGAGAAUGUCAUCUCCACCAAAUUAUGCCGCUGGGUUGUGGCAUAACGAAGUGGAGGAAUAAGAGGAAGAGGACGAGGUCAUUGAGCUCGUAAAUGUGGAGAGUUUGGUGGAGGUGAUCAACCUCGGGUCUGAAUCAGAAGAGGAAGAGGAUCCGAGUGAGGGGUCCAACAUUCCUGGAAUCUUUUGAGUCGUCUUGUGGGCCAGUCGAUGUCCCCUUUUGUUUUGAUGGGGGCUGUGUUAUGUGGAUUUUGUAUAUGUUUAGUGGCGAUGUAGUUUCCGCCUUUGUUGACCCAAUAUGUAUGAACUAAUUAUGACUUAACCGUUUAUAUGAAUUGUGUUAUUCAGGAAAUUGUGAAUCAGGUUAAGUUAUCAUUCGAUAACGAUAAGUUGAUUUUCCGCAUUUGAGUUACUUAAAGUGAUGUCCUGGAAAAGGAAGGUUUUAAAAGGAAACAAUUUUAUACAAUCUCUUUAUUCAAAAAAAAAUUUACCCAUUUUUCCGCAAUGUUUUUGAGAAGUAUUUUCCGGGGCGUUACAAAGGUAAUAGUGUACAUGUUCUUUAGUAGUAAGAUAUUUUGUGUAAAAAGAAUAAUUAUCUGUUUAGGUAAAACACUUGGUCGCCGUCAUUUAUGCGUCAUGUAUGACACAUUUGCCACACAUGCAUAGGUCUAGACAUAUUAAUACUUAUAAACAACUCUUGUUUGAAGGGGCAAUCACUUAUUGCAAAAGAUAUUAUUACAUUUUUUUUUGGGUAGAUUAAACUUUCAUUAAUAUAAAACUUCUUCUAUGAAUUUUGGACAUAAUACGAAAAUAUUAUUACUAGUAAACAAAAAAGAAUAAAUAAUAUCAAAGACCAUAAUAAAAUACUUACAUUUAAUGUUGUAGUAUCAUAUAUGGUAGUUAAACUUUUUCAGACAAGGAAUUUGUAUAUUGUGUAUUGCUGAUGAGUAUAUGAAUUGAUUUUGACUUUCAAAAAUACUUUUUUUAGUUACAUGCAUAGUUUUAUUUAUUUAUUGUCAAUUAAUUUUAUUUAAUUACCCGUCCUUUAUAUUCUUCUGCAAAGUACAGGCAGUCACACUAAAUUCAACCAAUAGCUUACAUUUUCAUCACAUGGAAAUUUAAUUUCCUAUCUUACUUAUUUUAAGAUAAAUGUCUUGCUUUAAAUAGUCAAAAAUUAAUUAUAAUAAGAAGUGGAUAUAAUUAUGUAAGAUCUCACAGAAUAUCUAUUUAUCUAUCCAUAUAUAAUGCACUAUCAAAUGUUAGUGUUUAAUAUUCAGGGCUAGUCUUGAUAUUUUAUAGGCCAUCAACAAAGAAAAAGUGGGAGACUUUAUUUAUUAUUAAAAAAAUAUGUGAAAUUUAUAUGUCAAAAAGCUUAAACGAAAAUAAGAUAUUAAAGCAAAUCAUGUUCAAAAAAUAAGUACAUAAAAUGAGAACAUAUAAUAUAUUUCAAUAAUCAAAAUUCACCUAUGAAAAUUGUCCUAAAAUGAGAACAUAUAAUAUAUUUUCUUUUUCUUACUUAUUUGUUAGUGUUACUCUCGUAAGACAUGAGCCUACUAUAUUUUUUUAAUUAUUAGGCACAUUCUCAAUGGAUCUCAUAUUUUUAAGGGCAGACCUAAUUUUAAUUCUACCUCUCAAAUAUNNNNNNNNNNNNNNNNNNNNNNNNNNNNNNNNNNNNNNNNNNNNNNNNNNNNNNNNNNNNNNNNNNNNNNNNNNNNNNNNNNNNNNNNNNNNNNNNNNNNUCCAAUGUUAAUAUUUUUACUCAUUCUUAACGAUAUUAGUAUUGAUAUUUUGACCCACUUUGAAUUAUAUUAGUUUCUUAUCUACAAGAUGAUGUAAUAUCUUAUUUAGCAAAAAAGAUACAUUCUAUAAUAGAAACAAAAGGUGAAUUUAUAUUAAUUAAUACUUUAUAGUUUCAAUAAAUUAAAAUUUGUUUUUUAUCUUUAAAAUUUGUCAUUCAACUCAUCUAAAAAUAAAUAUGGUGCUAUUAAUAGUCAAAUAUUUAUUCUAAAAUAAUAGCCAUCAAAUAUAAAUAUAUAUAUAUAUAUAAUAUUGCUUGGUUUUGAAGCUGUAGUACUCUUCCAAUAAUGUUAAACUUUUUAUUUGAAUUUUUGACUUAAUGUUAAAUAUUAUUAUGAGUAAAUAAAAAACAAUAAAUAAUUAUCAAGGACCAUAAAAAAUAAUAAAAAUUACUUACAUUUAAUGCGGUGAAUCAUACAUGGAAGUCUAAUUUUUUACACAAACAAUUUGUAAAUUGGAACUAUUAAUGAGUACAUAAAUUGAUUUUGACUUUCAAAAAUAUUCUGUAUAGAUUUCUAAAUUUUUAAUUUUAUUAGUUUAUGGUCAAUUAAUAUUAUCUGUUUACCUACAUGUCCUUUAGAUUCUACUACAAAAUAUUUGGCCAAUAAACAAUUAUAUCAAAAAUUGAUUCAAGUGACUAGUAGAAGAAUUGUGCCCAUUAUAAAUAUAUUUGUGUAUUUAUUUAUUAUUUAUUUUAAAUCCUAUUAAUGAAUGCCAUUAGGAGUCAAGACAUUCAUCAUGAAAUUAAAUAACUGGAAAUUUAUAUGGGAACGUGCGGGAUUAAAUAUAAUAUUUAUAUUAAAUGCACGUCUUAGUAACAAAUUUUUACUUUUGAAUAUUUACUUAGUUCUAUAAAGAUAUUUUGCACAUUUGUGUUAUAUUUUAUUUUGGUAAAUAAAACAAGUAUUGUCCAUGAAUGCAAUAUUCUUUGUAUUUGAGGUGACUACGACAAGCGAUAAUAACUCCAUACAAAAUACAUUCAAUGUUGAUAUAUUUAUAGGAAGUCUCUGAUUUGGAUUAAUGGUAGAAGUAGCUAGUUUGUAAUGAUUGUUAGGUAUUAGUGGCAGAAUACACCUAGAAGGGGGGUUGAAUAGGUGUGGCGGAACUCAAUUUCCACUUUUCUGGUUUUUACACACUUGCUGAAAAAUGCCCAGUUAAUCAAUUAACAACUGGUCUUAAUCGAGUAACCAAUAACAGAAACAUAAUGAUCAAAACAACAACUUGCACGGUUAUUAACAAACACACAAACAUAUAUACAACAGAUACUUUUGUGCAAGAUUAGCAAGAACAUAGCAAGGAACAUGUAUCCAAAAUAUUAGUUCCAGAUUCGCAUUAAAACAUAUUGAAACAUAAAAGAGAAAAGGAUAGAAAAGAUUGUGCAUCAAUUUUAUCCUGGUUCGUUUUGCUGCCCACUGCAAAACUACAUCCAGUCCUCCCCUCUGAUUUGAGAGAUUUUCCUUCUUCACUAUGAAACACAAUGUACGUUACAUACACGCUUCCAAAUACAAAACUUGAAUGCUCCCUUCUUGGAACCCAAAGAACUUCGUCACCCUUGGNNNNNNNNNNNNNNNNNNNNNNNNNNNNNNNNNNNNNNNNNNNNNNNNNNNNNNNNNNNNNNNNNNNNNNNNNNNNNNNNNNNNNNNNNNNNNNNNNNNNAAAAAAGUAAUAAUUUCAAUAUAUUUACUUAGAUCUUAGUAUUAAGUUGCACAUAUUAAUUUUAAUUUCAAUUGAUUUUACAUGUCAAAUAUUAACCAUGUAUAUUAUGUUUGGUAUGGUCAAUGGAAAUUAUUAUUUGUAGUCAAAAACGUUUUGUAAUUACAUUUGAGAUUAACAUUUUUCACAAAGAUAUAAUGUGUUACUUACUCGUAUCUAUGGUAAUAACUUUUUAUUAAAUAAAAUGAAAAAACAAUACAAUAAGAAAGAUUAUAAAAUGUUUAACGUAAAAAUUUUAUUCAUCAUUUUCAUAAGCUUAUAUAUAUUUACAUAUUUUGAUAUUUGUGAUAAUAUGAGUUCAAAUAUUUUACUAUAUAGGAAAAUCCAAUAUUAAAAUAUGAGAAAAAAAGAGUGGUUUGAUAAAAAAAAUAAUUAUUUUGUUGAGAAAUAAAUUUGAAUCUUAGAUAAGGAAUGUGUUUUUACUCUUUUCUAAUAGUAAAUAUUUCUCAAAUUCAACAUAAAUCUACCUGAUUCAAAAGGGAAGAACUUGCCUCUGUCUCAAUUUGAAUUAGACUGCGUACCAUUACAUAUCAUCUAAACUAUGAUAAUAUGUAAUCUUAUGUAUAUAAGAUCAUGAUUAUGGAAAAUGUUUAAAUCUUAAGUUUUAUUUAACAUGACUUUAUAAGCUUUGAUAUUACAUGAUAAUAAGAUAUAAUCAAUCCUUAUCAACAUUUUAUUAUUCCAACACACACUUUUGAUACUCAUUCUUGUGAUGCUUGGAUCCGAAGUUUAUCAAAUGGCGGUGGUGGACAACAAUAUGUGUAAAUACAUUUGCAACCAGGACCAUAAAGUUUUUGACACUGUAUGUCUGCGCUACAAGGAAUAUGCUCAAUGCGACCCGCAUACGA
rnacentral:lncRNA from 1 species